AAAACAACCACUCACUAACAAAAUUUUUGUUGGGAAAUUUUCGUUAGCAUUUUCUAACAUAAUUAGUGUUAAAAUCUGUUGGCAAAUUUUUGUUGGUACUUUCUUUACAGAGUUAGUGACAAAAUUGUCGAGAAAGUUACUAACAAAUUACUAACAAUAUUUUUUGUUGUCUAUUUAUCAACGGAAAAUGACUAAAAAUCUUGUUAGAAAAGUCAUUGGAAAUUGGAGUGUGUGUGUAUAUAUAUAUAUAUAUAUAUAUAUAUAUAUAUAUAUUAUAUUUAUAUUUUUAUAUAUUAUAAGUUAAAAUAAAUUAAAUAAUAUAUAUAUAUAUAUAUAUUAUUUAUAUUUAUAUUUAUUUAAAUUAUAAGUUAAAAUAAAUUAAAAUAAUUUUUGAAAAUAUGUUGGCUAUUUCAAAAUGUUUUUAAAUAGUUUUUUUUAAUUAAUUGUUUGAAAUCCGAAACCUGUACAUUUUUUAAAAUAAAAUUAAAUAAACAUAAGUUACAAAAAAAAUUAUUUAAACAAAGGCAUUAAACAAAUAUCAAAUUUAAACAAAUAUGAGUUUGAGACAAAUACAUUAAACAUCUAAGCAAAAUUAAGUCUAUAGCUAAAAUAAAAUAUAAUAACAAUAAAAACUCUACUUCUGGCCCUUUAAAACCAUAGCUAGUUGGUUCUGCAUCUGUCUUAUUUGAUCCUUCAUAUCAUCCACCUCCUUCAUCCUCAUCUCAUUUGCAUGCUUCAACUGAUCAUUCAUCUCUUCCACCUCUUUAAUCCGCAUCUCUUCAGCCUUUUUCAUCUGAUCUUUCAUCUCCUGCAUCUAAGAUUGCAACUUCUCGUAAUCUUCUUGACUGUUACAUAGGGAGCUGUUAUAGUCUGAUGCUGCACUACUAGAAUUUCCAGGCCCAUAAAAUAAAUCUUGCGAAGAGCCAAGACCAUAUACAAUGUUUUUCUUGUUGUGUCCACCAACUACUUCGUAAUACAAUUUGUUUACGUCAAUAGGUUGAGAUUCUUGGGACCGCUGUGCAAGGAGAUCUUCAUACUCUUUAUGUAUUAAAGAGGUAAAAAAUAUAUUAGAAUAGAUUUUUAUACAAACAUUAUUUCUUCACAAUUCAAAUUUUUUAGUCAGAACAAGAUAGCUGCAUGGUUAUACUAGCUCUAAACUCUACUAUGGCAUAUAAAAUUAGAUUCAUAAAAAGGACAUAAAAAGAAAAAAUUUGCAAAUAUAAUUUAAACUUGCAUGUAUCUGUUGGCUUUUCUUGUCAAUAUAUGUCUUCUUGUCAUUUUUUUUGUAUGCGUAUGAGUACGUCAAAGGAAGUGGGCUCUCUCUUUAAUUUUUUUUUCUGCAUUAUAUUAAAUUGUAAUAUUUAGAUUUCAUAUAAAAAAGAUACAUGAACUCAAUGAUUCUUGUCAAAAUAAAAUAAUAAUCUUACCAGUCGAGCUGCAUGCACUCUACAAGAAGCAGAACCACGUAUAUGAGUGGGAGGAGCCUUGUCAUUUCCUCCUUUACCACCACGGCGAUUGCUUUUCUUUAUUACAGAUUUCUUUUGAAAUUCAGGGGUUUUCCAGUUUUCAACCCAACUCUGCCAUACAACCUCACCAUUUUAUUUUUUGACUUGCUUUUAUUUUCCCACAUAGCACGAGCAUCACAACAAAUAGUUGAGUAACGUUUUGGAGCACUUUUAAGCCAGGCACGAUGUAUAAGUUUGUCAUCUUGCCUCCAUACAAACCAUUUCUGCAUAAUGAAAAUGUAUCAUCAGUUCUAGAACGGGAAAUAUAGAAGAAGAAAUGAACUGCAACUUACCUUGAAUUCCUCGAAAUACAAGUCCUUAGUGUCGGCGGACACUGCCUUCCAGGUGAAACCUGAGGGUUCCAGUCUCUCAUACAUGAUGUCAGUGAUCUUGUGAGAGCAUGUAUUUGAAGGUUCCAAUCUAAAAAAAAAAAAAAAAAAGAAAUAACAUUAAACAAUCUAUCACAAGUAGUUUAAAAACUGCUUAACAAAAAAGACAUACACUCCUUUAAUCACUUCCACUUUUACACGUCCAUCAGCAUGCACAGUUCCUACUUCCCAAACAUUGUUAUUGGUGUGUGUCACCAACUCAUUCAUUGUGGUUGUCUCUGUGAUUGUCUCUGAAGGCACUGGUGUUUGUUCCAGAGAAGCAGGAUUUGUUGAAGAAAAUGCCAACCCUCUCAUUUUGGUCUAAAACAUAAGCAAGAGUUUUUAAACGAAAUAAAAGUGUAUAGCUUUGGAGAAUUAACUUGCCGCUCAAUUGAAAUGCCCUAACCCCUUUUUCCCUCCUUUGACAAAAAAAACGCGCUAUACCUCUUAUCCAUUUGCCCGACCUCAAUUUGCUCACAAUUUUAUUGUUGCAACUUGCACGUCUUCGGGAUCAACUUUUAUAUUUUAUCAAUUUUUUCUAAUUAUUUAAUAAUUGAUAUUCAAUAAUUUAAUAUAUUUAUUUGUUAUAGUAGACUAUUUUUUUGAAAAAAAAAUAAUAAUUUACCCCUUAAAGUUUUGAUAGUUUAUGAAAGUAAGUUGAUAAUUUUUAGAAAAAAGUUCACACACUUUUAGAAGAUGUAUAAAGUUUAAUUUAAAAUUACAUAAUUUUUAAAAACUAUUGUGCAAAUAAAUUUUUUCAUGUUACUAUGCAUUUUAAAUCAUGAUUAUAAAAUAAUAAAAUACAGUAAUAUAAUAUUUGAACUAAACCUAUAUAUUAGUUUGUUAAAACAGAGUUUAUCAAAAAAUAAAACAAAAUUUUAAAAAUAUUUUAUAAAAUAUAUAUAUAUAUAUAUAUAUAUAUAUAUAUAUAUAUAUAUAUAUAUAUAUAUAUCAACAGNAGCCACGCCUCUGUGUUUCAAUGGUGACAUGUUAUCACAAAAAAAUAGGGAUGACCAAUACAACGUGAAAUCUGGAAGAGUGGCACCGGUGCUUAGCCACGUAACAAAUUAUUUAAUAUAUAAUGAAAUAUAAUUUUAUGAAUAAAUAUAUGAAUUAAAUUGAUAACGUCAACAUACUCUUAUAUAGAAAAAUUAUGAAUUGUUUUGAAACGUGAAUUGUCCUUUUUUGGUAGCCCACCGUAAGAUAAAUUAGGAUAGUUAGAAUUUUAAAGUUAAAAAAAAGUGCUACUAUUAUAAAAAAAAUUUAAAACACAGUUUCUUAUAUUAAAAAUAAAAUCACACAACACAAUAUUUAUAAGAUCGAAAGAAAACUACCAGCUAUUCAAAUUCUAAUAAAAUUCAUGAUAUAAGUAAAACUUAAUUUUUUAUUCACUAAUAAUUUUAAACUUAUACAUUAUUUAUUCGAACAAAUAAACAAACAAUUUUUUAUUUAUACAAAUAAUUAUAUAUUCAAAUUUAAAAAUUAUAAAUUUAUAACUAUAAAUAUAAUGCUUAUAUAUAUAUUAAAAGAAUUCAUGAAUCACAAUGGCUAUAAUAUAGUUUUUAAAUAAUAUUAUUAAAUUUUGUGCAUCACACCGAUUAUGUUAUUAAAUCAUAUUAAUCUUUUUAAUCUCACCACUCUCAUCCCACCCUGACAAAGUAGGUCAUUGGUAUGAAUCAUUGCAAUCAAAAAAAUGUAAUAUGAUAAUUAUAAUAUGGUACAAAAGAUUUUAUUCAAUUUAAAAAAUCAUCAUCACCCGAAUCAUUAUCAUCACUCUGGUCUAACAAGUAAAAAUCUUUUUCAGAUUCAUCCAAUAUUUCUUCUUCUGAGGUCUCUUCAUCAUCAUCCAAAUCCAUUGCAUCACCUUCUUCAUCAUUUAGACGUGUAGGAAUAUCUUCACUGCUAAUGAAAUUUGAGUGCUAAUGUGUCAUCUUGAAAUGCAUCUUGACGUGAUUCUAGCAAACUAGGCAAUUCAAUAAAAGGACGUGCUUUGAUUUUGCAUACCACCAGCCAAUCUCUCUUAUCUCGUUUAAGACUUGGAUAAUUACAAAAAUAAACUUGUACAACCUGCAUUGCUAAUAUAAAUGGCUCAUACAAAUUUAAUUUUUUUUUCUGAUUCACCUCAACUAUGUUGUAGCGUUGAUGAAUUCUAGUUCCAAUUGGAGAUGUUGGAUCAAACCAUUCACACUUAAAUAAUGCUGUUUUCUUUAUUGGGAGACGGGGAUACUCGAUGAUCAAUAUCUCUUCUAUUAUUCCGAAAUAAUCAUGCGAUGUCUCGUUAUAAUUUGAACCUUUGAUACAUACACCACUGUUGAAUGUCGACUUGUUGAUCCCAUAUUUGCGGGUAUGAAAUUUGUACCCGUUGACGUAGUAGAUUGGUACUGAUUUGACUGAGCGAAGAGGACCUGAGGCAAGAUCUCGAAUAAAUUCAUUUGGAACCAAUGAUGCAUCCUGAGCCUGAAAUUAAAAUUAAGAGUUCUGAUCAUUAAAAUAAAAAAUAAAUAAUUAUAGAUGAAUAUGAAACAUUUAAAGAUGUCAGUUAACUUACAUAAUGUUUAAACCACAAGGCGAAUUCAUUUUCCAAGCACUUAUCAAUCUCAGCAGCACUCAUACUCGGAUUGUUUUCUCGAAGUCUAUCAAUAAAGAUCCUGCUUGAACAAAAGUGAAAUUAAAAAAUAUUAAAGCAUUAAUUUAUAAUCAAAAAAAUGUAUAUUAUUAUUUUAAUAAAACUAUCACCUACUGAGUAUAUGGUGCAACUUCAUGACAAUUAAACAAGACAUAAUUAUUAGCUGCAACAUAUUCUCUAUCAUCAAGAUACCAAGUUGUAACUUUCCCAUGUGCCCUCCCUGGAUGGGAAAAUAUAGAAAUAUAACCUCAGAUUUCUCUUCAUUUCCACCAGGAUCAUUUCUAGGAACUUUUCUAUGUCUUGUAUGAAUAUGUUUUUCAAAGUAAUGUGAACAAAAAUUUGAAGCCUCUUCGACUAGAAAUGCAUUGCAUAUAGAUCCCUCCACUCGAGCUUUAUUUUUUACGUUAUUCUUCAAGUGACGCAAGAAUCUUUCAAAUGGGUACAUCCAUCGAUACUGCACUGGCCCUGCUAUUCGUGCCUCAUAUGGUAAAUGCACCAAAAGAUGUUCCAUGGAGUCAAAUAGUGCUGGAGGAAAUAUCCUCUCUAAUUUACAAAGUAUCAUAGGAAUUUUUUCUUCAAGUCUGUUCAUGUCAGUAACUUUCAAAGUAGCUGAUGUGAGAUCUCUAAAGAAAAGGCUUAAUUCAGUCACAGCCUCCCAAACAUUUGUCGGAAGAAACUCUUUAAAAGCAAUCAGAAGUAGCCUUUGCAUAAACACAUGGCAAUCAUGACUUUUCAUUCCAAAUAAUUUGUAUUUUCUCAUAACAAUGCAACGUCCCAUAUUUGAUACAUAACCGUCUGGAAAUUUAAGCUCUUGUAACCACUGACAAACCUUUUCUUUACUUUUCUUGUCUAAGCUAUAACAUGCUUUUAGAUAUUUCCCUGUAGAUUCAUCAAAAGCUAGCUCCGGUCUCUGACAAAUUAGUGCAAUAUCAGCUCUUGCCUUGGCAUUAUCUUUCGUUUUCCCUUUGAUGGCCAUAAUAGUGUUAAAAAUAUUCUCAAAUACAUUUUUCUCAAUGUGCAUGACAUCAAGGUUGUGUCUAAUUGAUAAUGUUUUCCAAUAUGGCAAAUCCCAAAAGAUGCUUCGUUUCUUCCACCCACAUUUAUGAUUUUUCAUGAUUUUAGCAUUAUGCUCAUCACAUCCCAAUUCAGUAACUUUCAUCAACCCAAAUGACUCAAUUUCUUGAAAAACAUCUUCACCCGGUCUUGGUGGUGUUGCAAAUUUAGAUACCGUCUUUCCCUUGGUAAACCAGUUUUUAUUUCUUCGAAAUGGAUGGUUGGCAGGUAAAAAUUUUCGAUGAUUAUCAAACCAUGUUGACUUGCCGCCAUGUGAAAGAUUAAAUGCAUCAUGGUCAUGAGCACAAUAAGGACAAGCUAAAUGACCAGCAGUUUUCCAUCCCGAUAACAUCGAAUAAGCUGGAAAGUCACUAACAGUCCAAAGCAAUGCAACUCGCAUUUGAAAAUUUUGUUUUAAUGAAAUAUCCCAUGUCUCAACUCCAAUUUCCCAUAACAUUUUCAACUCAAAUGGUUGAAGAAACACAUCUAUUUUUUUGUUUUGGAUUUUUCGGUCCAGGCACGAGUACAUACAAAAAUAUGUACGGUUCUUUUAAGCACAUCCAAAGAGGCAAAUUAUACGGAGUCACUAUAAUUGGCCAAGAAGAAUAUUGCUUACCAGUUUGACCAAAUGGUUGAAAUCCAUCAGCAGAUAGUCCAAGUCUCACAUUUCUUAUUUCUGAUGAAAAUGAAGGGUGUUUGCGGUCAAAUUGCUUCCACUCUUCAGAAUCUGAACAAUGACACAUCACAUCAUCUUCUUGAUGGUGUUCAGCAUGCCAUCUCAUACAAGAUGCAGUAGCUGUUGAUGCAUACAAUCUUUGCAGUCUCGGAGCCAACGGUAAAUAUAUCAUUGUUUUAACAGCCACUUGUUUUCUCUCUCUAGUAGAUCGAUUAACCCUGACUUUAUAUCUUGGCUGUGAACAAAAUUUACAGAACUCCAUGCUACUAUCUUCGCCCCAGUAUAUCAUGCACCCAUUUACACAACAAUCAAUAUGCUCAGCGGGAAGACCCAAUCCCUCCAUAUGUUUCUUCGUACCGUAAAAGCUAUCUAGAAAGGUAUUAUCUUGGGGCAAGAUUCCUUUAAUGAACUGAGAUGUCUGAUCAUAACAAGCCUCUGACCAAUGAUGUUCAGAUUUCAAACUUAACAUUUGAGCCAUAGCAGAUAACUGAGAAGUUUCACAACCAUCAUACAACUCCCGCUCCGAAGAUUCCAACAUGUUGUACAAUUUUUUAGCUUCGGAAUUCGGCAUCUCUUGUGGACAGUGCGGAUCAAAAUUGAGACCAGCUGUAUCCAUCACCAUAUUAUACAUUAAAUUGUUUUCUUCUUCCCGAACAUUUGAAUUAUUUGCCGAAAAUUGUUCAUCAUGCUCUCUGGCAAUAUAUGGCUCUCCGUGUCGAUCCCACUGAUAAUAAUCUUUUACAAAUCCCUUUUGUAAAAUAUGCAAUUCCACUGUAUCUGCGUCCCGGAAUCUACGAUUUUUACAUGUCAAACAUGGACAUCUUAUAUUUGUACCAUUCAUCGAUGAGGGUUGAGAUUUGACAUAUUUCAUAAACUCCUUUAACCCGCGAACAAAAGCAGGAUUUACAAAUCCAUGAUCAUCCUUUUUUUGAUACAUCCAUGUUCGAUCACUAUUCAUUUUGAUAAUAUUAACACUCUACACAAAAAAUAAAAUUAUUUUCACAUAUAUAAUUUCUAUCACAUAUAUAAAAUCAUACUGAUUAAAAGUUCAACAAACAUACAAAGUCAGCUAUAUUUAUUUUGGUAACUGAUUUAAAUGUGCAUACGAUUCUAAUUAUUUAUAAAUUUAUUUUGUCAAAUACAUAAAAAAAUAAUAAAAAAUGCUAACAAAUUAUAAAUAAAUUAGUUUAUUGUGCAUAAAUGUCAAAUCAGAUUUAAAAUUUAAAUACAUAGAUUCAUACAUUAAAAAAACUAAAUUUUACUAAGCUCGAACAGUAUCAAGUAUAAACAAACUAAUUUCAUGUUGAAAAAUGUCAAAAAAAGUUGAAGUGCAUUGAUUCACAAAAUUUAAAAAAUUAUAUUUGGACUAUAAUUUCAAUUCCAGAUCACGAUGUCACAUAUAAGCACAAAUGCAUAACAAAGUUUUAAGUCAAUUAGCUAUAUUACAAAGUUUAGCGUGAACAAGCGUACCUUGGGCGUAUGUAUCUUUAUAAACUCAAUCACUAACACAAAUUUUACUGAGUUGUGUAACUUGUGAGAUGUUGCCCCUGUGCUACUUCUUCGUUUCUUUAUAAAUUCUGAAAAUAAAUCAUUUCAAAAUUUAUAUCAAAAUUUAUGUAAUAAAAUAUUAUAAGAUUUAAAUUAUAUUUUUUAUGAAAAAAUAAAAAAUAUAUUUAAAUAUAAAUAAAUUUUAAAACAGAGUGUAAUAUAUUAUAAUAUAUAUAAUUAAGUAUAAUAUAUAUUAAAUAUAUUACAAUAUAAUAUAUAUUACAAAAUUAAACAUUUUUCUGGAAGGAAGAAAAUGUAGUUAAACCGAUUUGCAUGGUAAUUUUUAAUAUACACGUAAGAGAAAUAAAUGAAAUAAUAUUCUAAAUUAUUCCAUACUACACUAAACUAAAUAUCAAAAAGCACAACUAAUUAAAUCUAAAGUCGAUAUUAUAAAAAACCUUAAAUAUAUAAUUUAAUAAAAUAUAUAUUUCAUGACGUUUUCCUUCCUAGCCCACGAUCUCACACUUCCAAAAUAUAUUCUAAUAAAGGUCAGUACUGAUAAGUGUAUUAACAGUGUCAACUUAUUUAUGGGGUUUAUGGGGUUGUGUACAGCUCACUAUGCUCCAACUUUCAAGUAAUAUGCUGACUGGCUCCUUAGUAAUGUGAGUUUAUCUCUUCAAUAUUUUUGUUAGAAAUUUGGGUUGGACGGUUAAAAAUGCUGAUAUUUUCUGUUUUGCACUUAAUUUAAUUUAACAAGAUAAGUGAUAAAAUGACUCAAGUUGACAUCCGUGUUAUGUGCUAGUUGUUUGAAUUUACAUGGCUAAAAACGUGCGAUGACUUUAUACGUGCUCGUUAUUAAAAUUUACAUAGAUAAAUUAACAAAUAUUGUAACAUAUAAGGUUAAAUAAGAUAUUUAUUAUUGUUUUAAGAUGUGUAAAUUAAAUUAUUUUAUCAUUUACAAAAAAAAUUCAUAUGUUAUCACAAUAUUUCUAGAAAUACUAAAAGACUUAUAUUAAAGAAUAUUUUUGAAAAAUAAAUCAACUUACAAGUUUAAAUAAAAUAUUCAACAAUUUUAUUAAAAAAUUAUCAUAUUUUAUCACAAUAUUUAUAAAAAAUACGCACAGACUUGUAUCAAAGAAUGUUUAUAAAAAAAUAAUAUGUUGAAUGAAAUAAUAUUAAAGUUAUAAAUAAUAUUAAAUAUAAUAAAUAAAAUAAUAAUUAUAACAUAUAUAUAUAUAGGGGUUUGUUCAAAUACAAACCAAUUUUAUCAUAAAAACCUAAAAACUAAUUUCAAAACUAAACAAAUAUCUCCCCAAACUCUUAAAAACUAACAAUAUCUCCCCCCCCUAGCUUUGCCAUCAACUUCCCAAAACUUACACUUUCCACCCCGCCAUGUCACCACGCCACGUCAGCACAGGGGGUCCCCCACUGCUGACGUGGCACUGCCACGUCAGCUGCCACGUCAGCACAGGGUCACCCCACUGCUGGCGUGGCACUGCCACGUCAUCUACCACGUCAGCACUGGGAUCCCCACUGCUGACGUGGCAGUGCCACGUCAGCAGGUGAUGACGUGGCAGAUCAAAAAUAAAUAAAAAAAUAAAUAGAUUGGAAUGCUCAUAUCAAAAAUAGGAGUGGAAAUAGUGGUUUUUAGGUUUGUAUGGGAGUGUGGUUUCUAGUGGAAUAAGCCCAUAUAUAUUUAUAUAUAUAUAUAUAUAUAGGCCAACAUUCUAGAGAGGGACUCCUUAUAUGGAGUUACAUAGUGCGCCAUUAUAAAUCAUCAAUUUUAUUAUAAAUUAUGUUAUAGAAUACAUAUAAAACGUGAUUCUAAUAUAGAAUACUAUAAAAUAAAUCUAUUUUAAGUAAUUUAACACUUAAAAUUUGAUUAAAAAAAGUAUAUUUUCGAAACUGAUUCUACAACAGAAUAAUUCUGGAUGAUUAUUAUUCUGUUAUAGAAUCAUGUUGAGAUAUUGCAUAAUUUUAGAUGAUCUUUGGAAUAAAAAAAUUGUAUUACUUCGUUUUCGGUUUGAUAAUCAAAAUUGGCAAUUAUAUUUCAUAAAAAAUAUAAUAAAAUAUAUAUUAUGUAUAUAUUUAUAAUGGUGUGCUACGUAACUCCAUAUAAAAGGGAUGCUAUGGAGUGCUACCCUAUAUAUAUAUAUAUAUAUAUAUAUAUAUAUAUAUAAUAAAUUGGAGAGUGCAAGUAAUACAUUAUUAGAUUACUCCAAAAGAUAUGAAUGUGUUGUCUGGCUGUUAUAUAUCUCGUGCACCUGCUUCCUGUAAAUUCUGUAAAUUAAUAAAUAUAACCUUUAAAUAAAUAAAUAUUUACUAAAUAAAAAAAAUAAAAAAUGUUAACCACUACACUAACAAGAAUGCAAACCGGUAAAUUGUAUGUCAGUUGGGACAGUCCUCCAGCUUCUUGCAAUUCUGUAAAUUAAUUGAAAAAAAAAUUAAAUACUAGAUAAAAGUUUAUUAAGUUAAAAAAUCAAAAAACAUGCACUAUGUUAACAAGAUUGCAAAAACACAGAUAAACUCGUAAGAAGUAUCCUUAAUAGGAAAAAAAAACAUAUUUAUUUUUAUUCCAACAAAAAUUACCUCACUGUAACAUGCACCUACCUCUUUUAACAUGUGCUUCUCUUUUCCAGAUCUCAUAACGUGGUCUUAGAAUAUUUCGAUCAUUUCUUCUCCAAUGUCAUGCAACUCCUAAAUUUUUUUAAAAAUAUUUGUAUGACAAUUGAUAUAAAUAUAAAUAUAUUAAUAUAUAUUGUUCAGCUUGAUUAAAAAAAUACAAAGAACACCAGAGAGAAAUGUAUAGCAAUCAAAACUACACUUCGUCUCUUUUUAUGGCGUGUAUACCAACAAUAUCGAUGGUUAUGUGGAUUGUGAUGAUAUCAUUUGACUUGAUUUGGAUAAGUGAAAACUAGUGUUGGGUAAGGUAGAUUUUAAAUUUUAAAAUUUAGGUGCUCGACUCAAUUCAAAUAUAAGGAUUCUGUUUUGACUAAAUCACGAUAUGAAAAUUGAUUGAUUAUGUUUUGACCAAGUCUUGGUGUCGUAUUGUUACAUGUAUACACUGAAUUUGAAAAGAAUUUAGUUUUUUUGACAAAUUGAAAAUAAAUUAAGUUGAUCUUAUUAAAAUAGUAAAUUUUAUUUUUUCUUAUAAUAAAAAUUUGUAUUAAUUAAAAUAUUAUGAUUUAUAAAAAUAUUUCAAUGUAUAUAAAAUUUUGUAACAAAUUAUUAGAGAAUGUAACAAAUACACCCUUUUAAAAUUAAAAAACUGAAUUUAUAUUUAUUUAAUUAGAGAGAAAAAAUGGAUUAUAAAUAAUAUUUUAAAAGUGACUGUCAUAAAUAUUAUACACCAAAAUUUUGAUACAAUAGUAACUUUUAUAUAACUGUUAUUAUAAAUAAUAUUUAGACAAGAUUUUGAUGAUAAAUAUUUUUAUUUAUGAAUUUUGUUACAAGUUUUCUUUUUAUUUCAUUGACAAUAUAUACCUCUAAUUUAACGACAUAUUAAAUUUGUUAGUAACUUUUCGUUGUAAAUUCUUUAUUAUUUUGUUGAUAAAACAACAUUGAGCAGUUAGUAAUAUGUUAGUUAGCAAAUUCUAGGGAUUUCGUUGGCAGUUUUGGAAGGAAAUUAAUGCGCCAGAUAUUUACCAAUGGAAAAUGUGUGUUGGUAAUAAAUUGUUGGUAAACUGUUGCAAGAUAGUUGACUAUCCAGGAUCCGAGACAUGGUUGGUAAUUAGUUGGCAAUUAGUGAUGAAAGUUAUUCUAUUUAGAAAUUCUGUUGGGAAUAUAAGCAUUUCUUGUAAAUUUUUGUUUAAUUAAGAUAUCUCCAAGUCAAAAUGAUAAAACAAAAUUUUUUUAAAAAUAUCAUCAAAAAGAAAAUCAUGACACAUAACUGAAAACUCAUUAACCAUAGACAAGUCAAACUUAAACCUCGGUCCACGGAUCGCACCCUAGGGAAUGAGCUAGUCCCAUACCUAACACACUCCGAAGGACAGCCUGCUCUGAUACCAACUGUAACAUCCCGAAAUUUCUAGAAUAUUAAAAACUAAUUUCACAACAUAAAUAAUAUCAUUACUUAAAUCAAAAUUCUCAAAUAAUAUAUAAUUCAAAGCAGCGGUUAAACCCAAUAAUCAAAAGUCAUAAACUUAGAGACGCAGCUCCAUAAAUCCAAAACCAAUAUCUAAUAAAUUCAUCAAAUUAUUCUUAAUAAACACUAAGUCUUUAUUCACUGAUGCAAAUAAUCACGAAACAUAAAUCCAAAAGUCCUCAAUCUCAUUCUCAAAAUUCUUCCACUUGAUAGAACCUGAAAUAUAGAAUAACGGAUGAGCUACACAGCUCAGCAAGUAACAAUUUGACUAACAAUUAAUCUCAAAAUUAGUGGGUGUUUUUAUAAAACCUUGUUCCUUAAAACAAUAAUAAUUUUUAAAACACUUGUAAAAGCAAAUCCAACCCACAGUUUAUAUUUUAAAAACAAACAGAAUUUAAAACAAAACAGAGAUAAAAAUCUUAUAAAUACCACAGUCUUGCUCUACGGCCACACUUACCCAGUGACCGGGAUCUUAUUCUUAUUCUUUUGUCACACUUACCCAGUGACCGGGAUCUAAAGUUCGAUAAUCACGCGCCCUUAGCAGGUAUCUAAAGUUGCACACUUGUGCGCCUACUAAGGGUAUCUAAGGCUAGUUCCGGAACUAUAGCGUAAAUUACGAACGGGUUCGAAACGUAGAGACUGGGUCUUCAAAGAUUCUCAUGUCUUAUAUCUUAUAAACUUCGAAACAAAAUUCUUAUUCUUAUAUCUUAUACAAAAAUCAGAAAUUUGCGAAAUCAAAAUAUCCUUUCGAAAAUAAAAGUAAGUCAAAAGGUACUUACCUCAAAGUCGACACUUAAAAUCCGAAAUUAAUAACACGAACAAAGCCUAUACAUUUAAUUAAUAAACAAAACAUAAUUAACACAUAGCACUUCUUAAACAAUCAAGAGUAAGGCACAUAACAAGACUUAACAAAAUACAAACUUUAACAACUAAUAACAAUUAACACAAUUUCAUUUAUCGAAUAAGAUAAAUAACAUGCAUGCUGUUACAAAUCUCAAUAUUAACCAAAGAUAGCUUCUGAAUAUGAGAAAAUAGUCAACUGGAGAAUUAAAUUACAUUGAACAAGGAUUCCAAAUGACCAGAUUCAUAAUAAACGGACAGAUAACGAAUUAGUUGUGAAUUUUAGAAGUUCAAGUAACACAUCAGAAUUUUACUGAGGAUCAGUUUACAUUCAAAGCAAAAUUUGACGAAGCAAACAAACUGAUCUCAAUUAUACUAUAACUAAACACUUAAAGAGCAUUCUACGAGGUUUCAGAAUUGGUAAAGAUCACAAUUUUAUGGACCAUAACGAGGAAGAUAUGAAUUUUUAAACACGGAACAACUCAGCAGAAAAGACCGGGAUCUAAAGUUCAAUAAUCACGCGCCCUUAGCAGGUAUCUAAAGUUGCACACUUGUGCGCCUACUAAGGGUAUCUAAGGCUAGUUCCGGAACUAUAGCGUAAAUUACGAACGGGUUCGAAACGUAGAGACUGGGUCUUCAAAGAUUCUCAUGUCUUAUAUCUUAUAAACUUCGAAACAAAAUUCUUAUUCUUAUAUCUUAUACAAAAAUCAGAAAUUUGCGAAAUCAAAAUAUCCUUUCGAAAAUAAAAGUAAGUCAAAAGGUACUUACCUCAAAGUCGACACUUAAAAUCCGAAAUUAAUAACACGAACAAAGCCUAUACAUUUAAUUAAUAAACAAAACAUAAUUAACACAUAGCACUUCUUAAACAAUCAAGAGUAAGGCACAUAACAAGACUUAACAAAAUACAAACUUUAACAACUAAUAACAAUUAACACAAUUUCAUUUAUCGAAUAAGAUAAAUAACAUGCAUGCUGUUACAAAUCUCAAUAUUAACCAAAGAUAGCUUCUGAAUAUGAGAAAAUAGUCAACUGGAGAAUUAAAUUACAUUGAACAAGGAUUCCAAAUGACCAGAUUCAUAAUAAACGGACAGAUAACGAAUUAGUUGUGAAUUUUAGAAGUUCAAGUAACACAUCAGAAUUUUACUGAGGAUCAGUUUACAUUCAAAGCAAAAUUUGACGAAGCAAACAAACUGAUCUCAAUUAUACUAUAACUAAACACUUAAAGAGCAUUCUACGAGGUUUCAGAAUUGGUAAAGAUCACAAUUUUAUGGACCAUAACGAGGAAGAUAUGAAUUUUUAAACACGGAACAACUCAGCAGAAAAGUAUAAACAGCCCUGAAUCUUUAUAAGUCAGUUUAGACAAUUAAAUCAAUUUAAAUAACAAAUGGGUAUGACUGAUAACGAAAGAUUAUAUCUCAAACUUUCCAGAUUGGUAUCAUGAGUAAAUUUUUGACAUACGAUCAAAUUAUAGCGAAUUUUUGAACAUGGAAAAAAGUUUCGCGACUAAGAACAGAAGGGUAACAAAGAAUGUGAUUUUUAGCAUAGAUAAACUACUAAUUUCGAAAUACGUCCUGAGACAAAGGUUGUAGGUAUCGAAGAGAGCUUUUCAGAAUGUCCAAAAACAACAAUAUCCGAUCAAUUUUCAAUUUACUACGAUUUUUACAACCCAACUGAUUCACAGAAAAUACUAUAUACGAAUUUCAGCAUAAACAAUUAAGCAAACAAGUUAUAUCUACAUCAAAUACACAUGAAAAGGAGCAAUAAAUCAAUAACUCAAGUCAACAUAUACGUGCAAAGAUCGAAGAGAAAGAAAACAUACCCGUCCACGUAAAUUGUUGUACGACUUAUUCGGAUUCUAAAGGUAUUCUUAUAUAGCACAUAAAAUCUAAUCGUAAAUAGGAAGUCCCAAACUUGGGUCACAAUUUUCUCCACCUCAUAAACGAAUUUCCAAAUAUAAGGUCUUCUCAAGAAGAUUUCAAUUUGAAAAAACAUAAUUCUACGCUUCUUUCCAUUAAUAAAGAAUCUUCUAUACUUUAUUAUUCAAAAUAACUAACACAAAAUAAAUUCUAGAAACUUCCAAUUAAUGCUAAUAUCUAAAUAUAUAAAUACAAACAAUUUAAAUCUAAUAUCUAACUCAUAAUAACAAUUAUAAUUAAAUAGAAAUAUUUAAAUAAAUAAAUAAAAUCACAUCUCAACCGUAAAUCCUUCAAGGCGCUCUAGUCACAGCCGUCUAUUACGCAACGCUUAUCACUACAAGAAAAAUUGAUUUUCCUGACAAAAUUUUUUGUUGGCAAAUAUAAGAUUCUGUUGGUAAAUCUUGAUCCCAACAGAAUUUUUAACAAAAAAAUUUUGUUGGUAAAAACACUGUUGGGAAAAAUUCAAUGACAGAAAUAUGUUUUCGUUGGUAAAUUAAUGACAAAAUACCAACAAAUUAUUAACGGAAGCUUGACCAUCAUCUUCACCCGAACCGUAAUAAUGAACCUCUUACCACCAUUACCAGACGUUUAUAUGUCUUGCUACCAUUGUCUACCAUCACUAAUAGUCACAUACACUUUCCAUCAUAACUUACCAAAACUAACGACUAUUUACCACCAUCAUACAACUUCUCUUGCGGCUUCCUACCGCUAAGAACCUUCCUACGACUGAAAUUGAUCAUCUAUAAUCGAUUACUAAUAAUUUAAGUAAAUAGAAUUUCUCAAUUUUGAUAAUAAAAAUCAUUAUUUAUAUACUGUAUAAAAACAGUGAUUAGUUCAGCGUAAAUUAGUGAUACCCGUAGUUAUAAAUAGUGGUAGGUAAGCUGGUUUUAGUUUGUAUUUAAGAGCUGUUUGUAUUUGAUCACUUGCCUAUAUAUAUAUAUAUAUAUAUAUAUAUAUAUAUAUAUAUANUUCUACAACAAAUAUCACUAAUUCUUCAUUUCCCUCUCCACCUCCAUCUCUAUCCCUGCCCUCACCUCCACUUCCACCACCUUCUACACCAACACCUUCAGCUCGAUCUCAGCCACCUCCGCCUCCACCGCGCGCCCCAUCUCAACCCCCACCUCAACCACGCUCCAUCUCAACCCCACCCUAACUUCCAUCUUUGCCAUACCUCCACCAUCUCAACACCACCUCUGCCAUACCUCCACCUCCUUCAUUAACUACAAACACAACCUGGACGAGAUGAUUCCGGCGAUGGCGCCGGAGCUCCUAUAACGUGCAACUGGAGCAACACUGAUAAGUGGAUUUUAUAUCCACUUGGAAGCCUUCGUUUUGACUUAAAUUGAUGGAGUGGCCUCAAGCUUUUGAUGUUUUUGAUAUGUUUUAGUGUUGUGUUGUGUAGGUUUCUUGGAAGGAGAACGAAGAGGAGAAUCAUAGCUUUAAAUGAAAAAAAACGGUGAAGCAAUCGGAUGCUCGAGGAGAAAGAUACGGACGCGUAAAGGUUGGACGUCAGGGCUGCCACUUUGGCGCGGCCGCCCCAACUUUGGCGCGGCCGCCCCGUUGGCGCGCCCGCCCCAACUCUGGCGCGGCCGCCCCACGACCUGAGCGGGAAUUUUGGCCCGUUUUGCCCGUUUUUGAUCCGUUUAAAGGUCCGUUUGCUGGGAAACUAAAAGGAGGACUUGGGGGACUUAAAAGAUAACCUAGAAACAUUCUAAGGAGCACGUGACGGCUACGAAGAAGAUCUAGUUCAAAAUUUCAUCUUUGUAAUUCUUCGAAGUAGGCGAUACUUUUGGAUGCUCAUUCGGAUUUGUUUCGAAACUCUUGUUCUACUCUUUUGACUUUGUUUUUCCUAUUCAGUACCAUGUUUACAUUCGAACCCAUGAUGAUGAGAAGUUCGAUUAUGAACUAAUCAUUGUCAUGGGAUUUUAGCGGAUUUAUCGAUGAAUUUCAGUAGUUAAUUUGCCUUGUUCAUAUGUGAUGGUUUGAUUUCCUCGUAUUGGUUGUGCUUAUUCGUCUUGGAUGCGUAGCUAACAUCUAAGAUUGCUUGUUAAUCUUUAUUGAAGCGACAGUGAAUAUAUUGAUUUAGAACUUGCCAUGCGAGCAUAGGUUUCGUGUUCGAUAACAUGACUUGUGAUGUGAUUUUACCCAUCUUGCAUCGCCCUAUGUAAUCUUGAUAGAUAACUUGCUCUUCAACCGUUAUGUUUUCAAAUUCUAUAGACAUAUAGGGUCUAAGCAUAAUUGGUGUCUGUUUACCUUCUAUCUUAAUUGUGGAUGUGUAGCAGUAUGGUGCACGUAUAACGACAGUUAGCGUGUAUCAGUCUCGUGUUAUCUGAUUAGUUAUCAACCAUUACAAUCGAAUAAGGUAGAACUCUGAAUGAAGUUGUUAAUGAAGCUAGAAUCCCAUGUUUUAUUCUCAUUAGUAAAUCGUAUUCUCUUAGUUGAUAAUUCUUAGUUUCAUAAUUCAAAUAGGAUUAGUUAAGUAGAAAACCAAAACCCAAUUUGAUACUUGUCCAAGCAUUGAAUAAUAAUCAUACAUUGGUGCAUAAGUGCAUAUUUCUGAAUACACCAGUCUCUGUGGGUGCGAACUUGAAUAAUAUUCUAUAUUACUUGUGACCACGUACACUUGCGUGAUUUUGUGCGAACAAACACCAAUUAUGUGAUCUGGGUUUCUAGCACCCAUUAAUAAAUCAAAAUUGUUGCUUCAUUAACUUCUUCCAUGUCCAUCUCCACAUCUGCUAUCUCCACCACCGCCCACCACCGCCAUCAGAAUCGAGUACAAGAACAGAUCCUUAGAAUUUCACCAAUUUCUGAAAGUUUUCACCAAUUUUUACAGUACAAAUCACUAAACUCUAAAGAGAAUACCACUAAAUUGUAUUGAGAAUAUCACUAAAUUAUAUUGGUUUUUAGUUUUAUUUAAGGACUGGUUUUUAUUUUAGCACUAGCAUGCAUAUAUAUAUAUAUAUAUAUAUAUAUAUGUAUAUAUAUAUAUAUAUAUUUAUAUAUAUUUAAAGUAACAAAAACAUAUUAUGACCUGACUCUUCAAACUAUUAAUAGCCUACAGCUAAAUAUCAAUAUCAAAGUCUAGACUUUAUAAAUACUUGACCAAAUCUCAAAGUUAACAAAUUCACUCUAAAAUCCAAGAGUAAAGAGAAAAUGCAAAUAAUCCAAAUCUAGUUCUAGAAAGUGUAGCUCCAUAAUAAAACAAACAAACAAUGAAAGAAAAAUAUAAUUUGGAGAUAUUUUCCAUUCGUCUUCUUUCAACUUCCGAUGCAAACUCAUUUGUGAAGCACCUGCAAAUUUGAAAACAAUUUUUACUAUUUAGUGAGAAAUCAAUAUGACUAGCCAGUGAAUCAUGUAAGUUUAUAAAAUAUCAAAAAAGGAUAGUUCAAACUCAAACACACACACACACACACACACACACAUAUGUAUAUAAUAUUAAUAUCAGAUUUUCUAAGCUUGUAAGUACCCAAGCACACAAUAUCAUGUAUUUAUAAUUGUAUAUAAUGAACCUUAUAUAAAAUAUCAUAAGAAAUUCAACCUGAAAUUAUAAUCGAAGCCACACUUAAUACAAUAAAAUAAGGAAGUUUUGAAAUCAUAUAUAAUUAUUAGCAAAACUUUAAUGAAACUCCUUGAGUUUUGAUGAUCACAAGAAAACAACAAGCUAACUUAUUGUUUGUAUUCUCUUUAGCAUAUUUUGCUUAAAUUUUUAGUAAAAUGUGUUUUAGGUGACUAUUAGCGAUUUGUUUGGACAACUCAGUAAAUUUCAGCAAGCUAUUAUUUCAUGCCCAUAAUACAAAAUUUAGCGAUUUUUCAAAUUUUAUAAAUUGUCUUUAGAAUUUAAAAUGUACCCAAUGCACAUAUAUGUAUAUAUAAAAAAAAAUGACAAGGAAUUGUAAUAUUAAAUAUAAAAUAAAAUUUAAAAAUACUAAUUUGACUAAAGUUCUUUAACAUAUCUUAAUUAUUUCAAUUGUUUCUUUAAGAAAAAAUUAGAAGCACAAUAGUAAGUAAUGUACAAUAUUAUAACUGAUAUUUAUAUGUAUAUAGGACAUAUUUGAUAGACUUGAUAAAAUACAGUUAUUAAUAUAAUGACAAACAUAACGUGCACACAUAUAAUUUUCAUAAUAAUAAUGAAUGUAUACAAUGAAUGAAGAAUUUUGCAUAUAUUGUAUUAUAUUAUUAUUUAUUAUAAAUGAAAAAGGGAAGAUGACAAUGAAUCUUCUUCAAGAAAUAGAAUCUUAACUUUUAAAAAUAAUAAAUUUUUAUUAUCUAAAGUCAUUUUUUUGUAAUAAAUGAUAUACACAUUUACUUUCUUUAGCAUAUAAAUAUUUAUUAAAAUAUUUAAAUGAAGCAUGUAUUCAUAUAAAGACUUAUAAAAUAAUUAAAAUACUGGAAAUUUAGUUUGUUAUUAAAUAAAAAAAAUAUUUUGGCACUAGAUAUAUAAUAUAUAUUUAUAACCAAGUGUUUACAUCAAUAUAAAUAUCAACCAAAUUAAUAAUUUAACUGAAAAAAAUAUCUUCCUAUCGAGUAUCAGUCUAUUACAUGGGUUUUGGAGAUCACACACACACACACACACACAUCUACACACACACACACACACACACUAAUUGUAUAUUUAGACAACUAUUACAAAAGAUAUGUGUUGGUCAUAAAGUAAGAAGAAAAUGUUGGGUAUCUACCUAAUAUGAAUUAGAUUCUGAUUUGAGUUAGAAAUUUUUGUGUGUGUGAUCUCAUUAGAAGGCGAAUUCGUAUUUUUAUUCCUAAUAAGUGAUAUUAAGAGCCAAGGUUCGUGAUGGAUGAGGUUUAAGAAAAGUUCGAGAUUCAAUUUGUAUGGCAGAGUAUGAUGAAGGAUUUGUUGACAAGAAGUCGAAAGUGAGAAGAAACAAAUUUACGUGCAGUAUUGCCGGUUGGCCUAUGCAUCAAUGAUCAACCAUGAUGUUCUUGAGAAGUUGUUUCUUAAGAAAGAUUUAUUUAAGCUUGAUAUAAAAGAAGAUGAAAUAAAACGUCACGAUUAUUUCAAUCGUUCAAUCAACCAGGUGAAUUAUUUGGAAGAUAAUAAUGAUAUUCUUAUAAAGACCGAAGGAUUUAGAAAGAAAGGAUCAAGUGACUCAUCAGAUGGAAGGGCACUCACGGUUGAUGCACGUGAUUUUGUACAUGGAUAUGUCGUUAUGAUGAAGAACGAUGAUUUGGAGGGUACUAAGUGGAAUUUAGCGAUACUCAAAGUUUGUAAGAACGAGACAUGGAGAUUCAUGUUUGAGGGGAGGCAUUGACUGAUUCACUUCCGUGUUUCUAUGGAGAUAUAUAUAUANAUAUAUAUAUAUAUGGGUAGCAAUUGUAUGUUUUGACAAUUAUUUCAAAAGAUAUGUCUUGAUCAAAAAGUAAGGGGAGUAAUGUUGGGUAUUAACUUUUAUGAAUUUGAUUCUGAUUUGAGAUUGAAAUUUUAGAUUCAGAUUUAAUUAGAGUUAGGUAUUUCAGAAUUAGUCUAUAAUUUGACUAAGUUUGAGAUGACUAUAUAUACACAAUAAUAUUGUGUUUGUUAUGCCGCAAGAUUUUUCAGAAUUAGUCUAUAAUCGGACCGAAUUUGUACGGUUCGGUUUUGCUCACCCCUACACUUUACGUGUAAAUUCACUACAGAGAUGUUUAACAGGAAUAUAAACUCUCAAAUGAGGCCUGAGGGCAUAAAUAGGUACGAGAUCAUAUCCAUUUAUAAUUGAACUUAUAAAAUACAUCCUGCAAUCACGCAAUCACCAAUUAUAAUUAUAAAUAUAACCCCAAAAAAUGACCACCACAACAAUGUAUUUUAGCGAAUAACAUAAAAAAAAUCAUAAAAACUGUACUAAACACAAUCAAUAAUGCUAAUUGUAUGCAAUAUCUCCAUGACUUUAAUACACAAUGGCUUUUAUAAUAUAGUUCAAAUUGAUAAAACAAUUAGUGGAAUCACUAUAUGAAAAGAGUAUAAAUGGAAUCAGAAUGGGUUUGUGAUAAGUGUUUCUAAUUUUUUUUUGAAGUUUAUUAAAUAAGAAAUUUCUAUCUGAAUAUAUAGCCAUGUAUACUAUAUAAAACACAUAUACCCAAACCUACAAAGGACAUGUAUCCUAAUGAUGUGAAAUAAAAAAUACUGUUCAACAAAUAAUAGUGAAUAAAAACGAGUUUUUAGAAAAAUAGGUACCUGACUUUGGGACUUAGAAACAUCAUCUGUUAAACUUAUUCCUCUACGCUUCCAAGAACAAGAUCACUGGUUGGCAACUCAAACCUACAAACUGGACAGGUAUUCCUUGUAGCCAACCAAGAUUGUAUACAAUCUACAUGGUAAUUAUGCAUACAAGGUAAUUCCAUGAGAAAAUCUCCCACAUUCAUCAUAUCUUGGCAUACAACACAAAAAGGAAUGUCUUUCUCACAUUCAACCUUUUUCACUUUAAGUGAAUCUAUAAAUGAUUUUGCAGUUGGUGUUGUCUUUAGUUCAACAUCAUCAUCCUCAGCCAAACUCUCCAAAAUUUCUGCAUAUUCAAUGGUAGUCAUAGAUACCUCUGGGUAAACAGAAUCAAAUCUCGAUUGAAAUUCCAUUCCACUUGAAUGCACUUCACUAUUGAUCAUAUGAUUUGCAUGACGAAAUUGUUGAAUAUAGGCAUCACGACGUUGGUGAAUUGCUUCACGCCGACGAACAACAAAAACACGAUGACGACCACGACGACGAGAUAUAGGGCGUCGAGGGAGAUUUGCAACCAUUAGACGGUUAAUUGAUAUACCGUCAUUAUUUGAUGUAGCUUGUGUUUCCCCGUAAUCUUCAUUUUCCGGCUGGUUUGAGCGCCGCCCAAAUUGAGAGUAAGCUUCUUCGUUACUAGCCAUUUCGUUGUUUUUUUUUUUUUGGAAUACUACUGAUUGUAAUCCCAAUUCAUAAAUAGUACUUUUCUCUUGAAUAUGAUAAUUUUUUAAUGGCUACAAAUAUGCUAAUAUAUAUUGAAUAUCUUAAAAUAUUUCUCUUCCCUGAAAUAUAUUCAUAAUCUAUUUAAUUUUAUAAAAAUCCAUAUGUUAUCUAAUAUAUUUUAAUUAUUCCAUAUACCAACCUUUUUUUAACUCCACACUUGUGUAAAAUACUUUAAAAAUAUAUUUUUUCCAAUAAAAUUAUUUUGAAAUUUGAAUAUUUAAUUCUUAUAUUAAUAUAAUCAUGUAUUUUUUAUAUUUUUUGAUCUUAUUUUAAAAUAAAAUUUUCAAAUAAGCUUUCUCUUUUUCUUUCUUUUCUUUUGUUUUUUUCACUUCAUCAUUUAGUUAAUCCUAUCACCUCGGUAAAUAAUUAAAUAAUAACAUUUUAAAAAAUGUAAGAACAGAAAAAAAGGUGUAAAUUGUGACAUCCCUCAAAUCCGGGGGUCUAGAUUUAACGUCACCACACGAAAACACUUUUAAAAACCUGUAUUUAUAAAAAGAUUGCAAAAAUCAAAGAAUUUAAAAUUUGAACAUUUUGAAAAGGAUUUAAAAGAAAACCAGUUUAACCCCCUAAAAACAGGAUCACAUAUAGAUUACAAUAUUGAAAUUGAGAAAUCAACAACUCAUAUUAUUAUCCAAGCAUCUUUUACAAAAUCAUAUUAUCUUCAAUAAGAAGAAUCCCUGACAAUCAAUUACAAUCCCAAUUUACAACAAAAUCUCAAUUACACAAUUAUAUCUAGAGCCAACCUAAUCAAUCUCCUUGGAUACUUCAUUUGACCGCUGGAUACUUAAGGACUUAUACUCCUUGCCUUACAUUAGACUUACUCGCGAUCACAAUCAAGCGACUCAUCUUUAAGCAUUUCUGAAAUGGUUAGAAGCAAAUAGAAAGAGUGAGCAGCAAUUCUCAGCAAGUAUCAAUAAGCAAUGACAAGUCUGAAAUAUUUAGCAGGAGUUCACAAAUUUAGGGUACUUUAUAAAACGAUUAACAAUGCUUUGCAUCAAUCGAAAACUAAGGAAUUCAAUUUUUCAAAAGAAUUAUUGAAUUGAACUUAUCACAUUUUAAUUUUAAAAUCAAGGUUUAGACUGCUAAUCAGUCACGCACUAACCCCGAACAUGGCACACAACAUAUUCUCUAUACUGGACCCAAGGCACACAUUGGCCUACAUUUUACCACGAAUCUGGUCCACUUUUCAAAAAAAAAAAAAGCAAUCCAAUUCUAACAAUUCAAUUUAAUAAACGAAUGUAUCUCAACAAAAAAAAAUCACAAUCAUCAUUUAUAACAACAUUUAUCCAAAAUUAAUAUUGAACAUGAUAAUCAAAUCAGAUAUAAAAAGAGAUUCAAUCAGUAAUAAGAAAGGUUUGGUAUUUAUGAGAAGAGUUUAGGUGUACCAGAAGGUAUGUUAUCUAUUGAACGAAAGGUAUCUGGUGAUUUUGAAGUGGUACUAUAUUGUAGGGUAGGUGUUUGAUUAUAAGUCCGGUAUUUUUAUUUCAAUUGAUUGUAACUCGUAUGUGUACAUGUAAGGUGUGAUAUGAUAUUCAAAUUUCUAAGAAUUAGAAGUAUUCAGUGGUUAUCAAUUUAUGUUUGGAAGUAAUGAAUCAUAUGUUUAUGGGUUCAAGUCUAAACAAGAUAAUCUACAUAAGCACUAAUCAAGUAUAUCUCAAAUUCGUCUGAACAUUUGCAACAUCUGUAAAGGGAAUGGAUCAUGAUACUUGCCCCUUUCAAUAUAAAGGUAGAGUAGAACUACUUGCGGUAAUUAUACGUUGGAAUAGAUAUACUUGCUCUUCAACUAUAAGAGAUUAAUACUUGCCUUAACUCUGGCGUCUAGACCAAAUUUUUAAUAGUUGUAUCUACUCACAAUUGUUCCCUGAUACUCAGCUUCUGACAAUAUUUUAUCUACGACCAAGCUUCGCCUUCUUAGGUUGUACUUGAUUUGACUUGCAUCACCAUUUGAUACUUUUUGAACGUUCACGAUAUUCACUUCUUGAUCAAUUCUACGCAAUAGUAGGAUAAUACUUCAGUCGUCGCAUCAGAGAAGCUAACUAUUUCUAAAUACUAUCAGGACUGUGAACAUAUUAUAUAUAUAUAUAUAUAUAUAUAUAUAUAUAUAUAUAUAUAUAUAUAUAUAUNNNNNNNNNNNNNNNNNNNNNNNNNNNNNNNNNNNNNNNNNNNNNNNNNUUUGUUUUCUCUCCCUAUCCUGUCAUGCACUUCUAAAUCGAUGAACAACAAGCAGUACUUCUAAAUCUUGCAUAACAUAAAAUAAUAAUUCCAUAAUAUUGGUGUUCAAUCACCGAAAUCCUAACAAAUAAAAAUAAUAAUUGCAUACAAAACAAAGAUGUAGUUGGACACUGCUAUGAUUGGCAAUGAACUCAUUGUCAUUAUCCUGCAACGAAUUGAAUUUGUUGCAAGACAAAAUAACACUUAGAUGUAUCACAAAUAUGCGGGACAAAUUAUUAAUAUUACAUUACUAGAAAUGCAGGACAAGAAUAGUGUAAAUUACAAACAUAGUUUUGAAUUAAAACUAAAAACAAGAAAUGCAUGACAAAAAUAUUAAUAAUACAAUACUAGAAAUGCAGGACAAAAAUAGUGUAAAUUAUUAAUAUUACAAAACUACAAAUGCAGGACGAGAAAUGCAGGACAAAGAAUAUUUAAUCAUGUCCAUUAAUUGCCAUAUUAUUUAACGGUAGAUCUUGUAGUCUCUAAUGACUCCAAAAUUUUUGAUCUCCAUUGAGCCCAUCUCUAUAUAUAGGCAAGUGCUCAGAUGAGAACCCCAACUAAUGUGAGAUAUGAGAUCUAAUCUCAGCCCUUCAUUUUAUAUAAAAGCUUUUAAUCCAAGCCCUUUAUUUCUUCUCGUGUCUUCAUCCCUGUCGGCUGCUCCAUUUCAUUUUUUCAUCUCUCUUCUAUCCACCUCCCACACCACCCACCACUGCCUUCUCUCUCCCUCAUUCUCCCCAUGGCUGUUGCGACGUCGCCGCCACCUGGUCUGUAGCUGUCUCCCCAGCAUCUCCGCGGAUGGGCGUCGUCACUUCGCUCUCCCUCGCGAGCACAUCGCCGACCCAACCUUCAUCCCCGACCUUCCACCGACGGUUUCACUCCCUCCGCUCUUUUUCUCUACUCAGCCUGCGACUCCAUUCUUUCGCCGGAAACACAGCUGGCUCCGUAGAGGCAUGCUUACACGACGCUUUCUGAUCCGUCGGUGAGAGUCCUUUACGAUCUGCCAGGCGUCGGCAAAGAUGAGAGGCGAUUUGAAUACGCGCCAGCACCGACGAGUUAUCGGAAAAGAUAUUGUAGGUCGGCGCGAAACAGAUCUGUUCUGUUAUGUGACAGAAAUCAAUUAAAUCAAGGUGUUUUUUGAUACUCUGAUGGUGAUUUUGUUUUGUAGUUGGUGGUUUUUCGGAUAUUGGGAUGGUGAUGGUUGUUGGUAGAUGGUAGUGGUGUGGUGAUUUUUAUUUUUACGGUGGUGCUUUUUAGUUUUACAGUGGUGCUUUUUAGUUUUACAUUGGUGAUUUUUGUUUUCUGACGCUGAUUUGGCUUUGUAGUUGGUGAUUUUUCAGAUUUGAGGGUCUGUAGAUGGUGGUAGUGAUCUGUAGAUGGCGGUGAUGUGGUGAUUUUUUCACUUUCCGACAGUGGAUUUCAUUUUUUCAGCGGUGAUUUUUACUUUUCUGGUGGUGAAUUUAGUUUGACGAUGGUGAUUUUAUAUUUGCCGGUGGUGAUUUUCCGGUGGUGGCGGCCGGAAAUGGUGGUCGGUGGUGAUUGGAGGUAGCAGGUGGUUGAAUUAAAAUGAAGAUGGUGAUAAAAUAUUUAAAUAUCAAAAAUUAAUGGGGUGUGAGAUUGAUAUAAGAUAUAAAACGUGUGGCUGAGAUUAUAUCUCAUAUCUCACAAUAACAUUGGUUCCCACUGGAGCAUGACUCUAUAUAUCUAUAUAUAUAUAUAUAUAUAUAUAUAUAUAUAUAUAUAUAUAUAUAUGUGAUUNUUAUGAUUUAUAAAAGUAUUAAGAUUAUUGUUCUACUUAUUAGUUAUAUUGCAGAACAUAGAGUCUUAUGAUUUAUAAAAGUAAUUAUUCUACCAUUUGAUCACGAUGUUUAUGUUGCUGAACAUAAUUUGCAGGUUGUCAAAUAUUUACAGAUAUUAUUGGACAAAAAAAUUGAAAUUUAGAUGACUAGAUUACAUUUUAUCAAACUUUGUACUCCAAUACUCCAUUUUUUUUUGUACUCCAUAGAACUUAACUAUAUAUGAUACAUCCUGAAUCAGUUACACACAUAAUCACGUAGUCAUGAAUUCAAAUAAUAUUUAUUCAUUAAGACAUUCUGUUUAGCAAUAUUAAUGAACAACCUGUUUGUGUCAAUCACAAUUCAUUCUUGCCAAACACACACACAUAACAUUUCUCGUACAACCAUAAGUACAAAUAAUAUAUUACUGUUUCUAAUCUGCUCGCAAGACACUAACUAUAUCUAAUCCAUUUGUCUCACAACUCAACAACACUUAAACCAUGUCAACCAAAUAUUCAAAAACUAAUAACAUCGAUGCUCGUUUUCAGAAUAGUAUAUAGUCUUAAUUCGCAAAAUCAGCUAAGACAUAAUUUUUAUUGAUAAUAGAUCCAUCUAUCUAGAAACACAAGAUAGUAACAAUCUGUAACUUGAAAUUCUAAUAUCCACAGCAGUUGCCCUAACGACAUUAAACAAUGAAUCUAUAUAAGUAAUUGUAUCGAGCACAAAUGAAAAACAGCUAAACAUAAGCAGAAACAUGAUUGGCCCUUUUUAAUUCAGGACCCUUCUUAUGCUCACCAUCACUUCUGUAAUUCAACGUCCCUCACCAACUCCCAAUUUGUUGUUACUUACAACACACCUACGACAUCCACUCAUUAUGUUUGCGGACUACAUCACCACCAUGCCACCUCCAAUCGGACCAUCAAUUCAUAAUCAGCCAUUGCAGCCUCCCCACUAUUGUCCCUCACCUUCCACCAACUCCAGCACACACCUCUAAACCCGCAGCCCUCGACGCCAAUACACUACUACUGCCCUUCUCCUCCCAGCGAUCAAAACCCGCUACCGCUUUAUGUCAGUCGUUUCCGGCGACCCUAUCAAACUCAACCAAUGUCAACCGAUACUCACAAACACACACCCCUUCAAUACAACCCAACUGCCACGCCGUCGCUGCUUCGAUCAAAACUCACAACCUCAACUAUCUGCUGCUGUUCAUAACACCGAACACCACCCAUCUCCUUCCCUCUCAACCACAACCAACCCGUAUCCCUAUGCUUUCUUUUUUCCAAGGCUGCACAGUGACGCUGACGACAAGGCCGCUGCCAUGUCUAAACUUCAGCCACUCGCCAAAGCCGCCCUUGCACCACCACCCUCCGAUCAGCCUCUCAACUAUACAACAACGCAGGAUUACAUAUAUGAACAUACGUAUAAACACAUCUCUUACCUGCAUAUUCGAACGGAUUUAGUUAGAACCCUAGUUUUUUUUUUCUGUUUCCCCCCAAUUCAAUCAACACGGAUGCAGUUUAUAUAAACUGAUAUUUUGAUUUUGUUUUAAAACUUCUGAUCCCUGAAACAAGUUGUGCUUUAUUCUUUAUUGAGGCUUGUAGAAUUCUAUUCUUUAGUCUACUUCAUUGUUUGAUUAUAUAUUUACUUGUUCGUCAUUUUUUCGAUUUCCAUAUCAGACUUAUUUAUUAUUUCCUUUCUUAUUGCAGUGUUGAGUUAUCGUCAGUACAUACUACGUUACAUUAUGCAUUAUAAAACUUCUACGUCAUUUGUUCCAAAUAAAUGUGGAUCAUGAAAAAUCAAGAAAUUUAACAACAAUCAUUCUCAUUAUUUAAUUAAAAAUCUGAAAAAGAAAUAAUAAUUACGGUCACAUAACAAGUUUCAUAACGUAAGACCUUACAUACUAUCUAAUCUAUAGUGAAAUCAAGUGGGCCGCAUAUAAUUGUCACAAAAGUUAAGCAAAUGAUGAUAAUUGUGUAACAUUUAUAUGUGUCAGGUCCAUUUGCAGAAGGAGGUUAAAUGCAUACAACUAUAUUUCAAGCUUUUCGGCUAACAACAAUUUGGAAUUUAUGUUAUAGUAGAAUAAAUCAAAGAGAAAAUAUUUAUUAAUACAUUAAUAUUUUAAAAACCGAUAUUAAUAUUUUGAUUGAGUAAAUAUUUACUUGGAUUGAAAAUAAUUUUGGAAUGAAAGAAUGAAAAUAAAUUAUGUGAACCAGAAACAAAUUACUUUAGCUACACACUUUUUGAAGAUAAUGUUAAAAUAAGAUUUUAAUGAAUAUAAAUUUUAAUUUUUUUCAAGAUUCAUGCAACUUUACUUUUAUAAUUGUUCAUCUUGUAAUAUCAUAUUUUUGAUAUUUUUUAUUUCCAAUUAUUUAUUAGAAAAUGUAAAUAUAUUUUUUGAAAAUAAAAGUAAUUUUAGUACGAAGAAAUAUAAUUUGAUUUUUCAAAUUGCUUACUAAAAAUAGUUUUUCACUGAACUGGUCACACAGACUAAACCUAUUUAUGAAAUUUAUAACCUAGAUGUAAUUUUUUAUAUUUACAAAUAAAUAUGAUAAUAAACUUAUAUUAAGAUAUUCUUUUUAAUCCGAAUAUAUGUAAUUAGUUAAAAAUUUAAUAAAAACACUUACUUUUUAAGUCCUGAUAUUAAUAAAUUUAACUUAUUUAAUAUAUUAAUAAAAUACAUGAUUCGAUUAAAUCAUAUUUCAUCAAAAAAUUUAACCCGACUUGAUAUAUAAUAUCGAAAGAUAAACGAAUUCGCAAGAUUUUUUGUGGAUCUCUGGCAAAAUUGUAGUUAGCAUUCAAGUAGAGGGCAAAGUUGUAAAAAUGCAUUGAAAGAAUGCCCUUAAAGUUCCUCAAAAUUACAAUAAGCCCUUUAUUGAACAACCCAUCCAGGGCACAAAUGGUAAUAAAGCGAAAUUUGCAGCCCAGUUUCCCUCCACUCCUCCCCAUAUAUUUUUUUGGUCAAUUGUUGUAAAAUCCCCAUUUCUCCACAACCCACACCUCUGCGCUUGCAAUUUCCGUCUACACUCGAGUGGUGGUGAUUGUUUUUCAAGUAAAAGCUCUCGAUUACACACAACAGGUAAGCUCUUUCCUUUCUUUUCUCUACAAUUGUAUAUUUUGUCGAUGCUUUUUGUAAAAUUACAGACAGUUGUACAUGUUUAUCAAUCAAUUGCCAUUUUAGGGUUUCAGAUCGGCUAAAGAUUGAAACUUUUUUGAAUUGUAUUUCUGGGUUGGUACUUGCUGUUUAUAAAUCGUUGUGUAUUUGUAAGCUUGGUACUCUAGAGGUAUGUGAAUUGUAGGAAAUGCGUUUUGUAUGAAGCUAGUUACUCGAGGGGAAGAGUUGUUGAGUUUGAUAUGCUUUGGAUUGAAUUUGUUUUGUUGAAUUCCAUGUUUAUGCGGAGUGGUAGUGUUUUUUUUUUUUUUUUUGGGGGGGGGGGGGGGGGGGGUGUGUUGUUGUAUANNNNNNNNNNNNNNNNNNNNNNNNNNNNNNNNNNNNNNNNNNNNNNNNNNNNNNNNNNNNNNNNNNNNNNNNNNNNNNNNNNNNNNNNNNNNNNNNNNNNNNNNNNNNNNNNNNNNNNNNNNNNNNNNNNNNNNNNNNNNNNNNNNNNNNNNNNNNNNNNNNNNNNNNNNNNNNNNNNNNNNNNNNNNNNNNNNNNNNNNNNNNNNNNNNNNNNNNNNGGGGGGGGGGGGGGGGGGGGGUUCUGUUGAUGUUAACUGUUUGAUUCAUUUAUUGAAAGAUCAGGUUUCAGAUUGUUUUUGGUACUUAACUGAAGACAAAUUAAUAGUUGAAAGCAAGGCUGGAUUUUGUUUUGUCGUGAGUUCAGUAGGGUUGGUUAUAUUUUCUGAAGGAAGUUUUGUGAGAAUCUGUUGUAGCUCAUGCAUCCUAUAUGAAAUGGAACUGAUUUAAUUAUGACACCUUUAUUAUUGUGUUUGUGACAGCAAAAUGACGACAACAUGCAUUCUUUGUUGCGCCUUUUUUUUUCUUUCCUAAUAUGAAGAUAUACAAAUUGUAUAAAUUUAUGGAUUUUAGAAUGAGUUUUUCUUUAUACUCUCAGUUUUUGUCUCUUCAGGUCUGAAUCAGUGUCAACUUAUUUAAUUUGGUGAGGAGGUUCUGUUGGGGGUCUUCUGCACGAUGGUUUGGUUUUCUGAAGGUCCCGGUUCGAAGUACAUUGGCAUUAUCGUCGCUGGUCUCGAGCACAAGAUACUUUAUUAGCUUUUAAAAUUCUUGUUUACUCAAAAGGACGCUAUAAAUAAGGUUUCAAUCUGGUAAGUGAUGGAGUGCAACAAAGAAGAGGCUGUAAGGGCCAAAAGUUUGGCUGAAAAGAAAAUGGAAAUUAAGGAUUUUCUCGGAGCUCGAAAGAUUGGAAUUAAGGCCCAGAACCUCUACCCUCAAUUGGAGAACAUUUCCCAGUUGAUUAUGGUUUGUGAUGUGCAUUGUUCUGCUGCAAACAAGGUCCGUGGAACUGAAAUGGACUGGUAUGGCAUCCUUAAACUCGAGCCAACAGCUGAUGAGGCAGCAAUAAAGAAGCAAUUCAGAAAGUUUGCCCUUCUUCUGCAUCCAGAUAAGAACAAGUUUGCCGGUGCAACAGAUGCCUUCAAGUUAAUUGGUGAAGCUCAUGGAGUGCUCAUGGACAGAGAUAAACGGAGGAUACAUGAUAUGAAAUGUAAACCUGCUGCAGUUAAUGGGGCUCCAAAGCAAGCAAGCAGGCCUUCCUACGUACGGAGACCACCAGGUUCUGACAAUAGUUCCUUUAACAUGUAUAAACAGUUCCGCCAGGCACCACAGACUGCCCAAACAGGAGUUCAUGGUAAUAGACCAACUUUCUGGACUGCAUGUCCAUUCUGUUCUGUGAGGUUCCAGUAUUACAGAGAAGUGCUCAACAAAAGUCUUAAUUGUCAGUCAUGUAACAAGGCAUUUACUGGCUACGAAAUCAAUGUUCCCACAGCACCACAAAACAACUUCAGUCAGCCAGUAUUUCCCAAACAAACAGCAACUAGUAAUCCGGCUCCUAAUGUGGGAUCAAGUAGUAAGUUUGGGUACUCCACUGCUAAAGUAGAACUUGGGGGAAAUUCCGGUAACAAGAAUUCACGGUCUUUUGAUGUGGCACAGGGGUCUAAAUCGAAUGAAAAACAUGGAGAUGUUUCUAUAAAUUCCAAGCAGAAGCGCAAAUCUGAAAAACCUCAAACAGGUGCAAACAUGAAUGGGAAGAAGAGGAAAAUCUUAUCCGAAUCCAGUGAGAGUUGCAAUACUGAAACUAGCUCAGAUUCUGAGGAAGAGAUAUCUGUUAAAAUUGAUGGGUUUCAUAGUGAGCUGCCCCCACGGAGGUCAAGUAGGUCUAAGAGAAAUGUUUCAUAUAACGAAAAUAUUAAUGAUGAUAAUGACACAGCAGAGCCCGUAGUAGAAAACAAGUCUAGCGAUAAAGUGGAAGUUGAUGAUGUAUUACCAAAACAAGAGCCUCCAGGUAUAAACACAUCUGGCCUUGAUGCUCAUUUGAAUAAGAAUGACAAAGAGGCCAAAAUGUCCUUUGCAGAAGAGGUGCUGCUCGGCAAAGAAACUGAAAUGAAGAGUAAUAAAGAACCAUCUGAUGUUACUGAAACAGAACCAGAAGUCUAUGAAUAUCCCGAUCCAGAUUUCAGUGACUUUGACAAGGAAAGAGAGGAAAAGUGUUUUGCAGCUGGGCAGAUCUGGGCGAUUUAUGACACCCAAGAUGCGAUGCCUAGAUUCUAUGCUCUGAUCAAGAAGGUACUUCGUCCUAAGUUUAAGCUUCGGAUAACCUGGUUAGAGCCAGAUCCAGACGAUAAGGAUUCAAUCAAAUGGGUUGAAGAGGAUCUGCCAGUUUCUUGUGGUAAAUAUAAACAUGGAAGCUCAGAGAACACUGAAGAUCAUCAAAUGUUCUCACAUGUAGUUACUUGGGAAAAAGCAAGUAGGAGGGAUUCCUACAAGAUAUAUCCAAGAAAGGGCGAGACAUGGGCUCUCUUCAAGAACUGGGAUAUUAAUUGGUCUUCAUAUCCAGACAAUAGCAGGAAAUAUGAAUACGAGUUUGUGGAAGUCUUGUCUGAAUAUGCUGAUGGCACUGCUAUAUCUGUUGUAUACUUGGGUAAGAUAAAGGGUUUUGUUUGUCUCUUUUGUAGAGCACAACAUGAAGGAGUUGACAUUUUUGAAAUAGCACCAAAGGAGUUAUACCGAUUUUCUCAUAGGGUCCCAUCUUUUAAAAUGAGUGGAGAUGAAAGAAAUGAUAUCCCGAAAGGAUCUUUUGAACUUGACCCUGCAUGUCUUCCUACCAAUCUUCGAGAGAUCGAUCCUCCUGCCACUGAGAAUAUUAAAUUUGAAAAGACUCAUCCACUUGGUUCAGGUUCUACAUUCACAACAGGUUCUGUAGAACCAAUUCCAAAGUUUCAUAUGGAUGUACCUAAAAACCAAGAAGAGCGUAGAAACCAAUCCAAUUCCCGUGUUGAAAUAUCUUCAGACGAAGAAGACCAGAAGUUGGAGUCUGAUGCUAAUGGCAACACAUUUGUCAAUCCUCCUGACAAUACUGAUCCUCCGGAGGAAGCUUACGAAAUUCCUGAUCCUGAAUUUUAUAAUUUUGACGGGGACAAAUCGACAGAGAAAUUUGAGAUGGGUCAGGUUUGGGCUCUGUAUAGUGAUGAGGAUGGCUUACCAAAGUACUAUGGUAAGAUAAAGAAAAUUGAAUUUAUGCCAAAGCAUAUAUUGCACAUUUCGUGGCUAAGUGUUGGUUCAACUCCAAAUGACAUGAUUCAGUGGACAGAUAAAGCGAUGCUUGUUACUUGCGGUAAAUUCAAGAUUAGAAAGUUGGAACCCAGUCAAUAUACCAGUACUGCAUCCUUUUCUCAUCAGGUAAGAGUAAAAGAAAAUGUAAAAGGCGAAUAUGUUAUCCUUCCUAGAAAAGGUGAGGUCUGGGCAAUAUAUAAGAACUGGAAUGCUGGAAUGAAAUGUUCAGACUUGGAGAAGUGUGAUUAUGACAUUGUGGAGGUGGUAGAAGAACAUGAUUCAGGUACAUCUGUUUUGUAUCUGGAGUUAGUCAAUGGUUUCAAGUCGGUCUUCAGGGCUCAAAUGAAGGGACUAUCUCCUGCAAGGACCAAGAUACCAGCGAAUGAGCUGCUUAGAUUCUCCCAUCAGAUACCUGCAUUUCGGCUGACGGAGGAGAGAGGUGGCAGCCUGAGAGGUUAUGUGGAGCUUGAUCCCGCAGCACUGCCAUUUCAUUGGUUUAGUUGAAACUAAAAUGCCAAGAUGAUAUCUCCUUUCUCUUCUCUUUCACAUCUUAGUCGAGUAUUUUCUAAUACCUAUGUCAUGUGAAUCACAAGGCAGAGGUACUUAUCCCUAAGGGCUUAUAUAUGGUGUUUUUAAAACAUCAGGGACAACCUUUUUUGUUUAGAAACUAUCCAUUGGAGUUGUCCCAACUAGACUUUCUAAUCUAUGGAACAUCUAGACUUGUUGUCCCUUUUGGUUUGGUUAUUUGUGAUUUAGUUGGCUGUUGAUGACGCUGAUGUUCUAGUUUCAUGUAUGACUUGGUUCAUAUAUCUUGUCGGUCUUAAAGAAAAACAUGAGCUGAAUUUCUAUUUGAUAUGGGCCAGAUGGCCUUUCCUUUCCUUGUCUUGUUGGCAUCUGUUAUCUGUAUUGUCAAUCUGUGCUGUCAGCCGUAUAAGAAUCAAAAAUAACAAAUAGGCGUACCAUUUUCAAACCAGCAGCGAUAAAAGCUUACAAGUUAUCAUUGUGCUGAUCUACAACCUCUACAUUGUUACUUGUGUUAAAGCUUUCCUACUGUUACUUAGGUUUGUGUUGUGCUUAAACGGUCAUUGUUGCUGCUUUGCUUGUCAAAAAAUGAAAACAGGUUUAUUUAUAACUAACAGAGUUUGGUCUGUCUACAAAUAAAUAUCAGGUUUAUUUAUAACUAACAGAGUUUGGUCCGUCUACAAAUAAAUAUCUUUCUAAUGUGUAUCUAAGAGAACACAAUAAACGUUAAAUUUGAUGAGUUUGAUGGAUUUUUAUCUAAGAUUGAUGAGUUUGAUAGAUUUUUAUUGGUGGAAUUGGUGUAAAUACAGGAGGUCAAUUCAUAUGUAAGAUUAAACUCAUGAGAGUUUCAUAUGUAACAUUAAACGACCAAUAAAGAUGCACCAAACUCAUGAGAGUUAGUACUUACGAUAAAAAUCCUUCCGAAAAUACUAAUACUACUGCACUUCAUGUCUUUCAGCUCUGCAGGAUCCAGAGAAAGACUAUCAGUCAGGUGUAAUAUGCUUAAAAACUGAAAUCAUGUUCUCAUUUUUUUCUUCUUGAGUUCUAUUUUCGGAAUAUUACUUGAAGUUCACAAAUAAAAUAGGUCUUGUCUUCACGUUUUAUGGAGAAAAGUUUAUAUACUAAGAGCAGAUGAUACAUUAAAAGUAAAAUUUUGGUGACCAAUUAUUCUUUACGAAGAAAAAUUUACAUACUAUGAAUAAUAUAAUACAUUAAAUAUAAAAUAUUUGUAAAACAAUUAUUCUGUACGUUUUUCACUGUACGUUUUUCACCGUAACAAAUAACUGAUUCCACAUAUCUUAAGAUUAAUUAUCAUAUGUAAAAUAAAGAUUAAUUCUAAUUGCAAAAUACUAGUUACCCAAAAUUUAUUUUCAAUUUUUUUUAAAUUUUAGGAGAAUUCAGAUUCAUUUUUAUAAUAACAAAACUCAAUUUAUACACAUAAAUCACCCUGACAAAAAAAUUGAGAUAAAAUUUUACGGCAGGUUGCAUUAUUCUUCCAUUUUUGACUUUCCCCACUGGAGAGUGUAUCAUUACCAAAUUGUCGUUAACAUUACCUCCAGUCCUCCGCAAUACGCCCAUAUGAAGUCCAUAUGAAGACAGUGAAUUAUUAUAUUUUCCCUCCAAAUAGAAAAUCAUCAUGAUCCGUACAGUUUCCCCCAAUCAAUAAGCCCUAGACCCACACAUUCUUUCCAGUGUGAUAUUUGAGUUGUAAAUACUACCUCUUUUGUCUAGUUUUGCUGCUAAUUAGGUUACUAUGUGUUCACGAGGCGACGAUGAAGAUGACGAUGAUGAGAUCCAAGAGAACAAGAAAAAUUUGAAUCCUCAAAUUGAUAAUGCGGAGACUGAAUUUAUGGAUACUCAACCUUCUCCGUUACUGCUUCAAGGUAAAUUAUUUAGUUAAUUUAUCGAGAUUAAAUUAUCUAUUAUGCUGGGAUAGAUAAAUUGUAUGGGAAAAUAGAUUUUUUUGCCACCCAACUUAUUAUUUGUUUAGAAACAUACCACUGAACAAUAAUUUUUUUCUUUUUUGCCACUAAUGUUAGGUUCGGAUUUUUUUUUGUCACUAACAUUAGGUUCGGAUUUGAUUAUUAACACUAUGUUAUUCUUCUUAGAGUUAAUUGCAUUUGGCACCCCUUUGAUUUUAGCAUGUUGCACAUUGCACCUAAUAGUUUUGGAAUAAACACUAUGCAGCCCAUUACUUUUAACCCGUAGACACUUUGCACCCUUUCCGUUAUAUUCUGCCGUUACCGUUAACUUUUGAAUGGGCAUUUUGGGAAAUUUUUUUAUAUUUAAUUAAAAUCAAACCUUUAUUUAAAUUUUCCGACUAUCCAAACGAUAUUUUUCGGAAAUCUAUUUUUGGGUAGUCUGCAAUAUAAUAGUGAUCUGUGUCUAUAUCUUUAUAUGUGGUACUCCAUAUGUGUCCUAGGUAGUUUAUCUUAGAGGACGAGAUUACAAAAUUUUUUACUCAGAAAGGAAAUCUCAAAAUUAACUUAUGGACUUAAAUUUAUAAAAAGUGGGAACCUUAAAAUACGUGAUAAGUAGUGGUAAAGAACUAUAAAGUCAAGUGAUACUAUAUAUUUGUGGAGUCUUAAAAUAAUUCAUAAAACUAAACUUUUUAGGUUCUUAAAAUGCCUGUUAAACUCUCGUACUUCAAGGUAAACUAGCUAAGGGACAUAUAGAUAACUGUAUAUAAUGUUAUAGACACAUAUCAUAUUACCAUAAUAUUGCAGACUACCACUAUGUUUUUAUAAUACUAAAAAAAUAACAUAUUGUUAAUAAUCAAAUCAAAACAUAACGUUAGUGAUAAAAAAGAAAUCCAACUUUUUUUAAGGAAAAAAAACCAACAUUAAAUUUUAUUCAGAAAAAAUAAAAUAAAAUAAUUUUUGAAAUUUUUUGGAGUCUCAAAAUGCGUGUCCAACUCUCGUCGUCCAAGGUAAACUACCUAGGACACUACAUAAAGAUAUAGACACAUAUCAUAUCGCCAUUAUAUUGCAGACUAACACUAUAUUUUAAUAAUAAUUAAAAAAUAACAUAGUGUUAAUAAUCAAAUCCGAACCUAACGUUAGUGACAAAAAAAAGUCUGAACCUAACAUUAGUGACAAAAAAGAAAAAAAUUAUAGUUCAGUGGUAGGUUUCUAAACAAAUAAUAAGUUGGGUGGGAAAAAAAUCUAUUUUCCCUAAAUUGUAUUGAUUUGUUAACAUUCUACUUUUGGUAAGAUGAAGAAUUGGUGCACACAGUUAUGUUAAACGAAUAUUUUGUUAUCAAAUUUUGCAUAAUACCACCAGCAAUUGAAAAAAAAAGUUAUUAUGUUCGUCGUUCGGUUCUGACUAGUAUAUGUUGAAAUAUGAUGCUGAGGAAGUAUGAAAUCGUUAUUAGACCAAGUAGAAGAGUGAUGAUACGUUAUGGUUUUGUGUCAGGAUAUGAAUCGUAUGAUGAUGCGGUUACUUUAGAAGAUGCUGAGACUCAAGGGGUAUGCCUUGCUGGUGAGACUCAAGCAUUGUGUUAUGAUGGUGAAACUGAAGCAGUUGAUGAUGUGGAUUGUGCAGAAGAUUUGUGCACCCAAUUGUUUGAUGACCAUGAUACAGAAGUCGUGGUUGAUGUUGACGAUGAAGGAGCCAAGAGAAACGGAGUUUUAGAUGACACUGAGGCGUUGUCUGAUGUUGACUGUGUGGAAAGAGUUGACAAUCAUACAGUGGUUCAAGACAUAAUGCUGCAAACCUGUCUGCAGAAACAGGAUGAUGGUGAUUUUAAAGAGGUUGAGAACACUGAAGAGUGUGAUACAGGUCCAAAGACUUGUGAAUUUAAUUUUUUUUAAAAAAAAUUAUAUAUUAAGCGCUCGAGUUUAAUUUUGACAUCAGUAUUAUGUAUAAACCAUAAAGUAUAACUAGAAAACAUGCAUGUUUGAUGUUGGCGAGAAAACUAAGUAUCAUUCCUGUGAUAACAAAAUGAGCAAUACUAUCUAUUGGAAUGAAAGGCCAAUAGUCUUUUAUUAUCGUGGAUGUGUAUUGUUCAUUAUUUUACCUUUAACAAUAUCAUGUACAAAUUUGUAAAAAUAUUAACAUCUUGGUUUUAUGGCAGCAAAUAACCAAUUAAGUGGAUGAUUUUGGAGGAUAGGUAAGUGGAUGAUUUUGGAGGAUAGGUAUAAUCUUCACAAGUGUUUCACAAUAGAUGUGGUUUUUUUGUGUGCCAACAUACGCUUUAUUUCUUCUAUUAGUUUCAAGUUUCAAGAAUUUCCUGUACAUACUUCCAUCCCACAAGCUGCCUUCCUUACCUUUGUUAGCACGUCGUGUCUUUUUAAAAAAAAUCUAAAGCCAAACUCACAUUUAUGUUUAGUUUUUGCCUGAAUAUGGUAUGUAUAAGAAGCUAUAAACUCAGUCUAAUAGUGAAAUUUUCCGUCAUCAUGCAGCUCCAGUCCUCGAAGGAUUUACAUCACUACGUGUAGCAUCUAUUAGGUCUUCUGGUUUGGCUGCUCGCAACAUGUCUUUGAGACGAACUAAUAACACUUCAUAUUACAGUAUGAGUAGCAGUCAACAUGAAGUAGAGAGUAGCGGGCCAAGCGUUAUUGACAGUUCAUUAAAAGUUUUGGGGCUAAUUGAUCAAAGGCAUAGUCUGGAGGAGCUUGAUGAUAAAAUAAAAGGAUCUAGUAGUGAAAACAAGUGCAGGGUUGGCAAGUCAGCAGUUAGGAAAUUACUAUAUGAAGAUAUGUCUCAUGAGGAAGGGCUUGAUAUAAAUACUAAUAACACUGAUAAAGAAGAAAACUUCCCCCCAGUCUGCAAUUCUGAUAUGGAGUUGGCAGGCCUGAGCUAUGUAGAUUCUCAAGAGCCCGGAGAGGCUUCACAAACUAUUGCUCUUGACUUUGUGGACCAAUUUCUGAAAGUUAAUGUUACAGAAUUAGAUCAAGAAGCUGAAAUUAUACGGUCAACUGGGGGGAAAUUAAAGCCUCUCCCAGGUGCUAGAGGAACCCAAUUUCUGGCUAAACGUGCUAAUCGCAUUGGUUCAGCAUCUGGUGGGACAUUUGACUGGGAUGAUUAUCAAGAGGAUGGAGGGGGUCAGUUUUUAAGAAAAGAGAAAGGAGCAUUUUCAAAUGAUGGACGCAGAGCUCAUCAAUCCCUUCCCAAAUCUCAGGAUCUAAAGCAUCUGAAUCCAAAUAAUUGUUGGUCAGUCAAAGAAAACGGUGAGAAGGGAGAGCAACAUGACCUAUGUAACAGUGUAGCUGGCUUAUUUGACUCCGAUUCAAAGUUACUUUUGCACAAAACAAAAAAGAUUGAUGAAUCAAUGAAGGUGGCAGGAAAGUUCAUUGGACAAAAUCUAAUUAAAAAGUUGAAUGAUGCCAGAGAUGGAAUGGUUGAAACAGGUACUCAAAAAGAUAAUCCAGACAUGCUGGACAUAGGAGUUGAUACUCAACUGGCUGCUGACGCAAUGGAAGCCUUGUGCAAUGGGGUAGGUUUGAAUGACGAAGAAAACAAUGUUACUAAUCAGGGUGCUGAGAUCCAUUUUCUUAGUAAUGAAAAAGGAAAUUUUUUAAGAACAUUAGUGUCAGAUAGAGAUUUUGUUCAAAAAAGAGCAUCACGCUCUCCAGGAUCUGCACUCACUACAAGGCAAACGAAUCAAACUAAAAGGUAUGGUACUGGAUUGACUAAAGGGUUCUCCAUUUUAUCAGAACAGCAGUCCAGAAAAGCUAGGAAGCAGUGUGACGAGACUGAAGAUAUGUGCAACUUACACUGUGAACUUGUUGAGAAAAGUAUGAAUGAAAAAGAGUUGGAAAGAGGUGUUAUUGGUGAAAAUGAAAGAUGUGUUGUUUCUGCACCAAGUGGUAAGAAAACAGUGAAAAAAGGGUGUGUGCAGGAGCAGCUUAAUACCUAUUUACCCAUUGCUUGUCGUACUAGGCAGAAGGCAUCAACUCAAACACAGAGGGAUACCAAAACAUCCACCAUCUUAGUAAAGGGGAUAGAUAAUUUAAGUGCCCCUAUUGCUCCUAAAAGGAAAAGGAGCAGGGCUGCAAUAAACACACUUGCCCGAAAAAACUGUACUGAAUUUAAAUUCAUCCAACCUGCACACCCUAAGAAAACAAAAGUAACACAUACUGAGCCAUCAGAUUUAAAGAUAUGUGGUACUGGUACAAUCCAAAAGGGUAAUGUUCAUCCAAAGCCGUCCAAGGAGGAGAUAAACGGGAUGUCAAAUUCAAAAAUAAAGUUCACACAGAUGAAAUCAGGCAUAAAGAGGAAAAUACUGGCAUCUGGGCAGUCGCAAAAAGAAUUGGUGGAGGAUACUACUGUGGACCAUAGUCCUAACCACCACAGUGCCAUUGGAACAUCAGAAGAUUCAGCUGUGAUUAAGGCUCAGACAGCUGAAUAUACUAUUGGAAAGAGUCGCUCAGCUAUUACUGCUGCUGAGGGAGCAAAAUUGAAUCCAUGGUCUAAAGAAUCACUAAAGGACAUAUGUACACCAAAAUCUUCAGCUUAUGUGACCCCUAAUAUAUAUACAAAAUCUGUAAACAAAGCCUCUCCAGUGGGUAAAGAAUAUCACAAACCGUCAUUCAGGAAAAAGCCAUUAAGUUCACCACUAAAGAAAGAAGAUAGCAGAAUAAUUGAAGAUGGGCCAGAAUCUGCAUAUACAUAUAAAGAGUUGCGUAAGAGGAGAGAUAUAACUAAAGUUCAAGUCUUGUUCAGUCAGCACUUGGAUGGAGAUGUAAUUAAGCAGCAGAAGAAGGUAUAUUUGUAUUCUUUUCUCCUCAAUUCGUGAUUAAAGCAUAUUCAAAUUUGAAAAUUUAUUCAAUUGACUAUCACAGGUUUUGUUCCGGUUGGGAGCUUCUGUAGCAUCGUCAGUUUCAGAUGCUACACACUUCGUAGCUGAUGAAUUUGUGCGCACAAGGAAUAUGUUAGAAGCUAUUGCCUUUGGAAAACCAGUGGUGACACACUUUUGGCUAGAGAGCUGUGGACAGGCUAGUUGUCUCAUUGAUGAGCGAAACUACAUACUGAGAGAUGCUAAAAAGGAGAAAGAGAUUGGCUUCAGUCUGCCAGUUUCACUGGCACGUGCAUGCCAACAUCCACUUUUACAAGUAUGAAGUAUGAUCUUAGUUUAUCCCAUUGUUUGAUGGCGGUUAUGGUUAUUCUUUAGUAAACUACUAUUUUUCAGGGGUGUAGGGUCUUCAUCACGCCCAACACAAAGCCUGGUAAAGAUAUAUUGGCAAGUUUAGUGAAGGCAGUUCAUGGCGUGGUAAGUAUUUUUCUAAGGAUAUCCCUGCAGUUAUUAAUCAUUAGCACUAAACUAUUGGACUCCCUGAAUUUCUUUUAUGUAAUUUGCAAAAUGUCAGAAUUGUAAUUAUUGGCCAUAAAUUAUCACUUGUUUUCAUGAAUGGCUUGGUAGUCAAACAUGUAAACUGGGACUUUCUCUGCUCUUUUCUUCAAUAACCUUGACAUUAAUUCACAUGCAUCUUUGUAUGUGUAUACAAGUAACAUAUUACCCAAAGGUCAAUCAUAAAGCCUAAAGAUAUAUCCUAAAUGUCAAUUUUAUUAAAGCCUAACAAUCUAGUUUAAAGGUGCUAACAAAUUUUGCUAAAAAUUUUCUACUUUAUGUAUGGAGCUGACUAGUAAUAAAUCAUAAUUACUUCAGUGAAAACCAACUUCAAACUUGUGUUCAUUGAUGUUAGUGUUCUACCACCUAAGAUUUUUGAUAAGUUCGCUGGUACGAUUUGUAAACCAUAUUUCACUGGUUGCGGAGUAAAAUUUGUAUCCAUUUGCUUCUUUCCUCCAACCGCUGGUUCCUUUACGAGUCUCAUAUAGUCAUAUUUUACAUGCAAGUGUGAGAAUAUAAAAAGGAGCCUUUUACAUUCUGCAGAUAGUGUAUAGUACAUAGACCCUGCAUAACGAAGUCGUCAAAGUCCUGGACUCCUGGUUACAGUUCAGCAUAAUGUGAAACUUCAUUGCUGUUUUUUGAAGUACACUUGUUGAUAUCAGAGCACUAAGUAAUGGCUUUGGAUAUAAUUUCAAACUUGCAUGACCUCAACUACUAAAAUUCAUGUCUCCUGGUGCAUGGUUAAUACGUAAAACAAAUGACCCAAGACCAGACGAAUAAGAUUUUGCGUUCACGAGUCUUUUCCUCUUAGGCUUUGUUUGUAAAUUGAAGAAUAUCGUCAUACCUCAAGUAGAUCAAACAUUUUAUGACUAGAAGUUGGAAGAUUGGUAAUGGAUUCCAUAUAUUUUCAUUGUACUGAAUGAUGAUACACCCAAUUUCAAGUUGCGUGGCGGAUUCAGAUACUUUUUGUUCAUCUGGGUUUUUUAAGUCCACUGAUAUUUUUGUUCAGGCUGUUGAUAGAAUUGGUCGAUCUGCAGCAAAGGAUGAAAUGGUUUCAAGUGAUUGGAUCGUUCUUUCGUGUGAGGAAGAUUAUGCAGAUUGUGUGCCCUUCCUUGAGAAAGGUUAGGACCUAUAAAUACAUGAGAUUAAUCUAGUAAUAAAGAACAUUACUUUUAUUUGUAAUAGCAAUAUGUCACUCAAUGUUUAUAUACAGGAGCAUCAAUUUACAGUUCCGAGCUACUUCUAAAUGGUAUAGUUAUUCAAAAGCUGGAACAUAAAAGGUCCCUUUCUUUUCCUUAUAUAAAUUUUUUUAUUCAUGUUCCUGUUUCUUUGAUAUUAACUCGGUCUUAUGCCAAAGAAAAAAAAAAGUUGUUUCAUAGGUUUCAUGCGAUCUGAUAUUUAUGCUUGUGAUUAUUUUUACCAAUAAAAAUGAAUUCUUAUUUUAGCAAGGAAAUUUAGGAGCUGUUUGGUUUUGUUUUCCUGUUUUCUGGAAACAUUACCAUGUUUUCUUUUUUUUAUAAACUAUUUUCUAUUUAUAUUAUCUGAAAACUAUUUUUAAAAACAAGACGAAUCACCACAUUAGUUUUCUGACAUUGUUUUAUGUUUUUAAAAACUGCAAAAAGUUUUUAAGUUAUGAAUGCAAACAUCUACUUAAUUUUUAUUGCCACCCUAUAGAAUUAGAUGUAAUUUCUUAUACAUAAGCAAUUAAUUCUUGUAUCCUGUUUGAAAAAGUUUGUUGCUAAAUGCUAAGUUGGACAAUAAAUAUGUUCUUCGGUAAUAUUCACAAGUCUCAUUUUUUACAUGACAGGCAUCAACUCUUUGCUGAGAUAAGAAAAGAUGGCAAUGAAUUUAAUCUGGUGGGUUAAAAGCAAAUGAUAUUGUUUUUUCGGUUUUUCUUGUGUGUGCCCAUGGGCACAUGCUAAGCACUAAAACCUAUAAAUUUGGAGAGUUUUGAUUGGUUUACCCUCCCUAAUAAUGGUGGACCCCCCUGCAGUUACAACAACCACACCAAUCAAAACUCUCCAAAUUCAUGGAUUUUUGUGCUUAGCAUGUGCCCAUGGGCACACACUAGACAAACCCUUGUUUUUUAUCCCACAUAUUUGUUUUUUUUUUCUUCCAAUUCUUCAUCCAGCUUUCUGCACCAUUCUUGGCUCAAACAUACACAUAGGAUACCUGUACGUUGCCUUGCCUUGCUAGAUUUUGGUUUCAGUUCUUAACCAUGAUUAGUCUUUUCAAAGCCUCUAAAUAGGUUAUUUGUUUUCUCACAAAUUACGCACCACCUUUAUGGUGAAAUAAUUUCGUGCUUAAGCUAUGCUUGCACACUUACUCUAGAUACACACAUACCCUAACUUAGCUUUGUAAUAUAAAUAUAUAGAAGUUAUGAUUUGUAAUAUUUGUAGUUGUAGUAGUCGUUGCAGCAAAUCCUAAGGUUUGAUUUAUAGCACCCUUCAAGGUUUUAUCAAUAAACGAUAUAUCUUGAAAAUAUUAUGUGUUGAUUUAUUUAUUGCAAUAUCUUCAGAAACCGACUCCAUAAGUGUCUAGUACACGAAAUCCAUUACAAGAUUAUGAUUUAUAUAUCCGCAAUUCAAGAGAAUUUUUAAUUUUAGUGAGUAUAAUAUUCAAUCCCUUUCUAUGAUAUUUUGGGCUGGAUCUAACAAUUAUUCUUUUCAACAUUAAGUUAUAACGACUAUUGUAAAUUUAUUCUUUUCAACAUUAAGUUAUAACGACUAUUGUAAAUUAAUUCGACGUGCAUGUUGUUGAAGUAUUUGUUACCUGGUAACAAUUAGAAUCGAGAUUAAUUGAUAUCGUUUUAUUCUAACUCAUCAUUAUCACGUUGGUUAUGACAACUAAAUAUGGGAAAACUUAGCCGAAAAUUGUGAAUUAUUGAGUAUUUAAAGAUUUCUUAGGUUUAGUGAUAGUCGAAGUAUCUGUUGCUGAGUCAUUAAAAGUUUUUAUCAAAACUUAUUAUAAACUUCUAAAAUUUUCCAUUCCAAAGCUCUAUGAGAUUUGCUAUGAAUACAAAUCAAAAUUGUUUUAAAGUUGUUGAACUAAGGGUCUGUUUGAGAGUGCUGUUAAAAAUUGUUGUGCGGUCAGAAAAAGUGCUAGUAAAAAAGGUGCUGUUGUAGAAAUCAGAUAACUGUUUGGUAAUUUUUUUGAUUUUUACUUAUAUUGAGUUGUAAUAUAAAAAAAAUAAUUUUUUGGUGAGGUUUAAUAUUGAAAUUUGUAACAGUUUCCUGCAAAAGCUGAAAACAGCUUUUUCCGAAAGCAUGAGAGGGCCUGCUUUUUCUAAAAGCAACUUUUCAGCUAAAAGCUGCUAUUCAGAAAAACUGUUUUUAGAUUUACCAAACAAUUUUUCAUCUGCUUUUCAGCAAAAAGCUGUUGUUGUUGUUGCAACCCCAAACAUCACCUAAAUUCUUUUUGUGAUUUCUUAACUCUCUCUCCUAUUUAGAAAAUGGCAUUGCAAAUGUUUCAAGAUAAAGAUAUUCACUAUCCAAUUGGAUUCGAGAACCCAUUCUUAUUUCGAAAUAUCUUGUUAAGAUUCUCAUACUUCCAUUUUUCAAAUAUUUACCUUUAAGAAAGGUUAAUCAGAAAUAUUUAUAUGUAUAAUUCGGAAGGAGACAACAUGUCAUUAUCAUAACUAUUUAUGUGUAAGAUCUAUUUUUUGGUUAAAUUCUCAUAUUAUAUUUCGAAAUAUUUUUUGGUUGAAUUCUCAUAACUAUAGAAUAGUAAUUGUCAGGGAACAUUUAUCCAACAAUUUGAUUCUCAGCCGUUGGAUCACUGGGACAAAAGAAAUUUUUUUAACGAUCCGUGCAUUUUAUACGCGGAGAUGAAGGCUUCCGCUGUUUUUUACGAGGAUACACCAUAAAUAAAAGAUAGAUCCAAAAUCCAACACAUUAUACACGCACAUAUCGAUUCUACUCCUGAUCGCCGUCGUGUCGCGCUCCUGAUCGCCGCUGUGCUCUCCCAUCCCCGACUGUCGGCGAAGUCAAAACCGUCACGCAACACCAACACGAUGCAGGCUCCGACACAGUCUCAGCCAAGACAUCCCCACCUUUAAUAUAGUAGCAUCCACUCCUACCCGUCUCCUUUCUCCGAACGGGGGUCGAACGCUUCCCCAAACUCCAUAACCAACCGGCACACCCUCUACGCUCAGUCCCAAACUCAACCUAUUCACUUUAAUCAAUCUCGCACAACAGCGGAAAUUUCAGAGUUUUAAAACUCUUCUGGUAUGUUCGCUUAAAUUAAUAGCAGAUAUCCACGUAACAAAGCGCGGAAGUCGUAGUAUCCGCGGGAAAAAAGUGCGGAUAGUUAAAAAAUAUUUCUUUUAUCCCAACUGUUGGAUCAACAGAUUGUUGGAUGAACGUUCCCUUACAUUCACUUGCCAGGGAACAGAACCCUAUAAAGAUUUGUGUAUACUUUUGAUAUAUUUGGAUUCUCGUUUCUAAUAUUACAGACCGAAAAUUUCUAAGAGAUUUUUUGAUUGUUGGAUUCCAAACAUUAUAUUUGUGUUAUUGUAUGAUCAAGUGAUCAAAUCUUGAUUUGGGUUUUGGGAUGUUACAUUAAUAUAUUAUUCCAAUAUAAAUAUAUUUACAAAUUUAGUUACUAAAAUAUAUAUUAAGCUAGUAUAUAUAUUUGAAGUAUAACCUUUAAAUAAAAAUAAAUGGGUAUUAUAAUAAGAAUAGUGGUAAGAGCAGGGGGUUUGGAAGGACGAAUUAUUGAAUUGUAAAAGGGGAGCUGGAGGCAUCGAUCACAUCAAAGCUCACCUUUAUUCCGAAAAAACUGAAGUCAGUCAUGCAUACUGGCCUGCCGGCCUCCAUGCCCAUGCACUGUGGUGGUGACCAGAGAAAAGGCCACGCCUUUCUCCUCAUGCCUCCUUUUUUCUAUAAAACUCAUCAUGCCAUCAUAUCCCCCUCCACUUUCCCUCCCCUUUUCUCUAUUUUAUUAUUCACCUGUUCUUUACUCAUUUUCCAGCUGAUCAUCAACUGUUUGGCUACCAUUUUCUUUCAUUUUAAAACCUGAAUAUCAGGUAUGUACACAGGCGGAUCUAGUAAGAGAUAUGAGAACGUGUGUUUUUUUUAAAAAAAGUAAUUAAAUUUUACUAUUAUAAAUUUUAGAAAAUUUUCGAAAUAUUGUCGCAAAAUUUAAAAAUAUAUAUCUAUUUUAUGAAAAUUUGUUUUGUGUCUCUCAAAAUUUGGAUUCUAGAUCCGCCUCUGCAUCUGAUUCGGACUAUACUUUCGUCCUGCGACCAGUUUUAAUGCCACCGAAUUGUUCAGCCACAUUAUUAGCCCAGGACUACUUUUAAAUCACGUAUGUGCGUUUGUAUGCAUUUCAGUUUUGGAUUUUACAAAACGACGUCCAUUUCAAAAUCCGUAUAACUACCAUCAUAAACUUUAUCUAUUCUUCAUGCAUGCCUGUUUGUUUUUAGAAAUGCUGAAUAUAAUAAUUUCAAACACAGAAUGAUACGCGCCGACCACACUUUACGAAGUUUCGCAAAGAGAAAUCGUCAAAAAUGAGAGUCAUUCUUUAGCAAAUGUCACAAUGUCAACUUGUGAUUUAUAUAUAACACAUCCGAAUUGAACAGCGGUGUAUAUAGCUGGUAUGUUAGUGUCCCGGGGGUUGAAGCAUCAAGUUAGUUGAUGCCCACAAAUUUUAGCAACUAUUGGCGAGUACAUGAAUAGGAUGAAAAAAGGAAGAAGAAGGAUUUGAAUAUUGUGUCGGUAUUUAUGUUAAUAAUAAAUUGAAUCGGCGUCUCUAACAUACGUAUUUUAUUAAUAUCUGUUGAGAAAAGAAUAGCAGAACAGUCUAAUUUUAAGUUUUUGAUGCAUACACAAAAAUGUUGUAGUAUCAUUCAAUGAAUAUUUAAUCUUAAAAAAUUUAUAUAAAAUAUUUUUUUUCUCGCUGAAUACUCCGUCCGUCCCUUUGAAUUCUAUACACUUUCCUUUUUUGGAUGUCCCACUUAAUUCUAUACAUUUCAAAACUUUCAUAAAAUAGCAACCUUUUAUAAUAUAAAAAUCUCAACUACCCACUACUUUCAUCUACUUUUCCAAAUCUAUCAAUUAAAUAUUGAUGGGUCCCGCCAAUUACCCACUUUUCUUUCUCUUUCCCACUACUUUAUCUUACUUCAUACAUUUUUCUUCAUCUCCGUGUCCAAUUCAAACGUAUAUAAUUCCGGGGGACGGAGGGAGUAUAUGUUAGCUAGUAUCUUUCUCAUGUUCGGAAGCAGCUGGCUAAUAAAAUAAAGAAAUAUAUGGGAGUAAAGAAUGCGAAAAACAUUGAUGGGCCUGAAGAUUAAGAAUAAUGAUCAGCUUUUCAGGGAAAAAGGGCAUGAGCCAAGACAAGGCAGGCAACUAUUGCUUCCUUCCCAAUUAUAAAAGUAUCCAACUUGUUAUUAUCACGGACUCGACUCUACUCUACUGUACAACACUCGGUUUGUGUGUGCAAAGCUGAUAAACGAAUUUAAAAAAUAAAAAAACCGAGAUGCCUGCAGUAUUAAAUUAAAAUUAAUAAAUGGUGUAACAAUGAAUUCAGUGGCCGUACAGUGUUGCAGGUAUGGUGGGAAGCAUAUGCGUGAGAGGAAUGUCCGUCCUACGAGGCCACGUCUGUCCUGGGUCGUGUAGAAAGCUAGUUAAACACCAUCAUGUCAUGCAUACAUAUUUCUAGCUUAUUUCUUUCUUCUUCCUCCUCUUUUCUUUUUUAGCUCCAUUUUUUUAAUAAUCAUCGCUUUAUUAUUACGCUCUCCCUGUAAGUCUAUAUAAACAUCUCACAUGUUACAUUUUUUAUGGUUUUACACUGCCUCUGUCAUCAUUGCAUGCCAACAUUUUAGGCACUAUCUAUCCCUCCCUCUUUAUUUUUAUUAGUGAUUCAGAUGCAUUUUCAUCCACCAAAACAAAAAUAAAAUAAAAUAAGAAUUUACAAUCAGUACAUUUUAUUUCUCCAUUUAGGUUAAACAUUAUAUGUACUCCCGGAUUAUUAUUAUUUUUUAUUGAGAAAAAAAUCCUCAUGAUGACGUCAGGGUAUGUCAUAUUAUAAGUUAUUCAAUUGAGAGCAUCUCCAAUAGUUAGUUCUUAGUGAUUUAAUGUGGGUUCAAUUCGAACAACACAUUUAUUAUAAAAUACUAGUUAAGAGUGACUAUUAGCUCUUACAUUUGAGAAGAGUGAGGAGAAAUUUAGGAAAUUUAAGAGUGAUUAGGAGCCUAUUGAGCAAGAAAAACCAGUGUUGUAAAAAGCGCAUUAAGCAGCGGCCUCCUAAGCGGAAUCGGCCUUAAAGCGCUUUGAUUUUGUACUAAGCGGGAGAUUAAGUGUUUUUAAAAAUUAAGCGGAUUAAGCGGUCGUUAAGCGGAUUAAGCGGUAAUUAAGCGGUCAAAAUGAUGUUGACUUGCUAAUUUUUGUUUAAAAAAUAAUUUUGAAAUAUUAAUUUUUUAAUAAUAUAACUAUAAUUAUAUUAUAAAUUUAAAAUAUAUAUUUUAUCAAAAAUAUUAAAAAUGCAUAUUUUUAACACAACAUAAUAUUAUAUAUAUAUAUAUAUAUAUUAAUAUUAUAACUAAAUACUUAAUUAUAUUUAAUUAAUCCGCUUAUUGACUCGUUUAAAAUUCCACUUAAGCAUCCGCUUUACCGCUUAAGCGCUAGAAGUUCCUCUGACCGCUUAGAACCGAUUUGUGUUUUUCACAACACAGAAAAAAAUUAUUAUCUUCUUUAAAUUUCAAUUUAAUAAACACUAUAAAGAAGCUAUUGGAAAUGGUCAGAGCACAUAUAAAGCAAAUGCAAAGUGGGGAGAAGAUUAAACUAGAAAAACUACAUGCAUGUGUUAUUGUGCAAGUACGGGAAAUGAAUGGAACAUUUUAUUUCCUAGUAGAGUUUAAAAGGCCACUUCCUAGCGUAGGUUGGUUGUUUGUUUAUAUCCCACGGAGGCGGCCCCCCUAUGUAUGUGUAUUAGUGCUAAAAAGGAGCUUUUCGUGAUAUCUGGGGAAAAAAUAGAGCACUUUUACAAGUGUUUUUUCUGAAAAAAAUAGAGCACUUUCACAGGUGUGCCCACUGCGUAGAUACAUGUUCUGAUAUAUACUUAUAUAUGGGAAGGAUAUGUGCAGAGAAUUCAGCAUGUCUUCUAUAUAAUCUGUACCUUGUUCACCAGGCCUUUUUGUUUGUUUAUCCUCGUUACCUGUAAAAAAUAUUAAGAAUGAACACUUGUUUAUUUUGGUCCAAUAAUUCAUUAAAUUUCCUUGGCAAAGAGUUGGAAAACAUAUUACAAUAUUACAGAUGAAAAUCAGAACCAUAAAUCAUGAUAUAAUAGAGAAGGACAAAAAAAUUGUUUGUCUUAAUUUUACAAUUACUAAUGUAAUUGUGCUAGAAUCUGAAAUGUAUGGGUGUUUGAGACAUGUCUUAAAGUUGUUAGCUAGCUGGCAGGAAAGAGUCUUCAAUAUUCCAUUUUCAAACUUGCAAGAUGUAGCAGAUCUCUCUCUGGAGUCUGGAAUAUGCAUGUGUACUUACAUUUCCUUUUAAUAUGUAAAGUCAAGAGAAUAUUACUGUUAGGACACGGCGCCUUCUGGAUAUUUCUGCAUGAAUAUGUAUAUGCACAUAUAUGUAACAUGAAUAUGAUAUAUAUUUCAGCUACCAUCCUCCUGUUGACUGGUGUUAGAAGAGUAAUGAAAUUGUAGGUGGUAAAAAUUUGGUGAUUAAACAUAAUUAAUAAUUAAGUAUUUUUUAUCUUCCGGAACUGAUUAAAUAACUGAUUAUUUAACUGAUAUUCAACUAAUUAUGAUCAAUUUACUUAAUUUAUUAAUUCUUAUUAUGUGUCUUCGUUGAUUAAUUUCCAUUCUGAUUUUUGCAACACUGACUAUACCAGGUUAAUAUUUAGCUCUGUUCUAAAAGUCGACGAUUAAUCACCGAUUAAUCCCUGUUUCGUACCUCGGCGAACUGAUUAAAUAUCUGAUUAAUCCCGAUUAAAUUGAUUAAUCUCCGAUCAAUUCAAUUAAUCUCUCAUCUCCGAUUAAUCCUUGUUAUGUGAUUUCACCGAUUAAGUCCGAUUCCCGUCUUUUACGACAAUGAUAUUUAGAUGUGCACGGGACCAAAGUAACAUUCGCCCCUUCCCAUUUACUUCAAGGGUCCAUGUAUUCAUUUGUCCACUUUAAAGAUUUCGUUAAAACGUGCAUGCUAAGUAGUGGCCGACUUAAAAUGAUAUUAUUAAUAUUAUUUAUUAAAUAUUUUCAUAUCAUUUUUAGUGAAACUUAAUUUUGUGAUUUAUUAUAUUUUUCGAGUUCUGAUUUUUUGACAGAUUUAUAAUAUAUAAGGUUUUUUUAUUCAUAAUCAAGUUUAAAAGAAUUUUUUCGAAAAUACUACCAUCUUUUAAAAUAAAUUGCAAAAAUACUACCUUCUCUAAAAUCUUUCAAAUAUACCAUCUUUUUGAAAAUAUUUCCAAAUUAAAAAUACAGAGGUUGCAACCACCGUAUUUUUGGAAAGAUUUAGAGAAGGUAGUAUUUUUGAAAAUAGGAUUGAAAAAAACAGUAUACAAGGUAAUUUCCCUAUUAUAUAUAUAUAUAUAUAUAUAUAUAUAUAUNNNNNNNNNNNNNNNNNNNNNNNNNNNNNNNNNNNNNNNNNNNNNNNNNNNNNNNNNNNNNNNNNNNNNNNNNNNNNNNNNNNNNNNNNNNNNNNNNNNNNNNNNNNNNNNNNNNNNNNNNNNNNNNNNNNNNNNNNNNNNNNNNNNNNNNNNNNNNNNNNNNNNNNNNNNNNNNNNNNNNNNNNNNNNNNNNNNNNNNNNNNNNNNNNNNNNNNNNNNNNNNNNNNNNNNNAGAGUCUUACUCCAAUAGAAACCUCCUUAUUCUAGAAACUAAAAACCAAGCUGGAAUAUCACUAAAUCCUAAAGAAAAUAUCACUAAAUUCAUAAACAACCCUAUAUCCAUCUCCAUCUUCACCAACCCCACCUUCAUCUUCACCAACCCCACCUCCACAUCCGCCACUGCCAACACCUUCGUCGUCGCCUCUUCCAUAGCCACCACGACCUCAUUGCCGCCCGCCCCCUCCAUAUCCACCACCUCCAUCUCCACCUCCAUUAUUUCUCUAACAACACAAUUUCCACCUCCAUCUUCACCAUCCCCAUCUUGGUUGCUACUUCAACCUCCUUCAGCCCUGUUCAUACUUCUUUCUCCACCUCGGCUCAACUUCAAAACGUGGCGGAGCCGCCACUAUUCCGGCAACGCUCUAACCCCCUACUUCAAGCCGUCCAAACCUCCGCUACAAUCAUCCUUCCUCCAUCUCCACCUUCACCUCCACCAUCUCCAUCAUCUGAAUCGAAAACGUGAACAGAUCUGGAGAUUCAGAGCAGUUUAUGUAACAAAUCUAGAGAUUCUGGGCUGUUUGUGCAAGUUUUCACUAAUUCUUACAACNNNNNNNNNNNNNNNNNNNNNNNNNNNNNNNNNNNNNNNNNNNNNNNNNNNNNNNNNNNNAGUGGUUUCUAUUUGAUCAUGAGUAUAUAUAUAUAUAUAUAUAUAUAUAUAUAUAUAUAUAUAUUACUCUCAUUAUUAUUAAAAGAGGUUCUUUAACAAAAUAAUAUAGAAAAAAUCAUAUGAGAAUCUCUUUAGAAAGAUUAGCUAUCAUUAUUAGCUUAAUUAAAUUUAAACUAAUAAAUCAUUUAUAUAUAUAAUAUAACAUAAUUUUAAUCAUGUAAACAGUAUAUAUAAUUAGUAAAUAUUUUCCUACUAAACAGAUAGAAACAUUAGUAUAUUAGAACUAGAUAUAUUUAUUAUCUAAAUUACAAAUUGCUCAAUUAAGAGUUCUCAAUAGUCGAAAACGAUGAGGACACGAGAGUCUAAGCAAUUUAACGUAAACGUAAUACUUGAAGUUGCCAAAAAGAAAGAAAGAGAGAGCUAGGGAGAAUGCAUGAGUAGAUAUUAAUCGAAGAAUAAAAUAUUUGAGUGCAACUGACUGACCACCAUCUGUCUACCUAUUUCUUUUUCUAUAUGUGUAUGGAAUGUAAAAUGUAUCUCUCUUUCUCCCUCAAACAAACAACCGCUUGAUAAAACAUAUAUACCCACUUUUUCUCUAACCUCACAAGCUUCCAAACAAAGAGAAUUUUGAAAGAAAGUGAGAUUCGAAAUUAGGGUUUAUUCCAUACCUCGAUCUGUUGACAUCUUAUUAUUGUCAUUCAUAUAUUAAACAGAUCCAUGUAUUAAAGUUCCCGGUCAAUGGGUAUAGCUUUGCCUCUUAAUUCUUCUUCUUCUUCUUGUAGCUUAAUCUCUGGUAUUCUCGAAACAUGUUGUUGCUACUGCUAAGAACAAACCUUUGCCCAAUUUCAAGCCAUGAAAGCAUUCAUGGAUGAGCUCAACAAGUUGGAAACAAGUUGUAGUGUCAGUUACAAACUUACAAGUUGCGAAAACAAGAGAGGUCGUAGGAUUAAUACUAUUAGAGCAAUAUGACCAUGUUUCCUCCGACAGCAACGUCUACAACUCAUCAUCAUCAGAAUUUUAGUAGUUAUACAGGUGAAAACAGAUGCUACGUUAAUGCUAACAGUACUUCUAGUUAUGGUGUUUAUUUAAAUCAGAGUAUUUUCGGCGCUCAUAGUCUCCUUGAAGAGGAGGUACAAGGGGAAGAAGGAUACGAUAAUUUUUGUUCAAAAAUAAUUAGUGGUGAUCCUCAUCAAACAGCUUAUUUAGUGGGAUCUGCGUAUAGUGAUCAAGUCAUGGGUGAAGAAGACGAAUCGAAAACCGAGACAGCGGAAAUGAGUAAAACGAAUGAUCGUCACGGUGAAGAAGCCGCGGGGUCGAGCUCCAAGGAUUUGAUUAAAGAUAUUAAUCCUCUCGAAGAUGAACAAGGAGGAGGAGGGUGGCUUCAGUUGAGUAUUGGGAGUCACAGGGAGCCGACGACCGGGAGUAGUAGUGAUUAUCAGUAUCACGAUGACGACAACAAACUUGUUCAGACGAGGGGAGUAGAGCUUGAUUUACUUGCUAAUUCUUCUUCUAUGGUUAACACUGAGGCUAAAACUAGUAAUUUUACACAAGAAUCCGCGGUUCUGAUGAAUAGGUCGUCAGCUGCAGCAGCAGCGUCUUCGUCUACUCAACAACAGCAACAGCAACAACAACAACAGUAUUACUAUUCUCCGGUGUUACCGCCCCGCCCGAAUAAUUUAUUCUUGCAACACUACUACCCUCCUCCGACGACCACGUCACCUCAUUACCCUUUUAAUCCUAAUUAUCAUAACCAACAAGAUGUAGGUACUUAUCAAGAGUACAACACUAAUCAUCAGUACUGGCCGGCUUUUAGGUCAUCAUCUUCGUCUUCGUCUUCUUUGUUGCCUCCAGGGGCUUCGUAUUUGUCUCGGUUACCCUUUCAGCUCCACGGUACAGCCGCGGCUAGUGGAGGAGAUUUUGCUCAUCACCUGCCACGGUUCGAUUUCAGAGUCGUGGAUCCUCCCAGAAGGCCUCAUUCCGGUAUUUGGUUUACGCUACAAGCUUCUCACAUUCAGUAAGUAUAUUAUAAUUUCGAAAGCUAUAUAUAAAAUAUACCAUCACUUAUACUAUAUAUAAAUACAUAUAUAUAUUUAUUCAUCUACGUACUCAUCACUUUGUUUAUUAAUGCAGAGCCAAAGAACCAUUUUUGCCGCAGAUACCUAAGAGCUACUUAAGAAUCAAGUAAAUCAUUAAUCUUCUAUUAAUCACUUAAAUUCUUUUUUUUCCCUCCUUCAAUUAUAAAUUUUCUUUAAAAAACUGCAAGAUUAGUUCUCUUCUGGAGGAAAAUUAAUUAAUUAAUUAACAAUUUUACCUUUGGUCAGGGACAGACAGAUGACGAUUCGACUGAUAAUAAAGUAUCUGGUUAAUAAGCUGAGACUGGACAGCGAGGCCGAGGUACGUAUCCUAUACACCCCUAUUGCAUUUUGAUUAUUUGAAUUGUCUCUGUAGAAAUAAAAAUAACGAAUGAUAUGAUAUCGAUCUAUGUUUUUUAUCGAUUGUUCAUAUAUAUAAAUUUAUAGUUUUAGAGUAAAAAUAUUUGCAAGUAUCGUGUUGGCGGACAUACAUAUAUGGGUUGGUAACAUGGUACGUAUAAGCAACAUGAAAGAAACAUGAGAACAGAAAUAGGCGCUCUCUUACUUUUGCAGCAUUAGGCAACAUCAAAAUUAGGUGUUGAGAGUUAAGUAUGGAGUAUAUACAUAAUAUUACGUACGUCCACAUAUAUAUAUAUAUAUAGAUAGGGGUGGGUUCUGGUACAAACUUACAAACUUACAAACAUUAUGCGUUCAACAUCUAUAUAAUUUGAGUUCAACAUUCUUUUAAUAUAUUUUGUUGAACAUCGAUUAAAAUUGUGUUGGAGAAGUACAUAAACUAAUUUUUCAAUGUAAGAACUAAGUUAAACGUAUUAUAUAACUAAUAUUUAUGUUUUUAAACCCUACCUAAACCCUAGAGGUAUAGUUUAAGCAUCUGUAUAGAUAUAUUCAACACAAUUAUAAUUAGUGUUCUACACCCGAUGUUGAACCCCAGUUACAAAUCUGUUGAAUGCACGAUUUAUUUAUGCGUUAUUUUUAAAAAUUAUGAUGUUUUUUCAAGAAUUUUCAACAUGGAUACGUUUUAUAACUAAGGAUUAACACAAUGGGAGAAUAAAAAAAUUCAAAAAAAAGUUUGUAAGUUUGUAACUUAAAAAAGUUUUUAUUUGAUCUUAUCCCUAUAUAGAUAUUAGAUACAUAAUAUAUGUGUACUGAUCAUGUGUGCGUGUAUGGGCUUAUAUAUAGCCUACCAAUUAUAUCAUCCUAUCAAUUAUAUAUUCAUCAACACACCUAAUUAGAAUACCAGCUAUGGAGGUUUUAUAAGCUAAUCAAACUUAGAAAUCAACCUGUUAAGGUAAUUGACUGCUUUAUUCCUCAAUCCUAGGUAAUCAGGACGGCCUCAUGUGAGUGUGUAUAUAAUAUACAAUGGUUUAGAGCGUAUAGAGAGGUUUGAUAGAUAUCAAAAUUCAAAAUUAAUUUUAAGAUACUGAGUGAGAAAACUACUGAGGUUAAUUAUCAAAUGGAUCAUUUAUUCCAGCCUAAUCUAUCAUCCGCAUCACAUAAAUCACUCAACAGACUAACAAUUGCAUGCCGUUAAAUUAAAUAAAAAAAAGCAUUAUAGAUAACUUUUUCCGUUAAGUUGAGGUCACGUGGCGCUUACGUAGAUUGAAGGAAUAAAAUAAAUUUAAACUUAACAGAUAAACUAAAAAUAAACUAAAAGAAAUUCCUACAAGUAAUGUAUAACGAAUUUCUGAGAUAUAGCUCUAUUCCAAGUCAUUCCUUGCAUUUAUGCUUGUUUUUAUAUUUUAUUUAAAUUUUGCAGCUCUUAAUUCUUUGAAUUCCAAAAAAAAUUAGAAAGUAAAUAAAUCAAAUAUAAAAAAAUGUGACAAUAUAUUUUAUAUUAAUAAAACUAUAAAGUAAAUAAAUUAAAUAUAAAAAAUGUGACAAAAGAUUUUAUAUUAAUAGAACUAGAAAGUAAAUAAAUCAAAUAUAAAAAAGGUGACAGAAGAUUUAAUAUUAAUAAACCUAGAAUAUAAAUAAAUCAAAUAUAAAAAAUGUGACAAAAGAUUUUACAUUAAUAAAGCUAGAAAGUUAAGCAAUCCCGAAUACACUAAGCAAACUUAUGUUUACUGGGGAAUAAAGUGAUGUUUACUGUGAAAUGAAGUGAAGUGGAAUAUACAGUCAGCAGAAGUAACCGUUAUUUUCCAACCUCAACUGCUUCGGUUAGUUUUUUCAAUUUGAUUUAAAGGAAGGUAACUAUUAGUGUGUUGAGUGAUUUAAGUGAAACCAAAAAUUUAGCAAUGAUAUACAAAGAAUACAUUGGAUUAAAAUAAGUGAUCCAUUUGAUAAUUAACCUGAAAACUACGCUAUCACCCUCUAAUAUUGCUUUGUUUUAGUAUUCUUGACUAGGAAUUUUUCCUCAUUAUAUUAUGGAUUAACGGUCCUUCCUUAAUAGUUCCGUUUUUCUUGUCCUCUAGUAAAAGUACAACUUUUAUUCAAUUACAAAUUAUAUAUUAUUAAAAUUUUGUGUAAUUAUUUAUAAGAAAAUAUUUACAAAUCUAAUAUGUCAAAAAUAUGAAUAAUUUUUGGAACGAAAAACACGGAAAUGAAAACAAGAAUAUCCCAAUAAAUGAAGUAAAAAUGAUGAAGUAAUAUUCAAGUGGUCUAUAAGGGCCGCAUAUCAUGUGUAUAUAAGGUCUUUGGUUUAACUUGUUUAUUACAGGUUAUACUUAUAAACGUAAAUUAAAUUUGAUUUAUGUGUAUAUAUAUUUAAAAUUUAUUAAGUAUAAAUUAUCUUGUAAAGUGAUUCUAUGCACGGUUGUAAAAUCAAAUUUUCAAAAAAACAAAUCAAAUUUUGAAUUUUUAAUUACAUUCUGACUUAUAAGUGAGAAGUCGGCUUAUAAUUUCUUUCCACACCAAAUAGUAUAAAUAAGUUAUUUUUGAUUUAUAACCUGAGAAUAAGUGUUUGCCAAACGGGUACUAAUUUUGUUGUUGGACAUUAAAAUCUCCACUAAUUAAUAAUAAUCAAAUUAUUGAUAAUUGUAAUAAAUUAAUAUUAAAUUAUAAAUUUUAGUACCAAUAUAAUAGCGAUAAUACAUAUUUCAUCUCCAUUUAAAUUAUGUUAAUAUAUCAUCAUUAUUAUUCCUAUUAUUAUUAUUAUUAUUAUUAUUAUUAUUAUUAUUAUUAUUAUAAUUAUUAUCAUUAUUAUUAAAAGUUUUAAUAUAGUAUUAUUAAAAUUUAGUCACUGUGUAAAUUAUAAACCGUAUCAUAAUAUGGUAUUAUAUAUUCCUUUUAUCCUAAAUAUGGCAUUAUAUGUUGUGAGAUGAAACUAUUGGGAUAUUAAAUAUUAAAAUUUAUUAUAUUAUUAAAUUUUAAAUUUUAAAAAAUUCAAAUAAAUAUUUAUAAACAGUACAUACAUCAAAUUAAACAUAAAUUAGUAUAAUAUAUAAGCUAGUUUGUAUGCAAAUGCAAUCAUGAAUUCUAAGAACAAUUAUUGCCCCAAAAUCAUGCGGGAAAAUAACAAAUCUAUUUAUGCUCUAAUUAACUUAAAGGGUGGGAACAUUUUCAAAAAUAAGAAAUUCUCUCAAAUAAAUAAUUUAAAUGAUAAAAAAGAGAAGAUAUCACUUCAGUCUUCUACAAUAAUAAGAGAAACAUAGCUAUAUUUAUUGAGGAUAUUAUUUUAUAUAUUUAUAAUUAUGGAUGAUGAGUAUAUAUAAAUUUUGAAAAAGAGGUUCUUAGUCACUUAGGGGAGACUAGUGAUUAAAUUGUAGAAGUCAUGAAACAGAAACAAAAGUUAGUAUUUCCAGUUUAUUUUAGGUAAUUCUCAACUUAUUACACAAACACUUAUUAUACAAACAGUAUCAAAUGAGUGCUUUUAACUUAUAAAUUUAGAAGUGGGAUUAAAAGCAUUUGCCAAAUACCACUUUAAUUAAGUUAUUACAGCGGGCCGUGUGUUCAUGCCUAUAAUGACAUCAUCAGUGCAUAUUCUUUGCUCCCUACUAGCGGCUAGGCAGUACUUAUCCAUGAACGUUUAUAACCUGAAUCUCCGUACAUGCUUAAGUUCAAGGCUCCUUGAAAUUAUUAAUUUCUUAAAUUAACCAGGUGAGGAACAAAUUAUAUAAUGCAUCAAUAUUAUUAUAAUAUAUAUACAGUGUAUUUAUAACUUAUGAUAUAGUUCAGUGAUAUCAGUACUGUUACUUUAUUGCAAACUCGUUCUUAGUCUAGGGUACUUCCUAAAAUUAGCCCCGCAAUUCAUUUAGGAGUAGAGUUAGUUGUUAGUUGUUACUCAUUCUCGACUAGUUAUUAACUGUUGUUCUUAAAGUUAUUAUCUGUAUAUCAUCAUAUCGGUUUCUUUCGAAAUUCAUAUCCAUAUUAAGGAAGUAUGAGUAUUUAUUUAGUUUAUUUUAAACUAGUACUACUAUUUCUCUGAGAAACACAUAGGUACGGAUUAGCUAUGUGUAACAUAUAAAUUUCCUUGCUUAUACUAAUCGAGUAGCAGCCUAUAUGAGGCUUAUGUAAAACCCUAUUUUCUGUUAUGGUGCAGCGAGUGUAUAUAAAAAUAUAAAUAUACAGCGUUUUUUUAACUGUGUGUGCCCGACCAGCACAAAGAGCGUUAACACAUACAAAUACAUACAUAAUUAAACUGAUAAUAAUAAGGUAAUAUAUACUAAUCCCUCCUACCAAAAUAAAUCUGAUUGAUUUGGCAGUUGGACAUGAUUCUGUUAUAACUUCAUUUAUGUUAAGUGACUGAUUCUUCUAAAACCUCAAGGUGUUAGGAAGAGGGCUUACCAGGAUCAUAUUCUAACAAUUUCAUCCUUAAAAUUUUAAUAAUUUAUUUAUUACAUAAAAUCAAAUUAUUAUUUUAAAAAUGUAUGUGAUCCAUCAUUUGACCUAAAAUAGAGUUGUGGGUUAGUAUUAAUAAUUAAAUGUGGUCCGAAUCUUGUCGUACCCAAAAAUUAUAAGUAAAAAUAUAAUUGGUAGUCGUAAAUCAAUUGAUUUGAUCAUUGCUGUAUAUUGGGUUGGAAGUGGCACGAUGCGAAACUAAAAGAAAGCGCACAGAGGUUGAUUUGUGAAGAUGCAUGAUUAGCAAUAGGAUACGUGAGAAGCAUGUCAUCGAAUUGAUUAGCUUUGUUACGUGGGUAGGCCUGAUUUCUUGUUUUUAAUAUCACCCCCUCUGCAAACUCAAUCGAGUGCAUUGACUUUUACAUGUUUAAUUUUUUAUAAGAAAAAGGCUUUCUUCAAUUUUGGAUUAUACUGGCCGAGCUAACGAGCUAGUUGACAAUCCUGAUCAUUGCUGGUUGGGUUUUGUUCUCCUUCUUAAUUCUUUUUAGGGUAAGAAAUCGAAAAAAAUAAGAACCGCUACUUACACGCCCAAUCAUUUCUAUCAUGUACAGCUAAACGGGCACAAAAAUCCUCACGGACACCUGUCGUAAUUGCUAAUCGACGUCCCAGCAUAUAUAUAUUUUCCCAUUAUAAAGAAACUGAAAUUGUUUCGUCAUGCUUUUGCAUGUCUCUCAUCAUCAACUUAUUCCACUUUCACACCAACUUUUGCUCCAUGUCUAAACGCAAGUGGAGGGGUGAUUAUGAAAUUCAAAAAGAAACUUUCCAUCUUCAUAUCCAUAUGGAUCAUAAAUAAUAAAUUUAUAUACUAAUAAUCAUGAUUAUAAUUAACAGUUAGAGAAUUAAAUUAUCUGCUCGUUAUUAAAUAACUGUUUAGUUAGCUUUUUUAUUUUAUAAAUAAAUAUAUAACAAACCUCUAAAAUUAAUUAUAUAAGUAGUUUAUUUAUAUUUAGCUUUUUAAUAUAAACUGUUACUUAAAUAUCAUAACUAUCAAAACUGUUAAACACGUUCACCAGUAUCAUUCCUCAACCAGAUACACGCUCACGACUCCUUCCGUUUGAUAUAUGAUUAUAUACGUGGUGGAAAAGCAAUACAUGCAUGCGAGAUCUUACUAAUUCAUACCACAAUCAUUCCAAGUUGUUGAAUAAAGUUAUGAUAUUGCGUACAGGUAUAAUACUGUGCGGUAUGUGAAAGGAAUGUGUUCACUAUUAAAUAUUUAUGCCUAUAUACAGAGUCGCUGAUAUUAUCCGGAAAGGCCCUUGCUAUAUUCUAAUUCAGCUGUCUAAACUGUACAGUCUGUACACCUAUAUGUACAAGAAAGAAAUAGUAUGAAUGAUGUAGGUGAAUAAAUAAAACUGAUAUUUACUAAUAACGUGAGAGCGUCGCUGGACCAAAUUAUUGAUUAAGAUAAUAUAAAAUAUAUAUACUAAAUCUUUAUGAUUAUAUUCUAAAAGUAAAAUGUUAUCAGUCAUAUGAGAACAUUUCCUAUUAUAUAGAAUUCUUAACUAAAAUAAUAAACAAUAUCUUAAACAAUGAGAUCACUCAUAUUAUUAAACUAUGAGAUGAACUUACAACUAAAAUUACAUGAGAUUCCAUAUGAAGUUUAUUAUAUUCGAGGUCCUUAAUAAAUUAAGGUUUGGCAGGGAGAGAAUAAAAGCCGGACAAGGUGAAGAAGACGUGCAUGAAAAAGUUGCUGUGACGUCCAAUAUGAUGCUUACAUGCAUGUAUAAUUAGCUGUUGCGACAUUUGAUAGCUGACAUUUAUUCCUUUACACUCAGAGCAUGUAUACUACAUAUAUCUUUUCCCUGCGAGGAUGAGAAGGACAUGUAUUAUGAUUUAACUAUUUAAAAAAAUUUGGAUUUCAUUUCACACUAUUAAAUAAUUAAUCCAAACAUUUAUGCAUGUUUUGAUGUUGUCAUUCUCGUUAACCGGACUUAAUAAUUAUGAACCAACCAUCCUAACGAUAACUUAACAUUAAACAUCAACGCUAACGAGAGAGGUUGGCAGGAGAAAAUAUAAGUAGGAUAGGUAAUAAAGUGGCGCGACUUGUGCAGAUUCCUCGCCGUUCUUUUUGGAUCCGCCACCUUUUGUAAUGACAUAAUUGGUCAUCGGCCUUUUUGUUUGAUGCCUACUUUAGAUAAGAGAUGUGUAUAUUACUAUCAAGUAAUACUAUUUGAUGGUAUAUUGGUAUAAUGGUAUUUAUCAAGUAAAUGGAAGUCUAUGGUGUAAUGAUUCUCCCUUAAGAUUAAAGGCUUGGCGGGGCCAGGAUCAUAAUGAUUAAAUCGGGGGCAAUAUUCUAGGGUUAGUGUAAACAUGCAGAUACUUUAAAGUUUAAAGAGUGGGCGAGAGUUGUUGUAGAUAAUUUGUAGAAAGGGCACACAAAAUCAUAUUGAACGUAAGCUUGCAUGUGACGGAGCAUGACUUCAGUACUACGUAGGCCUCGUUUUCAAUUUAAGUUUCACUUUUAGUACAGGAAAAUUAAACAUGCAAAAUUUUAUGUGCGCUUACGCAAGGACCAAGUACACACCUUAUGUUAUGCAUAUACUUUUAGUAUAUGUUUUACUCUUUAUGUUAUGCAUAUAUGUGUAUCGAUGCUCAUUUAGACUUGUUUUUGAAUUGUGAUACGAUGCUCAUUUAGACUUAUUUGUGAAUUGUGAUUGAAAUCACUGCUGCAAAAGCUACUUUCAACGAUAAAAUUAGAUCAUAUUUUGAUUGUAUUAGUGUGUGUGAUUAUUCAGUCUGCCAUGUAAAAUUGUCGAAAUGAAUUUUUGACUAUAUUAAUAUGUGUGAUGUACAUGUACUCAGUCCUGAUCAUGUAAAAUUUUAGAAAUGAAUGUUUGUCCUUGUUUAUACAUUAAUUUGAAAGUAGUAACAGAACUGUAAAAUUGUUAUGCAUGGGCCUGGAAUAUACAAGUAUUUAAGAACUGAUUGUUUGAUGGCAAGAACAGAUAGAGAUAAGAUGCAAAGGGCAGCAGCUAAUGCCAUAUUUGACGUUGCAGCACGUAAGAGACAGCAUCUGGAAUCCCAGGGACUCCUCUUCCUUUUCUUCUUCUGAUCAACUUCAGCAUCAUCUUAUGGUCCUUCACUAUGGUCGGACCUCUGCUUAAUUAUUAAUUUCCUCUCUCUCUCUCUCUCUCUCUGGGGAAGCUCUGCCUGCUUCAAAAGAGAUCAAAUAUUCCCCAGUAUUUGAGAGACCAAACUUGUAUCACUAUAUAAUCUUAACAUUAUUACAUUCUACUCUUGCUUUUUCGUGCAUUUCCAAGUCCCUUUUUUUCUUGGAGACUGGCUGGCUUUUAAUUCUUACAUGCCUCUUCCCUUCUGCUUUUCUUGUACUAUUAUUUACUUUGUGAGAUCGUUUGCUAAUUUUUUUUUCGGAGUAUUUGUUGUGUUGAUAUUUAUUAUGCACUGGCUUACUGGUUUUUCAAAUUUCUCAAAUUUAAAUCUCUUUUUAAGUAAUGGUGAAUUUCAUUAAUCCAACAAAACAGUCUCCACCAGAUAUGUAGAUAUGUCAUGUGCUACCUGUUAACUUGAUUCCUAACAAAAUUGAUCCACUUUUUAAAAUUUAAGCUUUUAAGAGCUUGUUUAUUUGGUUUUUCUCUUGAUUUUAAAAUUUAUUAUCUGUAUACGAACAAAAUUUGUCUCUGAUUCUUCUGCAAGAAGAAAAAUUUUGAAUACUCAAAAUUGUAAGUUUAUCUUAGAUCUUUUCACAGUAUGAAACCAAUGGGUAUGGCAUGCAUGAACAUAGUAGUUCUUGAUCAGUGCUCAAAUUUUGGGCCUGUUAUCAUUCUUGCCCCCUAUUUAGUUAUGCCAAUUUCGCAGCCAGUCAGUAGCCCAUUUGCUAAAUGUUUAUCUUUCAUUUAAACAAGUUCUUUUGUAUGGCCUUUCAUUUUAAUUUUGUAUAGUAAGAGGUACGUACACAUAAUAGUAUAACAUGAUACGAUUAUAAUACACUAAGGGGCCGUUCGGCCAAAUUUACAAAAAGUGACAGGAUUAAAAGUGAAAAAUAAAUAAAUUAAUAAAAUGUUUGGAAAAGAAUGGAGAGAGAAGCUGGCGUACUUAACUUCUUGAAAAAAAACUUCUACUCAUUCACCCAAAGAGAUCAAGAUAAACAGAAAUAAGAAGUGGAAGUUAUUUCUGUAAAACAAAUCGUGGCUAAGUUUGGGGAAUAGAAAAUAAAACAAUAUAGAGAGUCGCCACCGUGUCCAAGAGUGAAGAGUAAAGGUGGAGGUUUCAAAUAAAUAUUUGAUUUUAUAUUGAAAAAUAUUUAAUUAUAUUCUAUAUUUGAUCGUUGCCAUAUAUAAUUUUUAUUGACCGGGAACUCGUUUGAGUAAAUUUAAAAUAGUGACUUAUGACGUGUAGUGAUUUACUGUGAUAAAUGCUUGCUUUAAAUUGUUUGUUUGGAUAAUUUUGUAUUAUAUGUGACUUGUGGCUCUUAUUUUUUUUAAAAAAAAUGUGACUUGUGACUUACCGAACCCUGAACCUGAAAUCCCGAACCAAAAACCCGAAACCCGGAACCCCGAAUCCCCAACCCCAACCCGAAUCCCUACAAAUUUAUAUACAUAUUCUUUGAGUUCUGUCAUUUUAUCUAACACCCUUUAUCCCCCUCUCGAAUUCCUCGUUUUGCAGUAAUCAAUCGAUUGAGGUAGUCAGCAUUGUACAUCAUGACUAAGUUUUCUUAAUCUUGAAAAAUAGUUUUACAACUUAAAUAUUUGUUAAUAGUUGUUUUAUUAAAUAAUAUGGUGAAUAAUAUGCUCUGUUGUCUUUUAUUGGUUAUAGGAACUGAGCAAUCAUGUAAAUUUGUUGCAAGCUCAAGUGGCAGAUGUGCAUAAAAGAUUAAGGUUUAAUUUUGAAGAGUACUUCGCUUUUGAAUUCUUUUUAUUUUGUUCCACAACUGAUAUGAGUAGCAGAUAAUAAUGUUUGUUGUACAUAUUUACAAUUUGUUAUGAAAUGAGAUUAUAUAUAGACUGGUAACUAGUAAGGCUAAAACAGAACUGCAUUUUUACUUCAUAUUCUGGAAACUAGAACUAUAUGCCAGUAGCAAGUUGAUCUUGUACCUAGAGGCUAGAACUCAUCAUUUUUAGAGGGGCUUUUUUUCUCUUCAGUUUUGCUUAAAAUAGAUGAUAGAGGGAUCUACAUGUCUAUACUUUCUGAUGGUUAUUCCAUGCUUUAUAAUAUUUUGAACCAGUUACGUGCAUUAGAACUACAUUCCAAAGUACUUCUCAAAUUAAAAUAAAGAUAAGCAUAAACAUGGCAUAAACAGGAAGACAUUACUUUUUUCCUCAACUAAAAGAAAGAAGACAGACAAUACUUUUAUGCAUAUUGCAUACUAAAAGGAUAUUAUGUAUUAAUAGAAGGGAUUUGUUUAUGGAAAUCUGUCAUUAACAUCACAUUCUAUGUAUGCAUCUUCCUCAUGACCUUUUGUCUUUCAUGCUAGCUUUGAGGAUCAAGUAGCUUCAGCAUUGUCGUAAAAGAUUAUUCUCUACUUUCUACAUAUGCAUAACUCUCUCAAAUUUUCUUGUAUUCUUCUACAAACACUUUCUCAAUUUCCAAAUAGAUUAUGAGGGUUGGGUGGUAAAAAUUUAAUAUGGAAAUGCCUAUAAAGGAAGUGCAUCUACUUUGUUUGGUUUCUGUAGUCUUGCUUUUCAUAAGAGGUGAGAAGUGCCUGGCUAAUAAGUACGUAUUUGUUUUUACCAAAAUUUGCAGCGUUAAAAGCCAAGCCUAUUUAAUUUCUAUAACAAUGGAGUAUGUGUUUUUAUGUAUGAAUAUUUAGUAGAUCGAAUAGAUGAAUAUCGAAUAGAAAGCAAAAGACAAGAACACAAGCAAUUUUGGUGACGCGGAAAACCCCUUGUAAAAGGUUAAAAACCGCGGGUGGGAAUGUCCCAGCCAAAUAUCCACUAUAAUAACGUAACAUCAGCUUACAAGUAUGAGAAAUACAUGAUACAAGUAUAAGAAGAUGUUGUCAUCAGCUCCAAAGCAGUUCACGUCCGUCAGCAAUAUGCACCCGUCGGCAGAAUGAUUUUGGGGAGAUGAAGAUGUAGAGCUCCUUUGAUAGAAGAUGAAGAAGCUUUGCUAUCAUAUGUUAAUGUAUGUAUAUGUACGUGUACUGAUUUGUAUGAUCUUAAGCUUGGUUGAUGCUAUAUGAGUGAUAUGGGGUGGAAGAUGAAGUUGUGGGUAUGUAGAAGUGUGUAGAUGAUAUGUAUCACUUGUGCACAUCUCUUUUUCAUGAGUAUUUAUACCCCCGCAACACUUAUGCACGUUCCUAGGUUGUUUCUCCACAUUCUCCACUUACUCCUAUAGUUUAGGGAUAAAGAAUAACCUCCUCCUAACUCUUAGGAUCAUUACAAGACUUAUUCUUCAUGCUGUUACGUUCAUGUCGAGUACCUUCACGUCAUGUCGAGUAUCUUCACGUCAUGUCUUAGCCAAGACGUCGAGCAUCAGCUUUGUGUGUAGCUUAAAUAUAUCUUUGGAGAAUGAUUAAUUAGCUUGUAAUUUGAUGAUAUAAUCACUCCCUUAACUCUCAUCAAGACGUGGCUAUAUUGUAGGAUCAUGAUAUGGUAGUAUUUAUCCUUAUCUCCUAUUUUCCCUCCAUGUGCAUGUUGAGUUUCCUAAAUUAGUGUCACUUAUCCAUUCUCCAAUUUGAAUAACCUCCUAAAAAGGUGGGUAGUUGAGACUUAGUCUCUUGCCCUAUCAGCCUGCACACGUCGUGUCGUCGGUACUUCAUGUCGUGUCAGUACACUUCCCGUCAUGUCCUGACGCCUGUAAAAUCUGGGUACAAACAAUAGCCCCUAAUUUUAUUGGGUGGAGGCAUGCAGCCAAUGAAAUUACUUCUUGUACACUCCGUUUUCCUCAAACCAUGGCAAAUAGGAACACCGAUGCUAUGUUAAAAUACUAACGAUUGCAACAUGUGAUCAUGUCAUGUCGAUUUGUCUUGUUCGCUAUUGUCUUGUAUCGAGUCUCUAUCUCGUUGUGUCGUUAUAAUGUUAUCUCGAGUUGUCAUCGUUGUCCUAAUGAUGAAAACAUCGACGAGUAGCUGCUUUGUUGUCGUCAGUUUCACGUUCUAAGAUGAGAACGCUUUGUAUUCGCUAUAUCGUAGUUACCUGUAGGCUUGGACACAAUUACAAUCAGUCCCGAAGUAUUAACAUGUCAAGUCGUGACGUUGCUUUGCGUCAUAUUCGUAAAGCCCCUUGUAGAUGUCUUCUGACAAGUGCAAGAUGUCGUAUAUAAUCUUGUGAUUGUCGGCUGCGUAUUUCUAUGUGUUCGUGGCUUGAAAUUGUUUCAUGUGACCCCUGAAGUGGCCGUGACGUAAUGAAUAGGAGUACCAACACGUAAAGUGUUUCGAAACAUGUCUUCCGUUCGUAAUAUGUAAUUUGUAGACAUAAUGUGUAACUCGUCAUCAUAUGGUGAUAUGUUGUUUGUAAAUUAAUAUGUCACUUGUAAUUAUAACGUAUGACAUGUGGUCAAUGCAAUAUGCUGCGGCACGUGUAAGUGAUGACAUGUAAGAAUGUAUGUUGUAAUUCAUGUGUAAUGUAUUCGACCAAGGGUCGUGACUUGUGUAAUAGUGUGGAGUUUUCGUCGACAUGUAUCUAAAGUUGUAAUAUGCGUAAUUGUAGUUGACAAAUAUAUUUUUCAAACAUUGAUGCACGUAGUAUAUGUAUUCGACAAAUAUAUAUAUUCUAUGAAUAUAUAAUUUUCAGACGUUGAUGCAUGUAGUAUAUGUAUUCGACAAAUAUAUAAUUUUCAAACGUUGUUGUAUUCGACAAAUCUGUUUAUUUUCAAACGUCGAUGCAUGCAUUCGUAGGCUAGUUAAAAGGCCUUUCCCUCUUGAAACUUAGCUCGUAAUUGUAAUUGUGAUUAUGUAAUGUUUAAAUACAUAAUGUUGAAAUGCAUCAUUAUUCGUGGCGUCGUAAGUUAUUUGUGUAAUGUGUAGUGUUGUCGUCACCAUCAUUCGAUAAUGAUCAACCGUAGUAGGAUGGGUGAUCAGCCCUCCUUGUCUAAUAAUAUGUAUCUAAAAUAUACUCAUGCAAUAUCAUGUCACAAUAAAUAUCAUGAUGAAGACGUCAACUUUAAGCAGUUAAACAUGAAGACAAUUUGGAAUAACUUGCAUAACAUAUUUCAACACACAUAUCUAUCAAGUAGAGUAGCAAGUCAUGUAAGAAACAAGCACAUGUGUCAUUAUGAUUAGAUCAUGAAUCAUUCAAGCAAACAUUCAUUGGAAGCAUGAAAUAUCAUUUAAAUAGCAUAAGCCCAAGUAGAGAUCGUAAUCAACUUAUUAUCAUAUUGCUAAAGUCUAAGAGAAUAAAGAGGAUGAAUUUACUUACAUGUAAUAAAGAUUCAAAUGUAGUGCGUUCGAGCCCCUGAGGACUUGUAAUUCGUAAUGUAUUGUUGAAUCAGAUUGGAGACGUCGGACACUUCUAGAGGUGUCAAUGAUUCACGUCAUGGUGUUGACCGUCAUGUCCCAUGUCAUCAAGCUGACCUUAAUCAACUUUUUUGGACUUGUCGCAACAAGUAGUCUCUUUCUGACUAUUUCUUCUAUGUUUAUCCUUCCUGGUCAUGUCAUGUCUUUUUACUUCACAUCAUGUUGAACCAGUGAUGUCGGUCGUGUUUUGGGUAUGCUAUAUUGUCCCCUUAUGGCGGUUUUAGGACAAGUCCUAGUCAUGUCCUGUUGAAAUAGAAGACUUGGACUGAAAUCAGUCACAAAAUUAACAAAAUAUGUGACUCGAUCGUUGUUUGUGACUCAUAGGUGAUAAUGUAUUUGACAUGAUCUGUCAUGUUUCUAAAGUUCAUGUCUAGCUGUCACGUUGAUCAUCAUGUCAAGACUUUAUGCCCAGCUGUCACGUUGUUAUUUUUAUACUGUCACCAUGUUUGUUAGUCAUUCUGGAUACUCGACUUCAUGUAUCAUGUCCUUUUUGAAUUAGUUGUAUGCUUUGCGAUUGAUUAUCUUAAUUCUGUUUGAUUCCCAUUUGACAUGUAUGUGGUUUGACUUGUCAUCAUUUAACUUGUGCAUGUUUGACAUGAUCUGUCAUGUUUCUAAAGUUCAUGUCUAGCUGUCACGUUGAUCAUCAUGUCAAGACUUUAUGCCCAGCUGUCACGUUGUUAUUUUUAUACUGUCACCAUGUUUGUUAGUCAUUCUGGAUACUCGACUUCAUGUAUCAUGUCCUUUUUGAAUUAGUUGUAUGCUUUGCGAUUGAUUAUCUUAAUUCUGUUUGAUUCCCAUUUGACAUGUAUGUGGUUUGACUUGUCAUCAUUUAACUUGUGCAUGUUCAUGUCGAGGCUGCUACCCAUCGUGUCGUCGCGUUCCCAAGCGAAGCUGUCCAUCCUUUCUGUCGGUCUCUCUCUUUGGUGUCACGUCAUGUCAUCUUGUGGUGUUGUUUUUUUUGUUACGUAGAUGUCGUCCAUGUCUUGUUGCUCGUGUCGCGUCACGUGUUGUUUACAGGUACCCGUCAGACAUGAUGAGAUGAGUGUAACUUGUUCCCGUCGUACAUGUCAUGGUUGUUUGCAACCACUUUCAAUUUAUUUAACACUGACAAGUACCCUCUUAGAGUCUUCGUGUACCACUGAACACGUGACACAUGUAUGCUGUUGUCUUCUCAAAAUAUGACGUGUUGUAGGUUGAAGGCGUCGACUAUAUCUACGGACGAGUUGGUUAAGUCGUCGGGCAAACCAGUGAAACAUUGUAAUGUUGGACGUGUUAUUGUAAUUUUGAAAUUUUUACUCAUAAAUGACUUUGUAAUGCGUUAAAUAUCAGUACCAUAAACAUGCAUUGUUUUUGCUGAGAGACGUGUUCGUUGGAUCAGCCCCUUGUUGGGAGUCUUCAUCGUGGUGUAGAUCUUUCUCCAUUGUCAUAGAAAUCAUGUAGUCGCUUCGCUAGUUUCCCACAGACGGCGCCAAUUGUUUUUACCAAAAUUUGCAGGGUUAAAAGCCAAGCCUAUUUAGUUUCUAUAACAAUGGAGUAUGUGUUUUUAUGUAUGAAUAUUUAGUAGAUCGAAUAGGUGAAUAUCGAAUAGAAAGCAAAAGACAAGAACACAAGCAAUUUUGGUGACGUGGAAAACCCCUUGUAAAAGGUUAAAAACCGCGGGUGGGAAUGUCCCAGCCAAAUAUCCACUAUAAUAACGUAACAUCAGCUUACAAGUAUGAGAAAUACAUGAUACAAGUAUAAGAAGAUGUUGUCAUCAGCUCCAAAGCAGUUCACGUUCGUCAGCAAUAUGCACCCGUCGGCAGAAUGAUUUUGGGGAGAUGAAGAUGUAGAGCUCCUUUGAUAGAAGAUGAAGAAGCUUUGCUAUCAUAUGUUAAUGUAUGUAUAUGUACGUGUACUGAUUUGUAUGAUCUUAAGCUUGGUUGAUGCUAUAUGAGUGAUAUGGGGUGGAAGAUGAAGUUGUGGGUAUGUAGAAGUGUGUAGAUGAUAUGUAUCACUUGUGCACAUCUCUUUUUCAUGAGUAUUUAUACCCCCUCAACACUUAUGCACGUUCCUAGGUUGUUUCUCCACAUUCUCCACUUACUCAACACUUAUGCACGUUCCUAGGUUGUUUCUCCACAUUCUCCACUUACUCCUAUAGUUUAGGGAUAAAGAAUAACCUCCUCCUAACUCUUAGGAUCAUUACAAGACUUAUUCUUCAUGCUGUUACGUUCAUGUCGAGUACCUUCACGUCAUGUCGAGUAUCUUCACGUCAUGUCUUAGCCAAGACGUCGAGCAUCAGCUUUGUGUGUAGCUUAAAUAUAUCUUUGGAGAAUGAUUAAUUAGCUUGUAAUUUGAUGAUAUAAUUACUCCCUUAACUCUCAUCAAGACGUGGCUAUAUUGUAGGAUCAUGAUAUGGUAGUAUUUAUCCUUAUCUCCUAUUUUCCCUCCAUGUGCAUGUUGAGUUUCCUAAAUUAGUGUCACUUAUCCAUUCUCCAAUUUGAAUAACCUCCUAAAAAGGUGGGUAGUUGAGACUUAGUCUCUUGCCCUAUCAGCCUGCACACGUCGUGUCGUCGGUACUUCAUGUCGUGUCAGUACACUUCCUGUCAUGUCCUGACGCCUGUAUAAUCUGGGUACAACCAGUAUUCAAGUACUCGCCACCUCUUAUGAGGUCUUAUAUGCAAUUUCUAUUCCAAAAACGAUGUUAUGAUGUUUGACGUUGGGAAUGAGAGAGUACUUACUGGCGCAUCAUUUUGAAUUUCUGAUGAACUUAACAAGCCCAAAUAAUAUUAUAGUUUUGCUUCUUUUUCUUUAUUCAGUAUUUAUAAUAUUUUAUUAAAAAUAUAUAAAUUUUAGUUUUGCUUCUAAAAUUAAUAUCGAUUUACCUUAAUUGUUGUAUUGCUAUGUGUUUCAGCUACUGGAGUGAUCCAGAUAAGAUCGACAACAUUGAACAUCUUAGGCAGAUGGAAGAAUCACUAAGUGAAUCCCUUAGCCAGAUUCGUAUUCAUAAGGUAUGAUAUAUUCAGUAGGGACACUCAACAAAAGUGACUACUAAAUAAUGGUCCCAAUUUCUAUUACGUUCUAAUGCUGAACACAAAAUUUUGCAAAGCCUAAGUCCAAUUAUGUGUAUGUCACUAUGUGCUGCAGUGACACAUAGAAAGUUAUGUAUCUUUAGGUUGUAAAUAAUUUUUACACCUCCUACUAAAACAUGCUUUUGGAGGACGUACUUGGUGUAUUACUUGCUGGCAUAUUAUUUCUUGGUGUAUUAUAAACAAGUGUACUUGGCAGGAUAAUGUUAGGUCUCACCAGAUUUUGCCGCUAGAUUGCAGUAACUAGAUAAAGUAAAGGGUGUUGAAUUCAAUUAACUUAGAUCACUCUCACCCUCGCAUGCUGACAAUGUGCCUGAAUAGAUUUUUUUUAAAAUUAUUGCAUUGCAGUAUCAAAAUGGGAUGCAUUCAUCUCUGAUGAUUGGUGCUAUGCAAGAGUCCCAACCCAUAUCAUGGCUUCCUAAUAACGAAAAUGACCAAGUAAUACUACCUGUAGAGCCAAAUUAUAUGCAAGCAAGCUGAGGGAAUUCCUAUUACUAUCCUUUAAAGAAUUAUCUAUGUUUUCCUCCAAUAUACAAUCCUGUAGAUCUGUGUUGUGCGAAACCUUGCAAUGUUCGCAUAUAAUUAAGUUUCAAGGAACAUUAUUUGUGGGGGCAGAUAUCUAUGAGGCUCCUAUAUGUGUAUAUAACUGUUACCGAACUGCUGCAUUGAUAAUGUCCUGUUACUGAACUGCUGCAUUGAUAAUGUAGUUCCUUGAAAUGAUUGUAAUAGAUUGGACAAUUUCUUAUUCCACCUGCAGGGAUGCAGUGUGUUCCAGAGACAUAUUACUUCCGAGCUAUUCUGGAUUGUUUGAGACCGCCAAAGAAACAGAUAUUGAUAAUAUGGGACAGAUUGAUAAUACGAGACAGGAAAGUUCUCUCAAUGAACCAAGUACUACAGAUUGCUUAAAGCUACAACUCAGUGAACAAUAUCCUUUCCAUGCAUAUAGCAAUCUGAAUUUGCCAACGAUGGGGAAACUAGAUGUUGGCACAGAAGAGAAUAUCCAAGCAGACCCUAUCAAUUAUCACAUCAAUAGCAGUUAUUAACUUCCUAGACCAAUCUGCAACCAUAUGCAUCAAAAUUGGAUCCCUGAAUCUGGUUCCCACAUUGUUCCCAUGUUUAUUGAGAGUUCAUACUCAAAGGUAAGUCUUCCUCCCAAUGCAUGGCACUUUCUCAGCAUUAUAGAAUUAUAAGUCCGACAUAAUUAUUUUGUGUGUAUACUGUUGUAUGAACAAAUUGAGAAUAUUUAAGAGUGUGUAAUUCUCAAUAUAGAUUCACAUUUUUUUUUACUUAACAAAAGAAAAAUGCUCGAUAUAGUGUACUGUGCGUAGAAAGUUCUAAUGCAACUAGAAAAUGAGAAAUGUUUAGUAGUGGCUUAGUGCAUAGAAAGCACACAAGACUUCAGUGAAAAAAUUUGUUUACACUUGAUCUUUUGGCUCGUGUAAUUAUUGUACAUGAAUAUCAACUGGGGUUGCACACGAGCUUAUGCAUGUAGCUUACUGUAUUGCUAUUUUUCACUGGUACCUACUGAUCAUCGAAUUAUACAGAGCCUAAUGGCUUUGUAGCUUGACAAAUUGUUAAACACCAGAUUUGCUCCCCUCCGGUCAGGAAGUUAUUAGGUCUGUUAUAUUCACUGCUAAACAGUGACAUGUAUACCUCUCUAAACGAAAGUUAGUACCCAAUAGACUAUCAUUUAUGAGGCCAUUUGGAAUUCUAUGGCUUAUCUCCAUCAUUAUACUUGUGUACAGUGGAUCCCCGAAAAAUCUAAAGCAGGCUCCUUACGUUUAUGUUAUAAAAGUAUGCUAUCCACUUCUUCCAUCUCAAUAUAGAUGCUACUAUGGCUUUUUUUUUAUGACUGUGUGUGUACUGUGUUUUGUGUUUUAUGCCGUAAAGCAUGAAUUUGGUCGGACAGUAUUUUUUUAUGAUAAUACUUAUAGGUUUAAAAAAAUAAAUUCUGCAAUUUCAGUUCUAACGACUUGUGAUUGUGUUGGUCUCUAGUAUGACUAGAAAGAAAUUUGCUAGUUUGUGUAAUCUGUCUCUGAACUUUCUAUUUCUUGUAGCAGCCAGAUUAGCUGCUCAGAAUGCAUGGUAACCCAUCUGCAUCAUGGGCAUGACCUGAAUUGGACUUUGCACUGCUUGAUAUGAUUGUCCUGUAAGGUUACAGCAUACUUUACGAUAUCUAAAGGUGGUGUAAUGCCAACAUAGCUAAAACAUAUGGUGAAUGUAGGGAAUCAAUGGUCUAAGCUGUAAGAUCAGCUGGUUCUUGCGUACUUGUUCACUUGUAUCUGGCAAUGUGCAAUAUUUCAAUUACUGCAGAUGUAUACUAUGACAUCUAGAACAUAUAUGGAAGAAAAAAAAGUGAAAAAGUGAUAAUGUAUAAUAUAUAUAUAUAUAUAUAUAUAUAUAUAUAUAUCUGUGUCUGUGUGUGUGUCUUCUGUCGGUAUGUAGUAAAAUAAGAGUUGAAUGAUUCAAAAGUAAACUUAGUUUAAAAUUAAGUUGAUAAAAUGAGAACCGUGAGAACUUUUCUAAUUUAUCAAUAUCUCAUUCAUUUGAAGGGCCCCGCCAGGGGCACCUUCACAAAAAAUGUAUAUAAUUAAGGUCUCCACCUAGCUAGCUAGCCGAAAAAAAAAAUCACUGAUGACGUGGCAGUGAACUUUUUUUUUUGAAUUUUUUUUUUGACUAGUUAGGGAGAGACUAGUUUUAUAUACACUUUUUAUAUUGGGUACCCACUAGUUUGAUGUUUAGAUUAGUCAAAAUAUGAUAAAUUAAGGAAGUUCUCACGGUUCUCAUUUUAAGAAGUUCUCAUGAGGGCGGCACCUCGUGUAUAUUUUAUAAAUCAACAAAAAAUAUACAACCAAGGGAAAAAAAAACUCCCAAGUCCAAACAAAGGAUUUCUUAGAACACCUUCCGAGAAACCAAUAGAACAACAACUAGAAAAAUAAAUAGUGCCAAAACAAACUACAAGCAUCAAUACCCUUUAUUAAUAAGCGAAACCACAUUUCGGUGGAACAACGGUACCAAAAAGUACCAAAGUUUGGUCACUUUCAUAUUGAUUAGGAUUUUAUGGUCAUUAUUAUACUAUUAUCAAAACACUUCUAUAUUGAAUAAAAUUUUAUUAUUAAAGACCUCAAUAUUAAUUAGGACAGUGAAAGACUUCUUUAUUGAUUAGAAUUUUUUUAUUAAAAAGUUCAAUAUUGAUUAGGACAAUGUUAUAUAAACUUUUUAUUUAAUAACAAUAAUCAUUAUAGAAUUAUGAAAAGGUUUUCAUAUUGUUAGGAUUUUAUACUUAUUAUUAUACAUUUUUAGGAUUUUAUAAUUAUUAUUAGGGCAUUUUUUAUUCAUAACCACGUUUUCAAUCUUAUUUCCAAAAAUACUACCUUAUCCAAUCUUAUUUUCAAAAAUACUACCUUCUCUAAAAUAUUUUCAAAAAUACUAUGGUUGCAUAUGCAACCAUAUAUGCAACUACAAAUCCUGAUUUCAAGUUCCAGAUUUCAAAUGUCAUUUUCGACCUCAUAUUUGGGAUCGAUAUAUAUAUAUAUACAGUUUCCGUUGCAUAUGAGGUUGCAUAUGAGGUUGCAUGCAACCUCAUAUGCAACUAAAUGCAACUGAAAACUGUAAGUUCCAACUGAAGUAUGGGUGCCCCUGGCGGGGCCAUUAGAUUGCAAUAGAAUCAACUGAAUGCAACCUCAUAGGCAACUAAAUGCAACCUCAUAUGCAACUAAAUGCAACUGAAAACUGUAAGUUGCAACGGAUGUAUGGUGUGCCCCUGGCGGGGCCAUUAGAUUGCAAUAGAAUCAACUGAAUGCAACCAUAUGCAACUGAAUACAACCAUAUGCAACUAUAUAUGCAACUGAAUUCCUGAUUUCGAGUUCCAGUUUUCAAAUGUCAUUUUCGACCUCAUCUUUGGAGUCGUGUUACCUGAGACCCGUUUAAAGGACGCUCGCCGAGCUAGUGAAGGAAUGUAGUGAGGAGGCNNNNNNNNNNNNNNNNNNNNNNNNUACUACUACUAUAUAUAUAUAUAUAUAUAUAUAUAUAUAUAUAUAUAUAUAUAUAUAUAUGGAUUCCAAAUAUGAGGUCGAAAAUGACAUUUGAAAACUGAAACUUGAAAUCAGGAUUUGUAGUUGCAUAUAUGGUUGCAUAUGCAACCACCGUAUUUUUGGAAAAUAUUUUCAAAAAGGUAGUAUUUUUGAAAAUAUUUUAGAGAUUUGAAAAUAAGAUUAUAGAUAAGGUAGUAUUUUUGAAAAUAAGAUUGAAAAAACAGUAUACAAGAUAAUUCUCCUUAUUAUUAUACAAUUAUGAAAAGACUUCUAUAUUGAUUCGGAUUUUAUUAUUAAAAAUUUCAAUAUUGGUUAAGAUUAUUAUACUACUAUGAAAAGACUUCUGUGGUGUUUAGAUUUUGUAAUAUAAAAUUUAUCCUAUCCGCACAGUUAAAUCGCUAACAAUUUAACUUAUGAAACCGUUAUAUAAAAUUUAUAUCAAAAUUUGGCUAUCAUCAUAUUAUUUUUUGUACAACAAUUAUUACUAUUAUCAAAAAAUUUCUAUAUUUGACAGGAUUUUGAACUAUAACAAUUAUCUUACUAAUAAAAAUAUAUUACUAACAAAAUUAUUUAUUUUAAUUUGUUAAACUCAAAUAAUUUAAUAUACGGAACAACUUUAUAAAUCUUUUAUCAUGUUUCAGAGUUAAAAUAAAUAAGGAUUUCAUAUUGAUAUUAAUAUAAUAUCCUAUCAAUAGAAUAAUAAUAUUAACGAAAUUAUUCGUUUUAAUUUUUAAAACUCAUACAAUUUAAUUUAGUUAUAAAAUUUCUAUCAUAUUUCAGAAUUAAAAUAAAUAAGAUUCAAUUUUGAUACCAAAGUACGAAAAAACUUGGUCAUAUAUUUUUUAAUAAUAAUUAUUAUUAUCAUUCAGUGUGUUUCAAAAGAUUGCGAUAAACACGAAUAAGGCGGUGGUAACACCAACUUGACAAAUAGAAACUCAAAGAAAAUAAAGUCAUUUUGCAACAUAUAAUAAAAGAAUCGAAACUCUAGACAUGCGUCAAAUAUUUGUUUUAAUUUUUAAAACUCAUAUAGUUUAAUUUACGAAACAAAUUUAUAAAAUUUCUAUCAUAUUUCAGAAUUAAAAUAAAAAAGAUUCAAUAUUAGUACCAAAAAAUUUGAUCAUAUAUUUUUUAAUAAUAAUUAUUAUCAUCAUCCAGUGUUUUCAGAAGAUUGCGAUAAAGACGAACAAGGCGGUGGUAACACUGACUUGACAAAUAGAAACUCAAACAAAUGAAGUCAUUGUCGAUAUUGCAACAUAUAAUAAAAGAACCGAAACUUUAGACAUGCAUCAAAGUAUUUGAUAUCGAAUUACUUUUGUAAAGUUAAUUAAUUUUGUCAAACUACAAUAUUAGUUUAUCAAACAACUAUUACAACUGUUAGAUCUACAAAAACUCCAACUAGAAUUAUAUAUAUAAUGUUUGACUAUUAAAUGAAUAAAAUAAUUGCAACUUAAAAUUUUAAAUUUUUGUUCAAGAAUAAAGACGCUAUAAACAAACUUAUAUGUGUUGAUCUUGAAUAUUAUUUUCACAAUUUAACAAUCAUCAAACAACAUAGUAAUUUUACUAAAAUAAAACAUAUUGCUAGAGUUAAGUUCUAUAAUGUUCGCAAGUCGCAGUAAGUACCGGUCAUAAUCUUUUAGUUUAAUCGUAAAUAAUAUCUUUAAUUAUUCAAAUUUUAUAUAUAAUUUACCAUCAUUAAGUAGUUUUAAAUAUAUAAUUAUCAAUUAAUCAUUAACAUCUUUCAACAUUAACAGUCAUUAAGAUCAUUAUUCUACUUAUGAGUUACAUAUAGUGUUUAGUUAUUUAUAAAAUAAUUGUUUUAUCUUUUGAUUGCAACGAUUAUAUUGUAGGACAUAACCUGCAAAUUGUCAGAUGUUUACAAAUAUUGUAGACUAGAAAAAUUAAAAUUGAAACGAAUAGAUUAUUUUUAAAUAAUUUUGGACUCCAAUACCCUUAUUUUGUGGACUCCAUAUAACAGGGACCCAUAUUGUUAUGAAAUAAAUAAAAUAGAAUCAAAUUUUAAUAUAUAGAAAGUCUUAUAUUAAAUGACAAUAGUUUAAAUAUCAUUUAAAAACAAUAAUUUAAACAAGUAUAAUAAAAAUAUGAUAAUGAAAUUAAAAAAAAGACAUUAUUUUUCCAUUAAAUAACAAAUUUUAAAAUUUUAUUUAAACUCGUGCCACUAUCAACUUGUAAAAAAUAAUAAAAAAAGUCCUAUAAUUCAAUCCCACAUGACUCCAGUAAGGGUCUGUUUGGGAGUGCUGUUAAAAAUUGCUGUGCUGCUAGAAAAAGUGCUGGUAAAAUAAGUGUUGUUGUAGAAAUCAGAUAACUGUUUGGUAAUUUUUUGAUAUUUACUUAUUUUGAGUUAUAAUAUAAAUAAAAAUAAUGUUUUUGGUAAGGUUUUAUAAUGAAAUCUAUAACAGCAUUCUGCAAAAGCUGAAAAGCAGCUUUUUCCAAAAAUAUGGGAGGACCUGCUUUUUCUAAAAGCAGCUUUUCAGCUAAAAGCUGCUGUUCGGAAAAGCUGCUUUUGAAUUUACCAAACAGUUUUUCACCUACUUUUCAGCAAAAAGCUGCUGUUGCUGUCUGCAACAGCAACCCCAAACAGUACCUAAGACAACUGGAUGGAGAAAUACCACCCACUAGAGAUGUGCGUGGAGCGGUUUGGUGCGGUUUGCACCCAAAACCGCAACCGGAACCACUUCAGUGCGGUUUCUAAAAUUCAAAAUCAAAACCAAACCAAAUACUAUUGGUGCGGUUCGGUUUAUAAUAUAAGCGGUUCCGGUUUUAUAUGGUGCGGUUCGGUUUUCAAACCGUGAAGAUCGAGAGAUUAUAUGGUUGUAUCAACGGCAGCCUAGCUACGGGUGAGUAACUUCCGAAAGCUGCUAAGACCUAAUUAAAACAUAAGCAGACCUGCAAGUUCCUGAUCAUGUAUCCAGGGCCUUUAACAAGUUUACAGUCCCCUGUUGAUAUGCAAUUUUUAUCUACUAGAGCAUAAAAAAGACAGAGUACAUGACUACAUCAGUACCAAAAGAAUAGGACUGUCCAAUUUCAGAUACACUUUAUAAUUCAAAAUACACAGAAGCAAAUUAGGAUAUGCAGCAGGAUUACAAUAACAUGAAUUAACAAUUUAUAAUUCAUAUUGCCUAGAUUAAAAUUCAUCAAAAGAGGGCCAAGGUAGUCGAGCUAAAGUCACUGGACAAGGCAGUGUAUUACAAUUCCAUAUCUAAAUAUCUAAUUAUAUAUUCUAUAAUAAAUAUAAUUUAUAUUUAUAUUUUUAAAUAUAAUAUAUAAAAUAAAUGAAUAAAUAAAUAUAAAUAUUGUUGCGGUUUGGUUCGGUUUGUAUUCGGUUUUAAAAAAUCUUAAAACCAAAACCAAAACCAAAAUAUCGGUGCGGUUUUCUUGGUACGGUUUCGCCCGGUUUUUGCGGUUUUUGGUGUGGUUUCGAUUUUCGGUUCGGUUUCUGCUCAUCCCUACCACCCACCGCACCUCCAGGACUACAACAAAAAACAAAAAAUGGGAGAUAACAUAAAUAAAAUGCAAUAAUACCCCCUGACUUGUCCACUAGCACAGACCUUCAAUUCGAGAAUACCACCAGAACGCGUCAAGACCACCCUGCAAUCUAAAAAGGCAUCUGCACUGAGGUAAAACAAAAUACCAGAAAAAGCCUCCCACAAUCAUCUUCAUCAUACAAUAGCUCAACAGCAGCUCCACACAGCCAACAAGACUCCUCCAGGCCUCUAAAAUCAAUUCUGCAGCACCCACCAACAACUUCGCAACAGAAAACAACCACACCCACACUCUGAGAUUACGUGAAUUUGACAUAUACAUCUCUAAUAUCAUCAGACCUUUGGAUCAAAGGCAGCUCCCAUGAAAUAUUCUACCUCUUAUUCUCAGGCUUAAAAUUUUAUACCCAACAGUCGACUCUAUAUCAGCACAAAUUUGAUCUAUCGAACGAAAUUGAGACUGAAAUAUUCUCAGAUUACGCUCUUGCCAGAUCACGUAAAUUAAGCAUCCCAGCAGCAGCUUAUUUACUACGUUUAACAACUUACUCACUCUUCCAUUUAGAAGCCGCAAAUUCUAUGAUAUAAGACCACCUCUCUCUGAAAGGAAAAUUCAACCCUUUCGAGAGAAAGAAGUUGCAUAUUCCAGAACUGAAUGGGCAUUCAAAGAACAAGUGAUCCACUGAUUCAAGUUGCAGGUGACAAAAAACGCAGCAAAGAUUCUCCGUAUGAUGCCAGAAUUGCAUUCUAUCCUGAGUCAUAAGCUUACGACGGAUAGCCAGCCAAAGAAUAAACGAGUGUUUAGGAAUAGAAUUAGAAAACCAGGUGAGAUGAUACCAAUUCACCGGAGGAUUAACAGCCCUGAAAUCUUCCCACACAAUACUCUCUUUAUAGUUCGACUUCUUACCAUCUCUAGAAACCCAGAAAAUUUUAUCUUCAACAGAAUCAUUGAGCACAAGAACAGUGCCAUCUAGCUCUGGCCAUUUUAGAAGCAAAUCUGGUGGCCAGUGAACCUGUCCUUGGUGACAUAACUCUGAAAUUUUUGUAUUUUCCUCAAACCCAUAUUAUGAAAAUCUCGAGAUGACAAUCUAGACGCCAGAGGACCGAGAGGCAACCAGUUAUCAUACCAAAGCGAGACAUCCCUCCCAUUACUUAUAUCAGUUCGGAAAAACAUCCGAAACUCCUCCCUGAUGCCCAGAAUGCGACGCCAACUAAUUAAAGCAUCCCAUGGAACUUUAACCUGCCAAAAAUUUUUACUGCCCAGCCUAUAAGUGUGGAUCCAUUUGACCCACAGGGAGUCUCGAUUUGUCAGGAUACUCCAAAUAUGAAACGCUGUCAAAGUUUUGUUUCUAGUUUGAAUCGAGCGAAUUACCAAUCCACCUUCAUCUUUAGGCUUACACACAUCCUUCCAAGCAACUUUUCCUUUCCCUUGAGCCAUCUCAACUCCUCCCCGGAUAAAGUUUCUAAUCAAUCUUUCAAUCGCUUUAGUCACUGAAACCGGCAAAAGAAAAACUGAAAACCAGUAGACUUGCAUAGACGAUAAAACCGAAAGAGAAAGCUGAAGUCUCCCAGCAAAAGACAACCAAUUAUUUUGCCACGAUUGAAUCUUAUCUUUCACUUGGUUAAUGAGAGGUUGACAAUCUCUAUGCCACAGCCGAGUCGAAACUAAAGGAACAGCUAGAUACUUCACAGGGAGCGAGCCAACAUUAAACUUCAUAAUGUUGUUAAUCAGCAUUCUACUAUCAGGAAGCACAUUACAAAAAAAUGUGCUACUCUUUUCAGAAUUUGGCCACAGGCCUGAUAAUCCUCCAAAUUCAUCCAAUGCCUCCUUUAAGAUUUGAACAGACCAGGGAUCCCCUGCUGAGAAGAGAAAUAAAUCGUCGGCAAAGCAUAAGUGAGUUAAACCCAAUUUCUCACAUUUUGGAUGAAAUUUAAAUCCUCCGGCCUCUGCAAUUCUUUUAUCUAAAACAAAGGAAAGCACCUGCAUAACAAUAGUGAAAAGAUAAGGCGAGAUCGGGUCGCCUUGUCUGAGCCCUUUUUCGCCUCUAAAAAAACCAUGGACCUCACCUUUAAUAAUAACAGAGUAACUCGGAGAAGUAAACACUCCUCAAUCCAACGAACCAUCUGAUCAGGAAAGCCAAAAAGCCUCAUAAGCCAAAAAAUAACGCUAUCAUAAGCCUUUUUGAUAUCAACUUUAAACAAGCAUCUAGAAGCCCCUCGUUGACGAUGAUAAUUUCGAAACAAUUCCUGAGUGAGAAGAAUAUUAUCACUGAUUCGUCGACCCGGGAGAAAAGCAUUCUGAUUUUCAUCAAUAAUAACAUUGAGGCAUCCUUUGAUUCUGUUAGCUAGAAUUUUCGAAAUCCCCUUAUACAAGACGUUGCAGAGCGCAAUGGGCCUGAAUUCACUCACCUGGCUCGGGCACUUGACUUUAGGAAUUAACGCAAUAAGAGUUGCAUUAACUUCCUUCAAAAGCUUCCCAGAACUAAAAAAUUCCUUCACCCCGUUGCAUACAUCAGGACCAAUAACAGGCCAAGCACUCUUAUAGAAUCUCGCAGAAAAGCCGUCUGGCCCCGAAGCUUUAUCAUCUCCCAUAGAGAAAAAAACCUCUUUAAUUUCAUCAUCUGAGACUUCUUUCACCAUAUCAGCACACAUCUCCGGGGGCACUUGCUUAUUAAGAAAAGGCUCCAGGAAUUCAAUACUCUCGCUUUGAUCCUUCUUACCUAGGAGAUUCUGGUAGAAAUUAAUAAACUGAUCCUUCAUUAAAUCUCCCUCCACCACAACACCCUGAGAAUCACAAAUAGAAGAAAUUCCAAACAUGCAUGGUUCAAUAAAGGUAAUAACAAAUGUUACAAAACUGAUCAUCUAUUACAACAAAUAAAAAAUAUGUCUGUUAAAUUUCAUAACAAGAAUUGUCUAAAUAAAAAAAAUUAUAUAGAGUACAACAAGAGGACUGCCAAAAAAAUGAACUGUGUGUGGCCAUCUUCCAUUAUGUGUCCACUCAAGGAAACAUAGUUCAGCUGCUGCAGACAUUGAUCAAAAAGCUAAGCUCUAUUCUGCAGCCAGUUACAAACAUAACUUCAUUAGUUAGAAAGCAACUGUACCCAUGAACUAAAAAACUAAAACCUUCUCCAACAUAAAACUCUUGAGUCGGAUAAAGCUUGGGACGUAAACCAUUGCAUCAUAUGCAUCUUUGGGACCACACUCGAUAAUUUGAAAUGCUCCAGAUUCAGGACAAUAAGUGAACAAAAAAUGACCGUAACAUACCAUUAAGAUACUCCCGCUUUUCAAAGAAAUUAGAGGUUGGACAAUCUCAUAUUGCAGCCAACCAGGUUUAUCUUUAAUGACGAUUUCUUUAGUCCAGCUUUCUUUGAUUCCAUAAUCCUUCAUCACCCAAAUGGAGAGUUCGGAAUCUGCUGUGUUAUCAAUUAUACACAAGCACCCUCCUAGUUUUCCCAAGAUCCUAUAAUCUUUAUCAUUGUCAUCCAUCCCAUAAAAAAGAGGAGCAGAAGCAAUUAGAUGAAAUAACUCUUUCUCCAAAUCAAAAGUACAAACUAUUUCGUUACAUGCAUCAUUCUGGUCAUUAGCUAGCCAGUGAAGGUUGCCACAGACAUAUAUACCACUCCGAACACUAAUCACCGAGAAGGGAAGAUGUCCUAAACUUCUCCACAUGCCUGUUCCAAGUGUAUAUAUCUUGCACUCUGACUUGUCAACAACUGUCAUAUCCAUGUUUAUUUCCAGGUACAAGCUUACAACCUUGUACUCGUUGCUGGCUUCAACAUAUCCAAAGCCAUGAGUUGCAAUAGUAAAUGGUGUUCUGUCGUACUUGUGAUCUGGAAGGAGUAUGUACUCUCGUGUAACUGGAUUGGUUAUAUAACCUACAAAAUUAUGAUAAUUCCAUAAACAUAUCAACCCAUUAACUGUACCACUUAAUAACAACACAUUACACUCGAAACCUAGUCCUAGGUCAAAUCUCAUUAGAGGAUCAUAAUGAAUAUCAUGAUGGUCUGUUUUAUCGUCUAGUACGCCUAGUUUUAGAUUAUCAGUUUCAUGUGGGGGAUUUGAGUGGUGAAUUAUGAGCCCAAUAGGUGAUCUUGAUAGAUGCAGAUCAAUGAAAUAAGCUUCUAAGAGCAUAGCGCGCCAUGUUUUGCAUACACAUCUGCAAUGGACAGUAAUCUUGAUCGGAUUUCUUGAUAGGAUGUCAGCCACAAUCUCUGCUGGUAAAUCCAUAAUAGAGGACUUGUUGUUGACCACCUUCUAGUAAACAGAAUGUAAGAUGUAUAUUACCAUAUUAAUUAGCAACUAUUGCUUUAGAUCUCAAACUAAAAAUAAAACAAACAAUGCAAGCAACUGCACCUCUUUGUGAUACUAUUUCUAAAGAAGACCAUGGCAACACAUAGAAAAACCUCCUAAAAUCAGUUUAUGCAGGACAUAGAAAUUUUCACUUUUUUCUAUUGAUUUUUAAAGGUCAUCAAAACUAGAAAUUAGGCUCCCCUAAAUAUAUGAAAAUAAGUUCUUUACAAGUAAAUAUUAUGAGACAGACAUACUACGGCGGAUAUCCCUUUAUCACUCAGCCAAAUUGUAUGAAUAACAAAAAAAUUUCCAAAUAUAUAUUAUGAGACUAUCAUACUACUGGAGAUCCCUUUUUCUUCAUAACAAAUCUAAUUUUUGUUUGGGCAUAUGUUGUGGUAUAUAGAUUGUGUUUUGAUAUUAACAAAAAAAAUGAUUGUUUAUAUUAAAACCAAGAUGUAUGAGGUUUGGGUACCAUGCCCUCACAUUCUAUCCCUGAAACCGCAACCACAUAUUAAUGGCAUACAAGUUCAAAAUUAUAGGAAACUAACUGAGCAGGGCUUCUGGCAUAGACAGAGUGCAUGUCUAAUGGAAUGUUUUCAGGUUUAUAUUACUCGAGAAAAUGAUAAUAAGAUUAACUCAGCGUCCAAGCCCCAUAUAAAUCUAUAAGUUAAGACUUAAGAGUGUACUAGAAACUAUACAAAGGGAAUAAAAGCAAGUCCAACGGACUAACUACCUCACCUCCUAAGUUGAAGUUAAAGAUUUUGACGUAAAAUUGUACUUCAAGAGUCUCUUAAAUGGUUUCUUAAAAGUUAAAACACACAUUUCAUUCUUAAUCUUUAAGGAAGCACCGGUCAUUACAUAUUUUGCUUUCACCAAUAAAAUACUAUUCAUUUCCCUCCUCAGUAUAACUUUUUGUUAAUAAAAUUUGAACCUAAUACUAUUAUAUUUAUAAGGAACAAGCUGUAUAAUGAGUAUUUUUGCAGUUUCAAGACUCAUAUGUAUUCUGCGCUAGAAAUUACAGUUUAGGUGCAGCAUGAUCUAAGCGAAAAGAGACUCAAUUUAAUUAGGGGUUAAUUUAUUAAAGAUUUUAAGUUGCAAAGCAAGAGAAAUUGUGAUUCAAUUACUGGAGACCUUGUAAAUGCAAAUAGCUCUAAGCAACAAGAAGAACUGAUAACAGGGAGUAAAUUGUCACUUAGUAAUCGAUGAAAACUUUGAUUAUCAGGACAAAGUCUCUCAAAUUGUAACAUAUACACAUACACGUUAAGAAAUUAAACUAUAAACAAUCCGGAAUUCACUUACCAUGAUCUUGGAUUGUGGGAUAUUCAUCUUGGCACAGGAACAACCAGAGGCAAUCUGUUAUUGUUAUGGAUAAAAAACGUGCUUUUAAGACUGCUCUCGUGCAUGAGACUCGGAGGAGAAUCAAGUCUAAUAGAGCCCUUUAUAUAGGAUCUCAGCAGACUCUGAGAGUUAGAAACCUCGUAGAAAUCCGUAUUUGAGAUAGAGUAGAACAGUGAUAGCACUUAUCUCUUGCGGUUAGGGGUGAGCACCGAGCAAAACCGAAUCGGAACCGAAAAAUCGAACCUAACCGUGGAAAUUCGGUCCGAUUCGGUCCUAAUUUUCUGAAAAUUCGGUCCAUUCGGUCCGGACCGAAAUAAAUUUCAGUCCGAUCCGGUCCUUAAAAAAAUAUUUCGGUCCGGACCUAUUAGACCGAAUAAUCCAAAAAUUAUAUAAUUUUAAUUUUAAUUUAUAUUAUAUAUCUUAUAUGUUAUAAAUAUACGAGUCAAGUUCUAUAGAGACCACUUUAUUUGGAGACCGUGGAGACCACUUUAUCAAAACUCAUAAUUUUGCAAAUCAAAAUACUGCAGAAUACAUUAUUUUAUGAAGAAAUAUCACCAAUUCAUUAAAAUUAUUGAUGAACAUCUAUGUUUAAUAGGUAGAUUGUGUAUGUUCUGCAAAUUGAACAAAUGUUCAGCAAACUAAACAUAUUCCCCAGGAUAAAAUAUUAUAUAAUAUUCUACAUGCAAAACAUACAUGAUAUUCAAGAUUUUAAAUGAUAUAAUGAUCUUUGUACAACAUAAUUUGCAAAAUUAUGAGUUUUUCAAUAUUUUUAUGCAUAUUUUACUUGCAGGACAUAAACGGUCUCCACGGUCUCCAAAAAAAGUGGUAUCCAUAGAACUUUACUCAUAACUAUAAUAUCUCAUUUGUAAAUUUAAUUAUAUUUAUCUUUAAUGAAUUGAGGGUGAUUAAUUAAUAUGAAAAUUCUAAAAUAAAUCAUGAAUUUUAAUUUUAUUUAUAAUAAAAAAAUUUAUUUUUAAAAUAAUUUCGGUUCUUUUGGUCCGGACCGGACCGAACCGAAUUAGUUCGGUUCGAUCCGGUACGGUCCAUUAUAAAAUUUCGGUCCGGUCUGGUCCGAAAAAAAUUCAAACUUCGGUUCUCGGUCUAUUCGGUUCGGUCCGGUUUUGGACCGAACUGACCGAAUGCUCACCCCUACUCGCGGUUGAGGUUUAUCUAGGAUUCUGGCUCUUUUUUUUUUAGUGGGCUGGGGCUUGAUUCUUGGACUUUGACAGUCCAUGUAGCUCAAUCGUAGGCCUAUUAACGGGGCAUAUUAAUUAAUUACGAAAUUAACUAACACUUUAAUAUUUUCAGGCUCGAAGUAACUGGGCUUUUAUGCUUUGGGCUGAAUAAUUACCCUUUAAUAAUUUAAGAAUUAUUUUAACACCUAUCAUUUGCCCCGCAAAUUUGGUUAAGUUUCGUAUGAACUUAUCGAAAGUUUUCGAGGUUUAUUGUGACUCUAUGAGCCCUCUUCAUGAUUUAUCAAGUCUUUUUAUACGAUUUUCCGAGUCUUUUUUAAGACUUUACGAGUCCUUUAUAUUAUUCUACAACUUUUCAUGUACCUCUUUUGGCCCGUACUUCGCACACGGGUGAUUUUAUUUUAUUUUUUCUGAGAAAAUUAAAUAUAAUUAUAUUUCAAUUAACACAAUUGUGUUUUUUAAUUAUUUUCUUUCGUGAUUAUCAUACAUUUAAGUUUAUAUAAUAAUCAGUACCUACUUGACCAUGUACACAAAAUAUAGUUAUUUUCUCACAUGAAUAAUUCUGAGAUUGGUGAAACUUAUAAUAUUUAAGAUUCAUAACUUUUAUAUGUAUUUUAAGAAUUUAUUCAUAAAUAUCCAAGUCCAAAAUAUUUUUAGCAAAAAUAGUACAUCAUUCUCAAAUAUUUCAUAAAAAUAUCAACUUUAGAAAUAUUUACAAAACUACUGUAUGCAAAACUCGUGCGGAGCUAAUUAACUAUUUCUAAGAAAUUAGUAAUUUUUUCAUAUUUUCAAAAGAUAAUAAAAUCUUAGAAAACAUGAGAGUUUUGGUAAUUUUCCUUUAUUUUAUAUAUUAGAUCCAUGAAUAUAUUAAUGGUUGUUAUUUUAUAUUUUGAACAUAUGAUGGUGUAAUAGUUAUAUAUAGGCCAACAUUCCAAAAGGUACUUUUUAUUAUUUUAUAUGGAGUUACAUAAUAUAGAUUCUAUUAUAGAAUAUAUAUAAAAUGUGAAUCUAAUAUAAUACUAUAACAUAUAUCUAUUAUAAGUAAUUUAACACUUAAAAUUAGAAGAAAAAUGUUUAUUUUGAAACUGAUUCAAUAGAAUAAUUCUGGAUGAUUAUUAUUCAAUUAUAAAAUCAUGUUGAGAUAUUGUAUUAUUUAUAGAUCUAUAUAUAACUGUAGUAAAUUUAGAUUGACAAUUUUUAACCUAUUCUGUCAAAUUUAUUUUAUCAAACAUAUAUAAAGUUUUUGAAAAAAAAACAUUAAAUCAAAAAUAAGAGUAACUUAUUGAAUUCAACUGAAAAAUUUGGCUAAAAAAUUUAGACAACAAUAACUUAAAUUCUAACAUUUAAUUUCUAACAAAUACGAAUUGCUUUAAUUUUCGGGAAUAGUUGAGCCUAGUUAAUGUUAUUAUAGACAUGAUUGUCAUGUUUAACUCAUUCUGAUUCUGGUCAUUCUUAUCUCUUUCCGCAUUAACAUUCUUUCAAGAUGAUCACAUAUUAAUUUCAUACAAAUUUAAUAAAUUUCAACAAAAAUAAAAAAGAAUGGAAACCCAUGACAGUCUCUCUCAGAAAUACACAAGAAUUUAAAGAUUAUACUCUAGAGAGACUGUAUGGAACCUUAAAGACCUAUGAGCUUGAAAUGGAGCAAGAUGAAGAAAUUGAGAAAAGCCAAAAGAGAAGAAAAAUGUUUAUUUUGAAACUGAUUCAAUAGAAUAAUUCUGGAUGAUUAUUAUUCAAUUAUAAAAUCAUGUUGAGAUAUUGUAUUAUUUAUAGAUCUAUAUAUAACUGUAGUAAAUUUAGAUUGACAAUUUUUAACCUAUUCUGUCAAAUUUAUUUUAUCAAACAUAUAUAAAGUUUUUGAAAAAAAAACAUUAAAUCAAAAAUAAGAGUAACUUAUUGAAUUCAACUGAAAAAUUUGGCUAAAAAAUUUAGACAACAAUAACUUAAAUUCUAACAUUUAAUUUCUAACAAAUACGAAUUGCUUUAAUUUUCGGGAAUAGUUGAGCCUAGUUAAUGUUAUUAUAGACAUGAUUGUCAUGUUUAACUCAUUCUGAUUCUGGUCAUUCUUAUCUCUUUCCGCAUUAACAUUCUUUCAAGAUGAUCACAUAUUAAUUUCAUACAAAUUUAAUAAAUUUCAACAAAAAUAGACAAAAGGAUUAAAUUACAGGUAAUACUUAUAAAAAAGUGCAGAGGUUCUAUUAAAGUAAGACGACUUCUAAUAUCAAAUGAAGAUCAACAGGACAGGAUCCCCUCUGAAUAUACCAUUUAGACUUGAAUUACAGGAGUGAUGUUAGGAAUCAAUAGUUUUUGAUGAUAACAUAAACAUUUUGUAACAUGUCUUACUUAGAAUCUUUAUCAAAUUUCAGUUGUAAUUGUUAUAUUUCUUAUCUUUGGGAAUUAUCAACGGAUGGGUAGAAUAGGAUGGCUAAUUGUAAAUAUCCAAUGCCAUGUAAUUUUAUCUAAGUUAAGGAUAUUCAACUGAUGAGAUGUAACUAUUCAACUGAUGAAGACUGGAUGAAAGAAUUUUAAUUCUGCAAAAUCUUUUAAAGGCAACCCCAAGUCUGAUAGAAGCAUGGUAGACAGAUCAAAAUUCAAGUGCUUCAACUGUGGGAAUGCAGGUCACUUUGCAAAUGAGUGCAGAAAGCCUAAAGUUGAGAAGAAGUCAAGUGAAAACAUUGACUACAAAAAGAAAUAUUAUGAACUUCUCAAACAAAAGGAAAGAGCAUUCAUCACAAAGGAUGAUUGGGCAGCUGGAGAUGAUUCUGAUGAAGAGGAGGAGUUUGUCAAUCUAGCUCUAAUGGCCAACUCCACAGAUCAAGAAGAAAACACUGGAAGCAGUAGUCAGGUAUUCACUACAAACCUAGUUGAGUUAACUAAAGAUGAAUGCAAUGCUACUAUAAAUGAAAUGUCUACAGAAUUAUAUCAUUUGCAUGUGUCUUUAUCUCUCACUAAGGAAAACAGUAGAAUUAAGGAUGCUAACACCUUUCUUAGUGAUAGAACCAGUGCCUUAGAAGCUCAAUUUAUUGAGUUUGAGAAGCUGAAAAUUGAGUGUCAAACAGCCAAGGAUGAUCUCUUGGUUGUUCAGAAGAGAGAAGAGAUCAUAAGAAAGCAGCUUGAUAAGGAACAAGAGAUUAUUGCCAAAUGGAAAUCUGGAAGAGAUGCUUCCACCAAUAUCAUUAACAUGCAAGGUAGAGAGACUUUUGUAGAGAAUGAAUGGAAGAGGAAUAAGAAAGUGCUUGAGGUAUCUGAGAACAGUUCAAGUGAUGAGAAUACUGAUGAUGAUCAUCAGUUGAAAAGCAAAGUCUCAACUGAUGAGAGUCAUCAGUUGAACAAAAACUCAUCAGUUGACAAGAGUGUUCUCAAGAAGCUUAACAAGAAAUAUAGGUCCUGUUNNNNNNNNNNNNNNNNNNNNNNNNNNNNNNNNNNNNNNNNNNNNNNNNNNNNNNNNNNNNNNNNNNNNNNNNNNNNNNNNNNNNNNNNNNNNNNNNNNNNNNNNNNNNNNNNNNNNNNNNNNNNNNNNNNNNNNNNNNNNNNNNNNNNNNNNNNNNNNNNNNNNNNNNNNNNNNNNNNNNNNNNNNNNNNNNNNNNNNNNNNNNNNNNNNNNNNNNNNNNNNNNNNNNNNNNNNNNNNNNNNNNNNNNNNNNNNNNNNNNNNNNNNNNNNNNNNNNNNNNNNNNNNNNNNNNNNNNNNNNNNNNNNNNNNNNNNNNNNNNNNNNNNNNNNNNNNNNNNNNNNNNNNNNNNNNNNNNNNNNNNNNNNNNNNNNNNNNNNNNNNNNNNNNNNNNNNNNNNNNNNNNNNNNNNNNNNNNNNNNNNNNNNNNNNNNNNNNNNNNNNNNNNNNNNNNNNNNNNNNNNNNNNNNNNNNNNNNNNNNNNNNNNNNNNNNNNNNNNNNNNNNNNNNNNNNNNNNNNNNNNNNNNNNNNNNNNNNNNNNNNNNNNNNNNNNNNNNNNNNNNNNNNNNNNNNNNNNNNNNNNNNNNNNNNNNNNNNNNNNNNNNNNNNNNNNNNNNNNNNNNNNNNNNNNNNNNNNNNNNNNNNNNNNNNNNNNNNNNNNNNNNNNNNNNNNNNNNNNNNNNNNNNNNNNNNNNNNNNNNNNNNNNNNNNNNNNNNNNNNNNNNNNNNNNNNNNNNNNNNNNNNNNNNNNNNNNNNNNNNNNNNNNNNNNNNNNNNNNNNNNNNNNNNNNNNNNNNNNNGCUAAAACUAACAAUCUGGACCCAAAGCAAUUUGGGUACCAAAAUCAACUUGAUCUGUUUGUGAAUUGUGUGCAGGGAAACCACAAGAAGAAUUUGUGGUACUUGGAUAGUGGAUGCUCCAGGCACAUGACUGGUGAUUCCUCCCUGCUCACAAAGUUUGUGGAGAAGGUUGGCCCUAGCAUUACCUUUGGAGAUGACAGCAAAGGAUAUACUAUGGGAUAUGGCUUGAUUGCAAAAGAGAAUGUCAUCAUUGAUGAAGUUGCAUUGGUGUCUGGUCUUAAGCACAACUUGCUUAGCAUCAGUCAGCUCUGUGACAAAGGUUACAAAGUUAAUUUCACUCCUGCAGCCUGUGUUGUCACCAAAGGAGAUGACAACAAUGUGGUUCUGAUUGGACAAAGGAAAGGAAAUGUGUAUGUAGCUGACUUCAAUUCUGUAAAGUCUGAAUCUAUCACUUGCCUUCUCAGCAAAGCAAGCUCAGAUGACAGUUGGCUAUGGCAUAAGAGAUUGUCUCAUCUAAAUUUCAAAACCUUGAAUGAGUUAGUAAAGAAGGACUUGGUAAGAGGUCUACCUAAGUUGGAAUUCUCCAAAGAUGGACUAUGUGGAGCUUGUCAGCUAGGAAAGCAAAAGAGAAGCUCUUUCAAAAGCAAAUCUCUUUCAUCAAUUGUGAAGCCCCUUCAGCUCUUGCAUAUGGAUUUAUUUGGACCAGUCAACAUAAUGUCCAUUUCAAAGAAGAAAUAUUGCUUAGUGAUUGUUGAUGAUUUUUCAAAAUUUACUUGGACUUUCUUCCUGCAUUCUAAGGAUGAAGCUGGGAAAAUCAUCAUCAAUCAUAUCAAGGCAUUAAACAACAAUCCAGAUGUCAAAGUUGGAAGGAUAAGAAGUGACAAUGGAACAGAAUUCAAGAACUCUGUGAUGAAAGAAUUUUGUGAAGAAGAGGGAAUUAUUCAUGAGUUCUCUGCACCAAGAACUCCACAACAAAAUGGUGUUGUUGAAAGGAAGAAUAGAACUCUUAUUGAGGCUGCAAGAACCAUGAUUAAUGAAGCUCAACUUCCUACCUAUUUUUGGGCUGAAGCUGUGAAUACCGCUUGUUUCACUCAAAACAUUUCACUAAUUACCAAACCUCAUAAUCUAACUCCCUUUCAACUCUUCAAAGGAAAGAAGCCAACAAUUAGCUUUCUUCAUGUAUUUGGAUGCAAGUGUUAUGUUCUAAGAAAUCAAGGUGAAAAUCUUGGAAAAUUUGAGGCCAAGGCAGAUGAAGCUAUUUUUGUUGGAUACUCUGAUGGAAAAUCAUUUAGAGUAUAUAAUCUGAGAACCAACAUUGUUAUGGAAUCAAUCCAUGUGGUUUUUGAUGAUAAGAAGAUUCAAGGAUUCUCAGAUGAAGGAUUUCAUGAUAAUCUCAGAUUUGAAAAUGAAGGUGAAGGUGAUCUGUAUGACAGUGAUCAUUGUGAUGACAUUAUUCAAAAUGUUGGAAUUAAUCCUGGAAUUAAUAUUCCAACUGAUGACUCUCUGGUGCAAGAAACAACUGCAAUUGGAAAUUCAACUGAAGCAUCAGUUGAAACUACAUUGGAGGGAUCAGUUGAAACACCUCAAGGAUCAUCAGUUGAAAGAAUGUCUCAAAGUUUCAAUCAGUCUAGAAAUAAUGAGAUGUCAAAUUUAGGGGGAGCUUUCCAACAUGGAAACCUGAACUUCAAUAAUGAAGCCACAUCAUCAAGACAAUCACUUCCACCACAAAGAAAGUGGACAAGGGAUCAUCCUUUUGAGCUAAUUAUUGGAGAUGCAAAUGCAUCUGUACAAACAAGAAGAGCAACUCAAGAUGAGUGUUUGUACAGUGCAUUCCUUUCACAGGAUGAACCUAAAGUCAUAGAAGAUGCUCUCAAAGAUGCUGAUUGGGUUCUUGCUAUGCAAGAAGAAUUAAAUCAAUUUGAGAGAAACAAUGUAUGGAAGCUGGUACCCAAACCUAAAAACAGAACAAUUGUAGGAACAAGGUGGGUAUUCAGAAACAAGGUGGAUGAGAAUGGAGUUGUCACCAGAAACAAGGCAAGGCUUGUUGCUAAAGGAUACUCUCAAUCUGAAGGAAUUGAUUUUGAUGAGACCUUUGCACCAGUUGCAAGACUGGAAGCAAUAAGAAUCUUCCUGGCCUAUGCUGCUCAUGCAAACUUUAAAGUUUAUCAAAUGGAUGUCAAGAGUGCUUUUCUAAAUGGUGAACUGGAAGAGGAGGUAUAUGUCAGUCAGCCUCCUGGUUUUGAAGAUCCAGAAUUUCCAGAGUAUGUUUACUUUUUAUUAAAAGCUCUCUAUGGACUAAAGCAAGCACCAAGGGCAUGGUAUGACACUCUAUCUCAAUUCUUGUUAAAUAAUCAUUUUUCCAGAGGAACUGUGGAUAAAACACUAUUUUACAGAAAUGUAAAUGGUGCCUUUAUUCUGGUUCAAAUUUAUGUAGAUGAUAUAAUUUUUGGUUCUACAGAUGAGAAACUUUGCAAGAAGUUUGCUAAUCUAAUGAAAAGUCAGUAUGAAAUGAGCAUGAUGGGAGAGCUCACCUACUUUCUUGGUUUACAAGUUAAACAAGUAAAGGAAGGUUAUUUCAUAAAUCAAACUAAGUACAUCUAUGAUCUACUUAAAAAGUUUGAUUUAUUGGAUUGCAAAGAAGCUAAGACUCCCAUGCCAACAGCCACCAAAUUAGAGUUAAGUCCUAAUGAGAAAUCUGUGGACAUCUCUAAUUAUAGAGGCAUGGUUGGUUCUCUUUUAUAUUUGACAGCUAGUAGACCAGAUAUUAUGUUUUCUACAUGCCUCUGUGCUAGAUUUCAAUCUGAUCCUAAAGAAUCACAUCUUAUUGCUAUAAAAAGAAUAUUCAGAUAUCUUAAGGGAACACCAAAUCUUGGUAUUUGGUACCCUAAAGACUCUGGAUUUGAUCUAAUUGGAUAUUCAGAUGCUGAUUUUGCAGGAUGCAAAAUUGAUAGAAAAAGUACAACAGGCACCUGUCAAUUUCUUGGUGACAGAUUGAUUUCUUGGUUUAGCAAAAAGCAAAAUUCUGUAUCAACCUCUACAGCUGAGGCUGAGUACAUUGCAGCUGGAAGCUGUUGUGCACAAUUAUUGUGGAUGAGAAAUCAAUUACUUGAUUAUGGAUUAAAUCUCUCAAAAAUCCCAAUAUUUUGUGACAACACCAGUGCUAUUGCUAUAACUGAAAAUCCAGUACAACACUCAAGAACCAAGCACAUUGACAUCAAAUACCACUUCAUAAGAGAACAUGUGAUGGCUGGUACUGUUGAAAUGCAUUUUGUUCCAAGUGAAGAACAGAUUGCAGAUAUUUUCACAAAGCCUCUUGAUGAAUCCACAUUCACAAGGUUGGUAAGUAAAUUAGGUAUGUUAAACUUCUCCUAAUUUAGAGUGAAUUUUUCUGUAAUUUGGCAGCCAGAAUUUGAUUAAUUUUGAUUUAUCAAAAUUGAAUUAAUUAUAAUUCUGGAUAAAGUCUAUAAUAUUUCAACUGAUGAACUAGUGAAAUUGUUUCAACUGAUGUUUGAAACAAUAUCCUCUUGGUUUGUUUUUCAUUCAACUGAUGACACCAGUUGAAGACGCUUUCAACUGAUCUUCAUCAGUUGAAUAGGAAGUUUAAAGAGGCGCAUAUUUCAUCCGUUGAAAGCAUUAUCAGAUCUGAGCCGUUGAAAUUUCUUUUGUCUCUCUCCUACUUUAUACACACGAUCGUGUGUGUAAUUUUUGUAGAGUUCAAUAAGAGUAAUUUCUUCUCAACGGUAAUUUCUCAGCCAAUCACAGCAAUUUUCUGAGAAAGUAUUUAAGUGUUUUAAUUUAUUUUCAUUUCUUUUCAUCUCACUCUUUCGAAUUCUUAAAGCUCUCUUCUCUCUUUGUGCAAAAACAAGCUCUAACCUUCCUUCAAGUUUUCUCUGUAACUGCAAUGGCACCAAUGAAGAAGUAUACUGCACCAAGUGGGUUCAUUUAUGAGAAGAACAACUUCGCAUCAUUUGUGGACACCAAGGCAGUAGAAGAGAAAGAGUAUCACAAGAUGAUGGAGUUCAUCAAGUCAAGCCAGCUCUCUUAUAUAAGUCCUAAUGAGAAAUCUGUGGACAUCUCUAAUUAUAGGGCAUGGUUGGUUCUCUUUUAUAUUUGACAGCUAGUAGACCAGAUAUUAUGUUUUCUACAUGCCUCUGUGCUAGAUUUCAAUCUGAUCCUAAAGAAUCACAUCUUAUUGCUAUAAAAAGAAUAUUCAGAUAUCUUAAGGGAACACCAAAUCUUGGUAUUUGGUACCCUAAAGACUCUGGAUUUGAUCUAAUUGGAUAUUCAGAUGCUGAUUUUGCAGGAUGCAAAAUUGAUAGAAAAAGUACAACAGGCACUUGUCAAUUUCUUGGUGACAGAUUGAUUUCUUGGUUUAGCAAAAAGCAAAACUCUGUAUCAACCUCUACAGCUGAGGCUGAGUACAUUGCAGCUGGAAGCUGUUGUGCACAAUUAUUGUGGAUGAGAAAUCAAUUACUUGAUUAUGGAUUAAAUCUCUCAAAAAUCCCAAUAUUUUGUGACAACACCAGUGCUAUUGCUAUAACUGGAAAUCCAGUACAACACUCAAGAACCAAGCACAUUGACAUCAAAUACCACUUCAUAAGAGAACAUGUGAUGGCUGGUACUGUUGAAAUGCAUUUUGUUCCAAGUGAACUAACAAGGAAGCCAAGCUUCCCAGUUUUGUGCAGGAAAAGAGAGUCUUUAAAGACCUCUUUAGGAUGAAUCUAUACCCCUCUUUGGAGGUGGUGUACCUGCCAAUAAUGGAGGCUGGAAAGGAAAAAGAGGUACAUGGCUUUCCUACAACUCUUUCUCAACCCUCACCUUCUUUGCUUUCUGCCAUCAGGGCUGUUGAAGAGGCCCAUCAACAGUCCACACAAGUGGCAAAACCUUCUAAAAACAAGUCUUCUAAACCAACCUCAGAUGCCUCCCAAAAGACAUCUGUUGUAAAAUCCAAGAAACACAAACCUGAGGGGAGUGUGAUUGGAGGUUGUGAGGGGGAGGGAAAGGGUGAACAUAAAAGAAGCCCUAAGAAUAAGGAUGGAGAGAUGUGUGUUGACCAGCCUGGCCACUCUGCAGUCUCCCAAAAGACUGUAGAUGUUAAUAUGGAAUUAAACUCAUCCCUAGCAGCAUCCUCCCAAAAGGAUGUUGCUAUUGAAAAUAGUCCCCAUCCAGGGACACAACAAAAGAGGGGGAGGGACACUACUUCCUAGGAAAACCUGCAGUAAGUGUGGUAGUGUAAAUCAUUUAUCUGCUAAUUGUAAAACUGUGGUUGCUCCUAAUUUAUCCUUGCCUAUUCUCAAAGUCAGGUUGAUGUGACUCCAAUAAAUGUGGAGUCACAGCCCCCUUCUUCAUCUCAACAAAUCACCCAUAUUUAUGAUCUUACCAUCUCUACUACUCAAACACAAUCCCCAACCUCUUCUGUGGAUGUGGAAUUAAUUCACACCACACUUGUAAAUUCUCCAUCUUUGGAUUUCAUGGAGAAGCCCCCCUCUGAGAUUGAUCAUCAUCAUUUUGAUGAUUUGUUGGAUCUUUCUCUUCCAUUUCCUUCUUCUGUGACAGUGUGUUCUGUGGAUUUUCCUUUAAAAUCAAUCACCACAGACUCAACUAUCACAGCCUCUAAACCUAUUUCUUCAUUUUCUUCAACUGAUCUCCCUCAUCAGUUGAAUAGUGUUUGUCCUUCAACUGAUCUGCUUAACAGCUCUCAUCAGUUGAAUGCCUCCUCUACUCAUGUUUCAACUGAUGUCCCUCAUCAGUUGACAACUGCUGCUACUUCAAUUAAUUUACCUCUUUCUACAGCAGUUGAUCACAUGGUAGCACAAACACUUCUAGGAUUGAGUGGAGUGAGCUAUGGAGUGGAGAGGCAGCCUAGUGAGCUGGCAAAAGGAGAGGGUGUGGAGAGUCUGGCAUUUUCUUCUAGCCAGGAAAAAGGAGAGGAUAAGAGUGACCCUUUAGUAAGGGUAAGUGAGGGAGAGGUAAGUGGUGUGGUGAGCCAAGGGGAGCCCUUGAUGCAAGAAAAGAGAGAAAUUGAGAGAAAUGCAGGUGUCAAUGAAGGGUUUAGUGAACAAGAUUUUCAAGCUGAAUACAGAUCCAUAUUGGAUAGUGUUUCACUAGACCCUGAGACUUUUACUCAUGGGAUGUCUUCUAUUCAAGAUUUUGCCAGAUUGGAUAAUCAAGCAGCUGAGAGGCACCUCAAUCUGAUUCACACUACAUCUUCUAUGCUUAGAGCAAAGGAGGCACUUACAGCUCUGCCUGCCAAUGCUGGAGAUGAUUUUCAUUAUGAUGAUAGUGAUGAAGACCUCAAUGAUGCUCUUGAGGAAUCUCUUGUUGAACAACCUACAACUUCUCUACCCUCCUGGCUCUCCAUGCAGUCUGCCAAUGCAAUUGUUGUUAGCAUGGAGCUGCAAAGGCAAGCUUCCACCAUUCUUCAACCACAAUCUGGAAGCUCAUCCUCCCCUCCAGCCAUCUCUGCCACUAUUGCCAGUCAGGCUCUAGACAACCUCAAGCUUCACAAAUAUCAAUCUCUCCAUUUUCAGCAUGAGAUAGAGCAUCUAAAUUCUCUCAUUGCCACUGUUAAGACUGAUCUGACCAAGCAAAUUGAUGAAAAGCUUCCAGCUAAGGUCAAAUCAGCUCUUUCUGAAACUGAGCAAAAGCAACUCCAAUUGGAAAAGCAAGUGGAAGUUCUGGAAGGAAAUGUCCAUAUCUUAAACUCUAGAAUGGAAGAGAUGUUGCAGCAUCAAAGAAUUCAGACUGGACUUCUUCAACAUCUUCUUCUUGCCUCUGGUGUUUCACUUCCCAGUCCAUCCCCUACACUUGCUGCUAACAAAAAGGGGGAGAAAGAAUUACCAACUCCUGCAGAAUUGAUCAGCCAAAUUCCUCCUCCUUUCCACACUGAAAGGGAAAAGCAAAAGAUUGAAAGGAUGAAAGAAUUGGACUCUAUUGCAAAGAGAGUGGCUCAACUGGGCAAGAAAUCUUCUACAUCUUCUACAGCCACCACAGCUCAAAUCUCUUUUCCAACCACAACCACAAUUCUCAGGGUGAUUACACCUGAGAUUGUUAUUCCUUCCAAGACAGAAAAGGGUGAGCCAUCAUUUUUGAAUGAGUUCAAGGCCAUUCUAUUUCCAAACAAUUGUGGUUACUCCAGGCCUGGAAAAGACUCAAGCUCAAUCUACUUUCCACUAGCCAGGCCUGACAAAAAUGAAUACAAGCUUUUGGGCCAAGAAAUCAAAAGUUAUAAAGAUUGUGCAGAUGUGGCCUUAAAGGCUCAUUUUGCCAUCAUCUAUAGAGAAGGCCAGAAGCUGUUUAUUGGAACUGGCCAUCCUCACUACUCAUUUGCAAAAGCUGAAGAGGUGGCCAGAGAAUGUGAAAAAGAGGAGUUUGAAUCCCAACUCUCUUUGAACCAAAUAGAGGUUGAUGAAAGGUAUGCUAUUGAGCUGGAAGAGGAGUUGGCAGCUGAGCUUUUAAAUGAGAAAAGAUUGCCUCUUGAAUCUUCUCCAAAGAAAAAGAGAGUCAAAUCUAAAACUAAGAUGCCUGAGGCAGCCAAGAGAAGAGAAGAAGUGCCAGAAAAGCCUAUCUCAAAGCCUUCUUCUCCAAUCAAGGAUACCACAGUAGUACAUCCAGAUGUCAACUUCCAUGAUGAGCCAAUAAUGCCAAAGGAGGAGCCAAUUGACUUAGGAGAUAUCCCAAUACCAGCUUUUCUUGUUCAAGAAACUUCCAAGCCUAAGAAGAAAGUCAAGUCUGUGGCUAAGAGGAUGGCUAACCCUCCUAAACCUCCAAAAGAACCUGAAAAUCCUGAUGACUAUCUCAUUAUUGCUAACAUUGAAGAAAUUUCUGAGUUGGAGCUGGAGCUGGAUGAUCUUCAAGAAGUAAGAGGAAUAGAAGCAACUUCAAAAUUACCUGAAAGAUUGGUAUUCUCUUACAAAAACAAAGGUGAUGUCAUCUGGCCUCUUCACAGAGUUCUGAAUUCUGAGGGAUUCAGUUCUUUAACAAAAAUAUAUGGAUCUAUGAAGAGGACAGGAGGAUUUACACCACCUGCAAAGCAAAUGGUACUAAAGAGAAUCCUUGAGAUCAGGAAGGAAUGGUCCUCAGAUGCUAGUCUGCAAAGAAGGCUGAAAAUUCCCUACACUGGAAAGAAAAUUCACCAUGAACCUACUCCAGUCAUGGAAUUUAGGGACAAUCAAGGUGUUAGGAGAUUUUUCAGACCUAAAGAUCAACUCAAGGUUGCUAGCUUGAAUACUCUGAAGACUCUCCAAUCCAAGCUCAACAGACAAGAUAGUGAUGAAGAAUGGUUCUACAGGAUCUUUCAGAAGCAGAUUAAUAUUCUUGAAGAAAAACUUAAGUCCAGAAGAAGAAGAUCUUCUAGGAACAAGUAACUGCUCAGUCUAGAGGAGCAUAAUCAUCUGUAAUCUUUUCUAACUCUUGUAUUUAAAUUCUGCAUUUUAUUUUAUUAAUGUUUUGUUAUCAUCAAGUGUAGAAUUUAUGUCUGCAUCUUCUCCAGUCAUAAAUUGGGGGAGAUUGUUAGGAAUCAAUAAUUUUUGAUGAUAACAUAAACAUUUUGUAACAUGUCUUACUUAGAAUCUUUAUCAAAUUUCAGUUGUAAUUGUUAUAUUUCUUGUCUUUGGGAAUUAUCAACGGAUGGGUAGAAUAGGAUGGCUAAUUGUAAAUAUCCAAUGCCAUGUAAUUUUAUCUAAGUGAAGGAUAUUCAACUGAUGAGAUGUAACUAUUCAACUGAUGAAGACUGGAUGAUGUUUCAACUGAUGAAAAUCAAGCAUUCAACUGAAGACAAAGUGUUCAACUGAUGAUGCUGAGGAAUUCAACUGAUGAGACUGGAACAGCAUUCAACUGAUGAAGUUUGUAAUUCAUUCAACUGAUGAGCCGGGCAUUCAACUGAUAAAGUCAAGAGCAGUUGAAAGCAACCAGAACUUUCAACUGAUGAAGCAAAGAGCAGUUGAAAGUGACUAGAGCUUAAGUCUGACAAAUCACAUGGAUCGAAUUACACUAAAAUAGACAUGGAAGCCUAAUUAGGAAAAUAAAGAAGAAGCAGAAACAUACUUAUCUCAUGCAGUGCAAUCUGGAUCAAAUCAAGAUGAUGGUCAAAGAUGAAGACAUCUCAGAAAGCAUGCAUAAGACAAAGUUGUGCAGCAUUGUUUUUAGAUUAGAGUGCAUUUUGUAAUCUAGCUAAAAGCUUUGUAAAACUUGGAGUAUAUAACCAAGUUAGUAGCAUCAGUUGAACUUGUUCAAAUUACUUGAGAGAAAAAUCUGAGAGUUAGAACUUGUUUGAGUGAUGAACCAGCAGCUGUGCGAAUUGUAAUCAAUCCACAGAUUCUUCUAUAUAAAAUCUCACGGGUGGAUCAUUCAAUCCACCCGUAUUUUUAAAUACUUGGUGUUUUCUGUUUUACUGUGAUUAAGUGUAUUGUUACUUGAAUCUUUUAUUUUGUAAAAGAUUGUAUUCAACCCCCCCCUUCUACAAUCUUUCUUAUAGUUGGUGUAAAAUAACAAGUGAGCUAACCAAUCCACGACUCACUUCACCAAAGGGCAAGUAGAUAAUCACAUUUGAUAGAACAGCCCCAGCAUACAUCAAGUUGACAAUUGAAUUCUAUUAGAUAGUUCACAUGUUGGCGUCACCCCGCAUGCUUCUUUCAUCCUGAUUUUGUUCACCCAGCUUAGUGUUUCCUUUGGACUCAAAUAGUCUCAGCAGUAUGGAUAGCACAGCUGCAAGAAGCUCUCCAUUUGAGUCUCCAAAAUUAAACAACUUUACAAUAUUACAAAGACUUUCAAUGAGCUGCGGUAUUUAAACUCUUUCAAAGACUUGCACAAACUGCAGAACAUUGUCAAUCAAUAUUACACUAUCCGUAGACUGAUCUAUAUAUCAAAAUUACAUUGAUCCUAAACUAAUCUAUAUUACCUUCUAAUUGUAAAUACAUUACAGAGCAACUGAAAGAAGGCAUAAUAUCUAUUAUUUUGAGCAGAAGAACUCUAUGUAGUUCAAUUAUAGGAGUUUAAUUUUCGGAACCUAUGAUCCACACAAAAUAAGGUCGUCAAAGCAGAUGCAUAUGUUGUAAAAGGGUUUAUACUCAAACUUCAUUGACUUUUACAUGGGCCAAUGCUCUAUAUAGGCAAUUUUUAUAGUUCUCCACUUCUCUUCAACCACAAUUAGCAAGUCAACAGUAGAACUUAUAGCAAGUCUUAACCCUAAGCACUCAGUCUUAAGGUUCAGAUAGUAUCAAUUAGAAUUUUAUUUACAGAGGAAUAUAGGUUGUCACUCAAAAUAUAUAUCAACUGCCAAAAGAACUUCAUAUAUAUAAACAAAAGUUUCUAGGUUUCAAAUUUUUGGGCUGGACUUCAUGCAAACUACUAAUUUAACAUAUAUAAAAAAGAAACUACACACAACAAACACCAACAGAAAAGCAUCUUCCAGCUGUUUUUUACUUUAAUAAUCAUUGACUGUUAAAAAGUUUAGUAGUUGUACCCUUAUCGACUCCUGUCAGAAAUGUCAGAAAAGCAUCUUCCAGCUCCUAUUGUGCUUACUGCUGGAAAUUCGAAGGAGGUGAAAGAUAAUUGUUAGAAACCGAAUCCGGAAAUACCAAAUUAUAUUACCAAGAACAAAAUAUAAAACAUUGUUUGAUACAAUAGUGUGUUGUGAGAUAAUUAACAAUAAAACACAGUUAUGCAGAGAUAAUUAUUUGAAUACUGAAGCAUUUCUUCGCGUAAAAUUUCAAUGAUAUUUAUGUUGAAUCCUUAGUAAAAUUCAUAGAAUUCGCGUAAAAGAGGAAUGAAUGUCUUGGUGUCCUAUUGUUGUGCAAUGACAGCCAGAACAAAGUUUUCGACCAUCACUAAGAUUAAAAUAUCUCAUAUUCCUAUCUGCACAGAUCAAGUGAAGUUUAAUUUCAAGAAAUGGAUGAUUUUUAGCAUUAAACACGGAGAAACUAAUAUAUCUAAGAAGAGGGAUUAAUUCCUCAGCUACAACUUUACCAAUAAUAAUCCCAAGCCCUCCAGAGCGUGUAAAUAUACUUGUGCUUCUCCCUGUAGAUAGAGAAAAUUUUAAGAACCCAACCCUCAAUUAAACCACUUCUUAAUACUCUCAACCCCAUCCCCAUUUAGCAAGAUAAAAGUAUAUAAAAUCACAUGCAUAAAUAAGAAUUAUCUGGACAGAUUAUUACAAUUACAAAACAGCCACACACAAAAAAAAUAAUUCAAUAAUCACCUAUAGGAUCAAACAUCUUUAAAAUUGUUCGAAAUCCACUGCCAUUAAAGUUCAUCACAGCGUACCGCACAAUUCUACAAAAUCCAAUAGUGUGUUAGCCAGGAACCGAGAAACACAAUAAUGAAUAAAUUUACAAAGCAAUCCGUAAACUUUAAAAAGACACUAAUAUGCAAAUUUGAUCAUAUAUCUUUAUGACAAUCACUUGAUCCUGUCAGAAUUGCCAGGCGAAGAAGAUGAUCACUUCUUAAUAUAAUCCGGAUUCAGUAAU
rnacentral:lncRNA from 1 species